rnacentral:lncRNA from 1 species
UUUGAUUCGCAAUCAUGUAAAGGAUGAAUCAAUUAUGACUAUCUGAGGAUCCAACUAAACUAUGAAAAACUUAAAUAUAUCUUUUGUGACAGAUAAUUCUGCGAAAAAGAGUAGUUAACAUAAGAAAAUGCACAGAUCUGGGGUAAUAUUGUGACACGGAAUUUCCAAUCUCCUGAAAGAUAUCAAAAACAGCAGCAACAAUAUUUGUAUGAAUGAUAAACAGCUUAACUAUGCCUUUUAUGACCAUAAUAAACGCACUCCAAACUUUCCUACUGAGGCAAACAAGUAAAAUUAUAGUUGGAAGUCGAAUUCUUCAUCAUCUAUUCCGCAAUGAUUGCGAAACCAUAGUGAUUAAGCCAUUUGUAUUCUCAUCAGUACAUUACAACCAGUUUACCAGAACCGAAUUGAACAUCAAACAAAUCGAGGUGAAAUUGGAGCUUCAAACACUUCGAAUAUCAUUAUUUCAAUUAUUGAACUGUCUAUUUUCAAAUAGAAUCGAAUCAUCAGAAUCCAAUUGCAUUGACGGAACAUAUUGUCAACUAAUAAAUCAGACAAAAGAUACAAUCUAAUGCCCCUAGUAAAAUCAGAAAUUCUGAUAAAUAACAGCACAAACGAAGAUCAGUGAAUAAGAAUCGACUAACAAAUUCUCAAAAAGAAGAACAAAAAAAAAAAAAAAAAAAAAGAAAAAAAAAAAAGAAGAAAGGGAAGGACGAGCCUUGAGGCGGGAGGCGUGGGGGGUGGCGUGGAAGCGGCGGUUGAGCUCGAGGACCAUGCGGGGGUCGAGCUCGACGGCGACGACGGACUUGGCGGCGUCGAGGAGCUUGCGGGUGAGGUUGCCGGUGCCGGGGCCGAUCUCGAGGACGACGUCGGUGGGCUGCACGCCGGCCUUCUGCACGAUCGUGUCGACCAACAUCGGAUUCUUCAGGAUGUGCUGCCCCUUCGACUUCUCGAACGGGAUUCCGCCCUGCAGGUGCUGCUGCCGCUUCUUCUGCACUUUCUCUCUCGCGUGCGCGCGAGGGGUGCGGGUCGCCCGCACAUAGCGGGCCACGCCCUGCAGCGCCCCUCAAUCUUUCUCUCUCUCUCUCUCGCGGGCUGCUCUUAGCCUCUUUCCUGUCUAGGGUUUUGAGAGGUUAUUAGGUUUUUAUUCAUUUAUUUAUUUAUUUAUUGGAAGGGGGAAGGGGGCUUGGGUUGGGCACGUGUUGAUGAUGUUGGAUCGAGGCCGAUCAAAAUCCGUGCGAUCCGAAACCACUAUUUUUUUUUAAAAAAAAAUAAUUUUAUUAUUUAAUUUUUUUUAUUAUUUUAUUUGAAUCAAUUUUAGUUUUAAAAAUUUAAAAUAAUUAUUUAUUUUAAUAAAUAUGCAUCUAUUCUAUCGAGUCCUAUUUCAUCUAUCUCUCCUUUACCAUUUUUACUAUGUUUAUUUUGAUUUUGUGCAAAACACUUAUUAUUUAUUUCAAAAUAUCUUUCUAAAAUUUAUAUACUAAAUAUCUUGUACUACUGAUUUUUAUAAGAAAUUUUAAAAAUUGACAUCAAAAUUAAUCAGGCUAUUAAAUAAUGAUUAGGGUCUCUAGUAUAGAUAGAACUUUAUUGGAGUUAAUUAAUAUGGUCUAUCCUAUCAAAAUUAACAAAAAAAUAGAAUAAUCAAAAUUUAAUUAUAAAAAAAAAUAAAAUUAUAAAAAACUAAUAAUAAAAAAAAACAAUUUUGAAAAAAUUGAUAAUGGUUAGGGAGUAAUAACUAUAACCACGUUCCUGUUGUUCCUCCUGUCGCCCGAACCCGGCAAACCCAUUUGCCCUAACUCACGAGACAACACUCUAUAUACAGGUCUUCAACAUGAACCUCCUCCUUUCUUGCGCGGCUGGUGUUUCCCUCUCCUAGGGUUAGGGUUAGUGCCAGGUUUUCUCUCUCCUCUCUCUCCCUCGGCGCCACAUCCAUGGCGUCGGCGAGCGAGUUGGUGCGGUGCUUCGAGCGGAAGAAGACGGAGCGUGGGUGCCCCCGAUCUAGCUGGUGAUGCCCGGGACUCUCGGCUGCAAGGCCGUGGAGCCGAUCCUCCUCCACCUCCUCGGCCGCGCCCGCUUCGCCGGGGGCGACGCGCGCAUCCGCUUCCGCGGCGGGGGCAAGGCCUCGUAGGUCUACGCCGUGCGCCAGAGCGUCGCCAAAGCCCUCGUCGCCUUCUACCAGAAGCACGUCGACGAGAAGCACGUCGAUCCCCGCCGAUGCGAGCCCAAGGAGUUCGUCUGCCGCGGCGCCCGCUGCCUGAAGUCGUAUCGGUAACCCCCUCGGAUUCGGUAAUACCCGAUCUGAAAGUUUUUGGUUUCAGAUUUAUUAUUAUUAUUAUUAUUAUUAUUAUUUGGGUGGUGAGUUCUCGAUUUUAAGAUGGUUAUUUUGCCUUCCUUUCUUUGCAUAUCAUGGUGUUAGUAUGCUAUUUCUCUUUGUUUAUAAGUCGAAAUGAGUAUAAGUUGAAAUUAGGGGUAGUAGAUUAUUUGAAUUUUGCUUGAAGGAGGAGCGGUAUUUAGUUUUGAUCAGAUACUUUGGGUAGUACUGGGAUUUAAAGUCAUUUUGUUUUUCUUGCUUUCAUUUAUUUGUUUAUUUGUUUUAAUCUUUUUUAUCUUAUAUUCUGUUUUUACUUGAUUGUUGAUCGGAUCUGGUUUUAUUUGAUUUCCGUUCCCAUUUGCUCGAGUCAGAGUCUUUUAAUCGUGUUGUUAAUACGGCCUUGCUUGAGUAACAUUAAAGUUUUAGAUUUAGAACUACUUGGUUUGAUGGUCGAUCAAUCGUGUCUUUAAGGCACCGUUGAUCAUCUUUUUCUGAAUAUCAUGCUUAUUGCCUUUCAUUUGCUUUGACAGUUUUCGAUCUGUUACGUGACAUAGCAGUUUCAAUUUUGAUUGCAAAAGUUUGUUUAUGCCUCUUUAUGCUAGUCUUUUAAAUUAAAUUGUUUUGUGCUUUCAUCCAAUUUUAAGGUAGUUAAAGAUGCACUGAACACACUAUUUUCGAGAUUGCUAUAUAGGAUGAACUUACAUUUAGCUGUCACAUAUUUUGAAUGACAAAAUAAUUAAUGUUUAAUUACGAGUUUUAAAAAGUUUAUUCUUUUUUGGGGCCAACAUUCUUGAUUGGAAUGGAUGCAUGCAACUAGGUUCCACAGGUCUUACAAAAAUAGCCUAGCAUUUGUGUGAUAUUGUUGAAUCUAUUUUGAUAAGUGUGGAAAAUUUGAUCGUAAGUAAGUGUUCACACUCAAUAUUGAGGAAGUAAAAUCCAGAAUUAUGAAAUUGCAUAUUACAAUUACAUAUGUAACCCUAUAUUCGAGUUAUAUAAAUUAAUAAAUAUACUGUAUAGGGAAAAAAAUGCGCUUCUAAAAUUUAAAUUUAGUUUAAGAUAUGGUUAAAUUCCAUGUUUUAAUGUUAAAGUAGAUGAUGUUAGUGCAGUGGAGAUCAUAGUAAUUCUUGAGUUACUAUUAGAUUAGAUUGUUGUACUAAUUGCCUUGCAAAGUGAUUAAAUUAACAGAGAUUAGAUUGUUUAAGAAAUUAGAAUGGCUAGUUCAAGGACUAAAAUAAUAUCAUCUUUUGGUACUCUUUGGGAGUUUGGAAAUCAAAAUGCUGACUUGGAGCUUAAAGAAAUAUUAUGGGUUUUUCUAAUGAGUGUCAUAUGAGCACUUGUUAAGAUUUAUUAAUUAUGGUUCAAAUGGUGGGAAUAAGUGUAUCUUACCUGUUCACAGGUAACUAUAAGUCUAAGAUCAUUAUAUUAGUCAGUCCACUUGUAUUUAUUAGUCAUGUUGUGCAGUAAGACAAUGCACCUUAUAGUUUGUUGUCACAAUUUAAUUAAUAGGUCUUAACGAGUGCUCUUAGGACACUUGUUAAAAAAAUCCACAUGCUAUAUUGAAGAGAUUGGUCUUCCUUUUAAGGAAUUCACAUUGUGAUUGUUUGAUUGAUGGAUGGCCAUUACAUUGAAAUUGGUCUAUGCACUCUGUUUGGUUAAAACUAUUUGAGUAGUUCUCAUCAAGAAUCCCUACACAUUUUUUUUAUUAUAUUCAUUUCCUACUUUUAUUCUAUCUCUCCACACACACACACACACACACACACACACNCCGGGGCAAACCAACCCCCUAAUCGCCCCUAUUGUUUUCAAUAGGGGCGAUAAGGCGGUUUACCUUACUUUUGACCGGCCCUAUAAAAUAGGGCCAGUUUGGAACGAUAAGGGCCAAUAGGGCCCUAUCGUUCCUUAAACAAUAAGGUGGUAAAACCACCUUAUCGCGAUAAGGUUACGAAUUAAAGUUUGAAUUAAUUUUAAUAUUUAACUUAAUUUUGAUUUCAUAUAUUUAUAUUAUAUAAUAUAUAAUAUUAUGUUAAGGAAUUCACAUUGUGAUUGUUUGAUUGAUGGAUGGCCAUUACAUUGAAAUUGGUCUAUGCACUCUGUUUGGUUAAAACUAUUUGAGUAGUUCUCAUCAAGAAUCCCUACACAUUUUUUUUAUUAUAUUCAUUUCCUACUUUUAUUCUAUCUCUCCACACACACACACACACACACACACACACACACACCCCCUUCCCACCACCCCCUCCAAAUUUGGCUGAUAUUAAUGAAAAGGAAUUAUAACUAGUUGAGAGGAGAUUUUCGGCACUUUAGAAAAUAAGUGUGUAUGUUUGCUCUACCGUGUUAAUUUACUGAAAUUACUGUCAUUGUACAGGGUUAUGUGUAAUUCCAGUUGUAAGAACCUUUAGAACACAUCAACUUGUGUCAUACGUUGUUAGGCCUUUUUGACAAAACGUAGGAAUAUUAUUUGAGUAGAGGUAUUUGAAGAAGUUGCAAGAUGUGUUUGUUUAGAGUAUUGUAGUUCCAUGGAUAGGAAAUAAGGAUAGUUUAUCCACUAUAAGAGGGCAAAGGGAAUUAUCUAGGCUAAUGGUUCCUUAUGAGAGUAGCAUAACUCCAUUCUAGCGUACAGUUUGAUAUCUCCUACUUAGUUCUAGUUGGAAAUUUAUCAAACUCAAAAGUACUUAACAGGAUAGCAGGGAUAUUGCCAUUAUCUUUCCAACUUGCAAAUGCUGAAUGUAAAUAUACUUGGCAUGGAGUUGAACAAAAAAACUUUUAAGUUAGACCAGCUUUUUAGGGAGCUCUUUUAGUCUUCGCACUAUGCUAGGAGCUCUAGAUUUUUUUUCUGUUUGCUAAACGUCUGACUUUUGCUUCUUGAGUAGAAUAACUUUUUUAGAAGUCAAACCAAUUAGGUAGUAUAUACUUUUGCAUAUGCUAACAAAAGUAUGUAUUCGAAAAAUAUUUGCUGAGCUAACCUGUGACAUUAGGAUGCUAGCACAAGUAUCACUGCUGUAUAUGCUGUGCAAACUUGUGUUAAGCAUGGCCAAGGAAUAUGAAACCUUAACAAGAAACUUUUUAGCUCUAGUCAACAUGGGAGAUUGCUUUUGCUAAGUUUGCUAUUGUCGGUCAACUUUCACAAAAGAAUUCAAUGCCAAUCCUACCAAAUCCUAGAGGGAUGUGAUGAAAGUGUAUGUAUCUUUAGCAAAGGUUGAGCACAAGUUUGUAAGAGACAUCAAUUACUAUCUUACUAGUGCCUAUCUGUUCUGGCUUGUAAGGUUUUCUAUUCGGGAAGCAAAAGUUAGUUGUUUGACAAAUAGAAAGUCUAAAGACUAAAUUGUAGUGAAAGGACUUUUAAUGCUUUCUUUGAACAACUCUAUGAAAUGUAUUUAGAAUCGACAAUCACACCGAGUAGUCUCUUAAUCAAGGAAAGAAUAGAAAUAGCAUUUUCUUUUGUUUUGAUAGCACACUUGGACUAGAAGAGUAUUUGGAGUCUUUCAAGAACUCAAAUGAUAUACAAAUGUUGUUUUAGUAGUUUUGAGUUUUGGAUUAUUAUAAUGGAAACAACUAUAAGAGCUUUUAUUGGUAGAUUUGAUCUUAUGUAGGAAUAAGAAUGCAUAGCGAGAUUUCAAUUCAUAAGAGGUUCCUAAUGUUUCGCAAGUAUAUAAUAGGUCUAUUAAAAGUGCUAAAACCAAUAUCGAGAAGGCUAUGGUUCACGGAAAGUUUUUAUUUGGAAGGUGAACGCACGAAAAGGGAUUACUUGAAGCGCAUUUUAGACUUUAAAUCAUCUUUUAGCUUGGGCUAGAUCUAGGGUUAGCUCUUUUUAUCUUUCUACUUUUGCCAAAAGCUCUAGAACUUUUGUUUGUCAAACAUCUGACUUUUGCUUCUUGAAUAGAAAAGUUACUUUUGUAUUUGUGCCAUACGAACUAUAUAUAUAUUUGUGUAAAAAUGAAACUAGCACAAUGUGGCACUAUAUGACAUGCAGUUAAUCAGUUAGAAGCACAGUGUGGGAUGAUGAAAAUUCAAAGAGAAACUGCUUAGGUUGAAGUAUCUUUUAAAGUUAGCUUUCAGUAAGGCUGGAUGGUUAGCAUUUGCUUUACAUUAUUUCAUUAAAGGAAUACAUGAACUAACAUUACACCAACUAUAUUAUCAUAUACUUGUUUGUCAUUCUUUGAGUGGCUCCUAUAUUGAGAAGCAAAAGUUAGGUGUUUGGCAAACAAAAAGUUUAGAGCUUUUGGCUAAAGUGGAAAGUUAAUAAGAGCUUAUUACUUCGAAAAUGAAAAAGUUCCUUCCUUCUGAGCCUUUUUUUUUUUUUUUUGAGAGAGAGAUAGAUAGCAUGCUACCCGCUUCGUUUAUUUCAUUUAGAAAUAAACUUAGCUGGAAAUGUGAAUCAACUAGGAUUUCGAACUUGGGACCUCGGGUACCAACCACCAAGCCCUUUGCCACUUGCGCUAAGGACGGUCGGUCCUUCUGAGCCGUUUAGUUGUGAAAAUUAUAGGUUUGUUUUGGACAUGUUUGAUAAUAACGAAAAAGGGUAAAUACCAUCUACAAGAAUACCAGCUAUGAAAUCGCUACCAUAAAGCAUACAACUGCCCAGUAGAAUAUUAGUUAUGAAGGUUUAGGCAGAAUACAAAAAAGUUUGCUUGUGGGUUUGUUCACUACUAGUCUAUUACCCUAAUUUCUUAUCCUCUCCCAGCUAAAUAGUUUUAGAAGUUCUAUCGGGCUUUUUAUGGGCAUUUGGUAAAGUCGUAAUAUUGGCAUAGCUAAAAUUGUUAUUGGCAGAGUAGGUUUAUUGAAUCUGGUCAAGUCUAUCAUGUAGACAUCAAUGAGAUUUAUGUGAUAGACUUGACCAGAUUCAAUGAACCUGCUCUAUCAAUAACAAUUUCGGUUUUGCUAAUAUCACUAUGAUAGUUGCCUAUAAGUAGGAGGCUAAUAGUAAUUUAGGAAGUGAGAUCUAUGGCAUUUCAUUGGUGCUCAAGAAAAUAGGGUCUGCAUCAUUUCGUUAGAUCUAUGGCAUUUCAUUGAUGCUCAUGAAAAUAGGGUCUAUAUCAUUUGAUUCAUUUCGGUAGUUGCAUUUGCUUAUGUAUUUAUAGUAAGUAAUUAGAUAUUUUGUACGAUUACCUAUUGUGUGGACUCUAUAAAUCCUCAAAUUGACCAAAUUGAUCAAUCUGAUGUAGUAUCUUGUUUACUUCAUAGUAAAUGGGAGUGGAACAAGCAUUUUUCUGUUGCAUAUUUGACAAGAAUCAGACUUAUUUCAUCUCAAUUGCUAUUUGACUUUUAUAUAAUAUAUCAUAACAAGUGGCCAUAGGAUGCUCAUUGGAAAAACUCUGAUGAGAAAAUCUCUUUCCUUUUCACUAGAACUCACCUCUGAUCCCAUCCAAUCCCCACUUGGACUUGCUUUUAGGGCUUAAGAUCUCUUUUUUGGAUACUAGUUCAUCCAAAAGCUGUAAAAUUUUUGUUUGCCAAACGUUUGACUUCUGCUUCUCGAGUAGAGAAGUUGUUUUAGAAGCUGGGCCAAAAUAGUCACUAUCAGUAUAUGCAUUGGCAUAUGCUAGCUUAAUUAUGGCUCCUUUUAGUUCAGAUCAUUGGAAGAAAAAUUUUCUAAGUUGUGUCUCCAAGCUGACCUUUGCACGUGCUGGCUUAAUUAUGGCUCCUUUAGUUCAGAUCAUUGGGAGAAAAAUUUUCUAAGUUGUGUCUCCAAGCUGACAUAAUGUUCUAGUUGGUCUUUUUGGAAGACAGUUUUCUCUUAUUUGAUCAAGAUCUCGUGAGAAUAGUUAAGAUCCAAUGUAGGCUUAGGGGGGAUGGGUAUCUUUGAUAGUGAGGCCUUUGCCCUCGUUAGACAAUGUGCAUGUGCUAUGGAAAAUUCUUGAUUAACAAAUUCAUGAAGUACUGUCUUAGUGCCUUUUUGCCUUGCUUCUUGAGCAACUUCUCUAUUCGAGAAGUAAAAGUCAUGCGUUUGGCCAAUAAGAAUUUUAGAGCUUCUGAAUGAAGUGGGAGGCUAAGAAGAGCUUCUAAGCACCCAAAAGCAGAAGCUACAUUUGAAUUUUUCCCUUCUAGCUUCUGUGGAAAGUUGUUUGCAGGAUUUGAACUACAAAUCUGGACUCUGAACAGUACUUGUAUGAUACCCAGUCUGAACAGGCUCCUAGUUUUGAAGAAAUCCUAACAACAUUCCUUUUAUUUCAACUUUAUGUAUCACUUUAUGUAUAUGCAGAUGAGAAAGUAUUCUGAUCCGGAAUUUCUAUGUAAAUCCUUGGUGGAACUGUGAACUGCCUGAUGCUAUGAUCUAUUUCUCCUCUCUUUUUUUUGGUAUCUUUCUCUUUUUUGAUGACUCCCUCAGUAGGUUGAUUUGGAUAACUAGGAACAGGACACAAGGCUUUAAUUGCUCCAGCUUGCUUUUGGUGUCAUUGGGAAUGUAGAGUAUUGCAUUUGAUUCAUUUUAGUUGAGACGAGUUGCAGCUUUGUUAAGACCAGAACAUUUGUAUCCCAACAAUUGCUUGUCUUUAUGUCACAGAUAGGUCAAUUUGGAAAUGAUGCUAUUAACAUAUACAAUUUUAAUCGGACAGAUCAGAUUCAUUAAAUCUGGUCAUUAUUAGCCUAACAUGAUCAGAUUUACCGAAUAGUGACCAAAUUUAAUGAAUUUGAUCUGUUCCUAUUAAAAUUAUAUUUGUUAUUAUCACUUUCCGAGAUUUCAUUUCUUCUACCAUGAAAAGUUGCGGCUAUUAACAAAGGCAAUUUUGAUAGGGGGGGCUGAUCACGUUUAUUGAAUUCGUUUGCUAUACACUUUAUGAAUGCGAGCGGAUUUAAUGAAUUUGAUCUGUUCCUAUUAAAAUUGUAUUUGUUAAUAUCACUUCCGGAGUUUCCGUCUCUUCUGUUAGGGAAAGUUCCGGCUUCUCGUCUUUCUCAGCUGCUUUGAGGAGUAGGAUUUGCCCAGGGGUUGAAGGGACUUUCGCUUCUUAAAUUGUACAUACUUGAGAUUUUAAUUAGUUUGCAGUGUAAAUGAUAGAAACAGCUGUUUUGUACAACCUUUCAAAAUCUGUACAUGUUUACGGAAAAUAUUUGUACAAUGAAUUCGUGUACUGUAUGUAUGCAACCACUUCAUUUAAUCAUGUAUUGUGUUUUUAUUUUAAAAUCUUGUAGAGAAUGACACAUUCUAUAUCAGUUAAAGUAAACAGGUGUUCAAAAUCAUGUCAAAUGAGUUCUCAAGAAAACAAUUUACCAGCUUAGUGUGAUUCUGUCAUGCAUCUGGGUUCUCAAGUACAUUCGUAGACGAUUUAAAAUAAAAAUCUAUAUCUUUAGCUGCAAUUUGGAACCUCUAAUUUGAUUAGGUACUAAACUUUAUAUCUCAGCUUACGUAUUUUAGAUUUCUUUCUAUAUUUGACUAAAGUUUUUAUUAUUUUUCAUUGUUUCAAAUCAUCUUUCUCAAAAAUACUUGUGAGUUUCAUUUUAUUUGUCUUUAAAAUUAAAGUGCGGAUUUUAAUAUUUAUUUUACUUUCUAUUAAUCAGAUUAAAUAUUUUGUUAAAUUUAUUGAUGGUUGUGCUGAUUUUAACAAUUUAGAUAUAUUUUAGUUGAAAAAAAAAUUGUAGAUUUUGUUAACCGCUAAUGGUUGAUAGCUAAUAAAUAUUUUUUUUUGAAAAAUAAAUCUUCUGAAUAAAUUUAGAAAAAUAAUUUAAAUUAAAGCAAAUGAAAGUUUAAUUAAAAGUUUGUAUUUCUUAUCAAACGGACCCGUUUAUUGAGCCGGUGUUUCCUGGAUGCGUCCCCGAAAAUCCGGUUUCUAUUUUUUUUACCCAUUAAAACCUUAUAUUCUGGACCAUUAUGUGUGGUAAAUCUUUAUUUGUAGUGCGGCACGUGUGAGGCGUACAAGAACUGAUCGUAAUUAAAUUGGCAAAAUACAGUUAUAUAAUUAACUAUAGUCACCGGUCCACUUAAAUUAAUAAAAAAGAAAAAAAAAUCUCAGAUAGAGUUGAAUACUAGGUGGGUGGUGACCAUCGUCUUUUAUUCCUCUCUCUUACUCUACCGUUUGGUUCGGGUAUAAACAAGAACUAGUUAUUACAAAAAUAGAUACAAGUACGAGGAUAAAAAAAUAGCGUUUGGAUGAAAAUUAGGUUACUUCCGGGGAUAAGAAAAAUAUCGUUUGGAUAGAUAAUAUGAAAUAAGAAAAAUAUUAGAUAGUUUUAUAUAGAAAAUGGAGGUGUUGGUGGGAAUAGUUAUACCCGGUUAUUAUAGAUAACUGAGAACUACUAUUUUUGGGUAAAAAAUUAGCGUUUGGGUAUAAAGGGGUAUAAGGGUUUAUUCCUAUCCCUAUCCCCUAACCAAACACUGCAAAUAUGUUUUAUUAUUAUUUAUUUAUUUUUGAUAAUGGAAUUUCUAAUCACGAUUGGUAUAUGAACAUGACCUAUAUUACUUGAAGUAUUUAGAAACUAAAUUUUAAUUUUAUUUCGAUAUUAUUGAUUUAAUGAUUAAAGUGUUUCAAAAUUUAUAAUUUUAAUAGUCAAUAUAAGACUUUCUCGUUUAAUGAUGUAAAGAUAUACAAAUUAAUUAAAUUUUGAUUAGAAAAUUUUUUAAAUUAUUUAAAAUAAGAUCCAUAUUUUUUGUCUUGAUUACAAGAUUUUUAUCGUCAUAUUUUAAAGGAUAUUUAUUUUCAAUCGUUUAUUUUUGUGUCCACUUAAUAAACAUGAGAACAAUAUCGAAAAAAAUAUGGAAUUUAAUUUAUAAAUGUUUCAAGUAGUAUAAAUCAUAUAUAAUGAUACCGAUCGUCAAUUUGGAGGUUUCAUCAUCGAAAAUAAAUGGAUAACAAUGCAGUGACAAUGAAGCAUAUUUGCUAUUUUGCUACUAAUAGCAUUCUUGCUCAAUUUCUUAUAUCAUAUAAAAUAUAUUAUAAAAUAAUUUUAUUGUGUCGAAUAUGAUAGUUAAGAGUAUAAUCAAGGAAAAAUUAAUAAUUUUAUGUUAAAAUAGCAUAUAUUUUUUAAGUAAUAUAAAAACUUAAAUAAAUUAUUAUUAUUAUUAAAUAAUAAAUAGAAUAAUUAUAAAUGAGAAAGUUUUACGUCCUUUGUGAUAAAAUCUAAUUCGUUAAUAUGAUGGUUAAAAGAGCUAAUUUUAUAUUAUAAAAAUUUUAAAAAAUUUAAAAAUAUUUAUAAUUUUUUAUGCUUUAAUUAUAAAAUAAAAUUAUGUUUGCAAUCUCGGCGAACAAAAUGUAGAUUGCUAUUCUCCUCCGAUGGCCACUACAACUAUAUUUUUUUUAACAUAAAAAAAGUGAAGUUUCCUUUAAAUUUUUCGAAUAUUUUAUAUGUGAUAAAAAUAUAAUAUAUUUUAGUCAUUAUAUUACCAAAGCUGGGCCCAAUUCAGAUAAGGAAAAUUAUAAUCUUUUGUCUCCUCAAUAUUUGAUCUCUGAAAACACCAACUUGCUUCAUGUGCUCACUCCCAGAUUUUGCACCCCUUCUCCUCUCUCUCUCUCUCUCUCUCUCUCUCUCUCUCUACACGAAAGAGGAAUCGAACGCUUGCUUCCUCUCUCUCUCUCUCUCUCUCACCAAAACGCAAUUUCCUCUCCUCACUCCCACCCCCACCAACUCCUCCCUUUUCCCCCCUCUCCUGUUACCAAGCAAAAGCCACUCAAUAACAAAACCCCAUAAAGCAAAAAAGAGACCAAUAAACCCACCAAAGCAACCCAAUCCCCCCUUCUCUCUCUCUCUCUCUCUCUCUCUCUCUCUCUCUCUCUCUCUAUUUCAGCUCCAGCUCCAGCUCCAGCUCCAGCUCCAGCUACCCCAGGAGUGAUUAUGAAACCCUUUCCCUUCUUCUUCUUCUUCUUCUUCUUCUUCUUCUUAUCGAUCCUCCCCUUCUCCAGCUCUUCUUGCUCUCCCCAUUCAUGCCAGGUGUGUGUGUGUGUGGUUUCUAUUGAUCUGAGCAUGUAUUCUGUGUGUGUGUGUUGUUGUUGUUGUUGUUGUUGUUGAUCUGAGGCAUAUAUGUUGUAACCUCACACAGCUCCAGGAUCCGUGCUCUUCCGCCGACGACUGCGCCGCGGGGCUCAACUGCGGCAAUUGCCCGGCCUCCGGCAUGGCCGGGCCCUCCUGCAUCCGCGCCCAGGCCGUCGAGCCCACCUCCAUUGUAACCCCCCUAUCUCGACCUCUCUCUAUACACCUCUCUCUCUCUAUAAUUCCAUCAGCUUGGGUAAACUUGAUUGGUUAUGUUUUAGGUUAAAGGGUUGCCCUUUAAUAGGUAUACUUGGCUCGUCACUCACAAUUCAUUCUCCAUUCUCGGUGAGCCGUCGUACACCGGGGUGCAGAGGGUAACUUUUUACAACCAGGAUGAUACUGUUGCUAACCAAUUGAGGGUAAUAAUGUUGCUGUAUGUUGAUGCUCGAAGUUGUUUGUCUUAGGGUUUCCUCUCUUGUUGCUCAAAUUGUUGAAAGUUUUUUGGGUUGUUUGUUGCGAAUUUGUAGAAUGGUGUGAGGGGGUUGAUGCUGGACAUGUAUGACUUCGAUGGCGAUGUAUGGCUCUGCCACUCAUUUCAGGGGCAAUGCUACAAUUUCACUGCUUUUGUAAGUUCAACUUCAGAAUUUUAACCUUUGUUUCAAUUACCUAUUUAGCCAUAUUGACCAAAAAAGAAAAAUUUUGGGGGGCUACUCGCUAAUUUAGUUGCGGAACUUCGAUCCCGAUUUCGAUUUCGAACCUUUCUUGUCCGUGAAGUUUGUUUUGCAUAAUGAUAAAGUUGUUCGGGUACUUAAGCGCAUGCAAAAGUGCCCCAUUAGCACAACAAUAGUAGACUUUCCUUUGGUAUAAAUUUGAGGAUGAAAUAUGAGAUUGAAAUGAGGAUCAUACUUUAGAAACUGAUUAUUUAUUGAAAGUCUUAAAGACGAAAUUGAAAUUUGAGUUAAAUUUCAAGGAAAGGGUUAUGCUAAAACGGUAACAUAGAAUGGCUGCUGUCUAUAAUUUGUUAGGAACCAGCAAUCAAUACUCUGAAGGAGGUGGAGUCAUUUCUCUCAGCAAAUCCGACAGAGAUUGUGACCAUAAUCAUCGAAGACUAUGUCCACGCUCCCAUGGGUUUAAGCAAGCUAUUUACUAGCGCAGACUUGGUAAAGUACUGGUACCCGGUUUCAGAAAUGCCAACUAACGGCAAGGACUGGCCGAGCGUGACCGACAUGGUGGCAAAGAACCGCCGGCUUCUGGUUUUCACUUCUGAUGCUUCCAAGGAAGCUAGUGAGGGGAUUGCUUAUCAGUGGAAGUACUUGUUGGAGAAUGAGCGUAAGUUCUCUAAAUCUUGAUGUUUACUUUAAUUGAUCAUCAUGUUAUUUUGUUAGUCGAUCUGCCAUUAACUUCCCCGGAUAGCUUGAGACAAUAAAAGUUGAGUUAUAUUGAUAGUAGUUAGAUGAUAUAAAAGGCAUGUAAGUGGUCUUGAAAUGUCAAAUUUUCUUUUUCAAGUAGUGAUUCACUUACAAAGUAAUACUGGUUUUAGACUUACUAAACUCAGGUAACAGACAUUUUGAGAAUAAAGUAUUGUCAUGAUGGUCCCAUAGGUAGAAAAUAGAAGAGGAUAAACCUAUUGAGUUAACCUUAUAAUAAGAGUAGAACAAUAAAUGAGAUGCCCCUUUUGAGUUCAGUUAUGUGUUCCGCCUAUUAAUACUUACUGGCUUGUUUAUUAUUGCCUAUAUUAUUUUACGGACCUCGUCCCGCACGGUCCCAUUGAAAAGUAAACUGGAAAGUGAAAAUUUUUUCAUUAGAACAGAAGUGCUGCCUCCAGGUAUAGUGUUGAUUUCUUCUGAGUUUGGAGAAAUGAAAUGGAUUUCGAAGGCUUCUUUAUACUUCAUAAGUUUUCAGAUUCGUAAAUAGAGGUAGGCCUUAUCAAAACCAAAUUAUAUCACUCUGUAUUUUUCUAGGAUUCUACAUUUCAAAGUAAAUAAAAAACAAAGGUCAAGGAGAAAAGAAAUGGUCGGAAACUGUGUACUGCAAGAGACGCCACCUUUCCAUGCUGUGAUGUCAGAGACCAUAUGACUCGGUGUCUUGUCCUCUGAAUUGCUAAAUUCAAUCCUAAGUUCAGCAAAUGGUAAUGACGAGUUAAACUAUCGAGUUACCAAGGCCAUAAGUUUUCAUGACUCCGUGAGCUAAGUUAAGGAUGAGAAGCAGGCUACGAUGGUAACAUAUACAGCAAGGAAAUUUGUGGAGUUUGAUAUGCUAAAUAGCCUGAUUUCACUUGUAUGGUUUACAAAUGAGGAAAAUUUUAGUUACAAUGAAAAGAUGUUGUUGAAAAAGAUAUCAAAUAACCGUCUCUGGCACAAGCGGCAAAGGACUUGAUGGUUGGUAUCCAAGAUUCCAAAUUUGAAGUUUAGUUGCUUCACAUCUCUAGCUAAGUUUAUUUUUUAAAAAAUAAAAUGAAUAUAGUGGGUACCAUACUAUCUUUCUCUCUCAAAAAAAGAGAAAGAUAUCAUAUAAAACAGUCUCUAAGGAGCUAAAACUAGUUGCAAUUUGCAUUGCUAACCAAAAUUGUCGGCCCUCUCUACGUUGCAUGAUAAACCUCGAUUAUUCUAAUAUUUAAUCACAAUUUUUAUUAGCUCGCAUUAAAAGCUUAAGUUCCUUCUCAUAUAUUGAAUGAAGUUUCUUGACAAUAACAUGCAAAAUAAUGUUAUUGUAAGCAAAGGAAACUGAAGAUUAGUGCUUUUUCGGAUCCUUGCCGCUUGCUGAUUUUAAUAUCAUGGCUGUUAAUUCGUUCGAGUCUUUUGUCCUAGCACUCUGACUGACCUUAUAUAAUUUUGUGUUCUUGUCCUUUCCAGCUGGGGAUCCAGGGAUUGUGCCUGGCACUUGCCCUAAUAGAAAGGAAUCACAAGCUCUGAACUCAAGAUAUGCGUCUCUAUUCCUGCAAAACUACUUCCCAACCAUUCCUGUUGAGAAUGAAGCUUGCAAGGAGAACUCCGUGGGUCUCGCUCAGAUGGUUGACGCUUGCUAUAAAGCUGCCGGAAAUCAAAUGCCUAACUUUCUUGCAGUGAAUUUUUACAUGGUAAGCGAUACUAGUUCGUUUCACCUCAAAAGUACAAAAUCUGUAACAUGAAGAAAGUUGCAAUUUCCUGAACAAGGGAUGUACUUGCAGAGAAGUGAUGGUCGAGGAGUCUUCGAUAUUCAAGAUCGAAUAAACGGGCUAGCGCUUUGUGGCUGUAGCAUCAUUAGUUCCUGUCAGGUCUGUUUGAAACUUUUAAGCUUUAUGAUAUGCUCGAAGACCCCAAACUUUUUGUUUAGCGAAAAGCUGACUUAAGAAAGCUUCCUAUAAAUGUUGCAUUUUCAUUCGGCCCCCCCUCUCCCUAAGCAUUUGAAGACUUCAUCACUUUGCAUUUGCAUCCUCCUUACUGUUCCUUUAGGCAGUGAUCACUUCUCUCAUAUUGAUGGUUUCGCUAAAUUUUUAACCCGUAGCAAAACAAUCUGAAAAUUACACAUUAACGAGAUAUUUUGCAGGCUGGAGCACCAAUGGGAGUGUGCAAGAACACGGGAGCGUCUAAUCGAACUCCCGCUGUAAAUGGAAACAUUUACUCCGGGUAUAUACAAUUGUCAGGAUCUAUUUUGAAGUCCUACUCCGGCUUCAGAGCGAUCAAAUUGUUCAUCAUGUUGCAACUUCUGCAGCUCCUAUUGUAGUCAAUCAUUCAUGUUGAAUCACCAUUCGAUUUGUUCACGAGCUUGUGAUAUGACAUUUUUUGCAGUCAUUAAGGUAUCUCAGCUUCGUUUUUUGGCAUGGAUUUUAGAAUAUUUAGGAAGGGAAUGCUAGGCAAAGGAUGAUGACAAUGUAAAAACUUUGUAAAAUUAUAUGGUUUGAUAUGAAAUAUAUUAGCUUAUGUAUGGCUGUAGUACUUGGAAGUUAAUAUUGGAUUUGUCCCUUGAAGAAUUGCUGAUAUUAUGUUGAUCGAUCGCUAAUCAUGUUGUUUGAAUUUCAAAUCAGAUCAAGUUCUACUGAGGAUCUGUUUGGUUCAACGUAAAAUCAUAAAAAAUAAUUUUCGGUAGAAAAAAAGAUUUUAUGUUUUGUAGUGUUUGGUUUGUAGAAAAAAAAAAAAAGUUUUUCAUCAACAUUUAUUUGGUUAAAAUAAAAAAAAUAUCCACAUUUAUUUUAUUCGGUGGAAAAUAAUAAAUGAAAAAGUUUUACGUAGAUUGAGUUUUUAUUUUCCGCAGAAAAACGGUUAAAAAUGAGAGUUUUAUUUUUUUCAAAUUCGUAAAAAUAUUUUUACGUCGAACAAAACAAGUGAAAAGUAUAUUUUUUUACAUCAAAAAUAAAUUUUUUGUUCGUUUUACACCGAAGCGAAUUCUCCUGAAGCAAUUUCUCAAUGGAUAAUGAGAUCUGUUUUGCAGGUGAAUGUCCAGAUCCUGGAUGUUCUAUCAGAUAAGGACUUGUAAGAUAUUAUUCUUGGGAUGUUUGUUUGGCUUCAUUGGAGCUUUUGCAAGAAGUAUUUUUGAGUAGAAUUUUAUUUGAAGAAGAAGCUGCUGAUGUUGCGUUAAGUCUCCACAACAAGUUAGUGAUAUUUUUUGUACCUAUAAUUACACUAGAAAAAUAUUAGAAUAUUACAUAAGUUAUUAAAUUAUAACAACCAUAAUGUUGCAUGGAGUAAAACAAAUCAUUUGUACUUGCAAUCAUAAAAGAUAAUAUUUAUAAAACAAUAAAUUUUUAUGGGCAUAUUAUUACAUUGAAACAUUUUUUAGGAUCACAUCUUAAAGCACUUAAAUUUUAUCUUGUAUCUCUAAUCUUGUGUGCUUUAUAUCUCAACUAGGUUUGAUUGUAACAGCAUAUAUGUUGCUCUUAAUUUGGCAUUACACAUCACAUAAAUAUCAAAUAAAUAAGGCUAUUGGCGUAGCAAUAAUCAAAGCCAUACAAGUCUCAAAAAUAUCUUUUUCAAAAAAUUGUAGUUUGAAUUCUAAAAGAGAGAAAGCAACUUGAACUGUUAUACACCCAAAAUUCAAACGUGGACUGCGGGAAGAACUAUUUACUGCACAUGGUCUACCACGAGGGCCAGAGAUGUAUGAAGAGCCCCCUCGAGUAUAUGUCAUUUGAAAAGGCCCCUCAACUUAUAAUUUUUGUUUUUUUUGCACUUUUCAAACUUAGGUAAGUUAAAAAAUUAAUUUAUUUAGUGAAAAGUAAUUAAAUUUCUAAAAUUUGAUAACAUAACUAAUUAAUUUGGUAAAGUUUUUGAUUUUUUUUUUUUUUUUACUAAAAUCACUUAGGGCUUGUUUGGUUCAAGGGUGGAAUUGGAAUGGAUAAUGGAAUGGGAAUGAAUUGGAAUGGUAAUUGGAAUGGCCCACUCCCCCAAGACGUUUGGUUUAUUUGUGGAUUGGGAAUUAGAAUGAGUUAUUCACAUUUCAUUGUUUGGUUCGUAUAAACUAAAAAAAUUAUAGGAUACUAUAAUACUAAUUUUACUCUCAAAUAUAAAUUUAUAUUAUUUAAAAUUUAUAAAAAAUAUAAUACUAUUCUCUAAUAAGUUUUUCAAAAAAAAUAUCAAAUUUAUUUUUAAAAACUUUUAUUGAUGUGGGUUAGGGAUAGAGUUUUGAGAGAGGAUAGAUUUUUUUUUUUUUGUGAUGAGAAAGGGGUGAAGAGAAGGAGGGUGAGAUGGUCACAUGGGCUUCGAGAGCUUAGUGGGCUUUCGAAAUGAAAUCUCAAUCCGGACUAGAAGAUCGGAAUCAGGUUGAAGACUAAUGGGUCAUUCUCAUUCCAGUCCGGAAUAGAAAUUCCAAACCGAUUCAUGCGAACCAAACGAAAUUAACCGGAUUUGAUCAAACCGAUUCCCAUUUCAUACCUAAAAUGGAUGAACCAAACAAGCCCUUAAUUUUUUAAAAAAUUGAGGCGGCUUGAGGUUAAAAACUAAAUAGGUGAAGGGGUUUCUAUACGUUUUACCCCAAAAAAAGAAAAAUCAAAAGUUACAGUGAUGGACGGUGGAUGUUUAUGCGGUCCACGGAUGACGUGGUGAACCAGUUCCAUGUAACUAAUUUUCGCACUGUCGAAUAAUAAUCUGCAUAAAACGCAUUUCCACACAGGGAUAUCUCCCAGUUCCUUCUCGCUCCAUCUCUCCUCUGAAAAAAGAACGAGGAAAAAAAAAAACGAGGAGAGAGAGAGAGAGAGAGAGAGAGAGAGAGAUGGAAACCCUAUUCAUCUCCGAUGCCCUCAUCACUCUCCUGCCCACCUUCGCCCACCGCGGCGGCGUCGCCGCCUCCGGCGCCUCCCUCCCCCUUCUCCUCCGCCACCGCCGCCGCCGCGUGGGGCCCACUUCGCCGCCUCGCUCCCUCCUCGCGCCUUGUCCGCGCCGCUGGGCGCCCAUCGCCGUUGCGAGGAACGGGGCUCUCAUGACCAACUCCACAGGGGUGAGUCGCCCUUCGAUCCACUCGCUCCUCUUCUCUCUGUUUCUUCGUUCGUCGGAUCGAUCCUGGUGUGGCAAACGUCAAUUCGCUGAAGAGAUCACGCGAAUCGAUCGUAUUUUAGUCUUGAAAACUAGGGUUUGUUCUUAAUUUUAGAUAGUCCACUUGUCGGAAGUGUUUUGAUCUCUGAAACCGCCACCUGCAAUAGCUCUCUCUUAUCGAUGUUCGAAAUUUUGAUCUAAUUAUGUUGCUUUAUUGUGUUUGCUUAGUUUGGGAGUCACAUAGGAAUUUUGUUAUAGAUGAGAUUGUAAAGUUUCCUACUUUUUCUAGAUAGAGGACUAAUGAUUGUUAUGAGCUCUAGUUCUCCUGAGCCUCACCCCGCUACGUAAAUUGCCCUAUAUAACCUAUCCUAUCAUGGUAGAUUCUGAUGUCUAGGUAAAAAGGAAAAAAAAAAAAAAAGUAAUGGAGUAUGAAGAUGCAAAGCAAGUACUUUCAUCGACGGACUACACAAUUUGUUUUGCAAACAUUGUAGGGAAUUGAUGAGAUUCUCCGAAUAUUUGGGGUCCUUGAAAUCGGUAAUUGCUAUACUUUGUUGGGUGUAUUGUUAUCCAUGUGUGGUUCAUCUCAAACUGGUUUCUUGAACUUGAGUAUAACUCUAAAUUUUAUAUCCUAGUUUCUGGCUCAAGUUUGAUGAUUAUGUUUUAAUGCAAGUUUAGACACCAGAUAUUUCUCUGGUCAUUUUAUUGUUUCAUGUGUGCCGAGGUGAAUACUUUUCAAUUUUGUUUCAGUUGCAGCAUAAUGUGUAUUGUGAAACUCCUGGAUGAUCUUAAGUUUUCCUUUUGAUGAUAAUUGUUAUUGGUUUUGCAGCAAAGCAAUGGGGUCUAUACAGUUGGUGAUUUUAUGACUAAAAGGGAAGAUCUACAAGUAGUGAAGCCAACAACUACGGUUGAUGAAGGUAAUUAAUAUCUGAGUUACCUUGGCUGCUUUUUGUUGUUACUAAUUAAUAACUUUGUAAUAUUUUCAACAGCACUGGAGAAGCUUGUGGAGAAUAGGAUCACCGGCUUCCCUGUUAUUGAUGAUGAUUGGAAAUUGGUGUGAACUCUUUUCUCUUUUGGCGUAGCUCUGUUUAUGUGGGUUGUCAUUUACAUUCUUCUUUUGAGUACUACAGUCGAACUCAAUUCCGUUACCUCAGUGGGUUUCUAACUUACCAUAUGAUCUUAUUGGAGCCUUUGAUAUAUAAUUUCUAUGAAGCAGCAUAUUUUUUCCGUUUCUAACUUACCGUAUGAUCUUAUUGGAGCCUUUCCAGUAUAAUUUAUGUGAAGCAGCAUAAUUUUUCCGUUCAAUUUUACGAGAGGCAACUGCUGAUUCACAAAAGAUCGAUAGAUGGCCAGAUAAUUUUCCUUGAUUUCUUUAUAUUUACGCAAAAUAUAACCAGGGAGUUGUAAGGUAUUUGGAGAAUGUGUUUCCAUGCUGGCAGACAUGUCCAAGGCUGAAAAAGGAGCGGAAAAUAGAGGAAGUUAAGACAAACAGGAAAAAAUGUGCAGUAGUAAACUAUCCUUUUGUCACUCACCAUGAUUGUUGUUCACUAUAGGGCUGAUGGCAGGAAUCAAAAGCAUAUAAAAAAGUAUGGAUUGGAGCAAUGUGUCUGAUAAAAUUUUUGGUCAAUAUAAUUAGAUGUGGAGUUUGUGUUGCAUAUGGGUUCUUUAGGGAUUUCAAUGUUUCUUGGUACCUUUCUGGUUUUAUAGACUUACACUAUGCAAAUGCUUAGAUAUUUCUAUCUCUACAACUAGAUAAUUAGAUUAAUAUCUACUCUCCUUCUGCAGGUUGGUGUUGUCUCAGAUUAUGAUUUAUUGGCAUUGGACUCUAUAUCAGGUCUCAGAUAUUUCUGUCUGUAGAAAAUUUGUUUCACUUCCUUAAUGUUGAUUUAGACAUAAGAGAUCAUAAGUGAUGGUGCGAAAAAGAUGCAAAUUGCUGGUUUUGUUUGUGCAUCAGAAUUAUGCAGUUAAACUUUUUUUCUAUCUGUUUUGUGUUUAUAGGAAGUGGACGGGCUGAUACAAGCAUGUUUCCUGAGGUUGAUAGUACAUGGAAAGUAUGUAAGAAGUCAAUUUUGGCUAUUUACUUAUGACAAAUUAUUGAUACUGCAUCCUAUGCUUUGAAUCGUUUUCUUUAUGAGAUAUUUAUGAUUUGGACCAAGUGCUAGGAUAUAGUAUGUCUGUGCUUCAUUAAAAACAAUAAAGAUCGUUUGGUGUAAACUCUUUUUGUUUAUGAAAUUGUCUCUCUCCUAAUAAAUAAAAAUUGCUAAUUUAGGCCUUGUUUGGUACUGCUUCCACUUUCUUGUUCUUUUUAAGUCAAAUUGUCAAUGAUUGAAUGCGCCACGGGGAAGACUUUUUUUAUCCUUGUUAUUGUUGGUUGAUUUGCGACACACCUUGGCUAGAUGUAGAAUGGCUGCUUCUAUUAAAAGGGAAGUAAAGAGAUGCAAGAAGUUGCUUUUUUUUGUUGCCAAAAACCGUUAGGUGUAUAGAUUGCAUUAUUGCAAACAAUCCACAUCUGCCGGUGCACACGUUGUCAACUAAGUAAAAGAAAAACAAGGAAGCAGAAUUAAAUUAGGCUCUAAGGUAUUAAUAUCUGUCUUAGCGAAUAUGAAUUGGAAAUGUCAAUAAACAAGGUGUGGUACUAGAUAUUUCUUCUAGGUAUAUUAUAAGUUAUUUUCAUUGCGUAGAUUUGGACUGUGCAAAACUGCUGAAAGGUUGAAAAUACUGAAAUGGAAACUCUAAGUGUCUUUACUGAAUAGAAAUAGAAACUGAUUGCGAAUCAUGCAUAGGCUUGAUAUAUAUAUAUAUAUAUAUUUAAUUACCUUGACACAGGCAUUCAAUGAGAUCCAGAAACUGUUGAGCAAAACAAAUGGCAGAGUCAUUGGCGAUGUGAUGACACCUGCUCCACUUGUGAUUUGUGAGACAACUAACCUUGAAGACGCUGCAAGGUACCUUUCAUGCAAUGCAUGAUUUUUACCAAUAAGUGUUAUUAACUUUGUUCCUAUGAUCUGAAUCCUACAAUUUGAUGGGUCCUUUGAUUCCAGGUUAUUACUUGAAACAAAAUACCGCAGGCUUCCAGUAGUUGAUAGUGCUGGUAAAUUGGUAAGUGAAUGGUUUCUCGAUUGCUGCUUUGCUCAUUCUUUCUCUGCCUACCCUUAAUGCAACAAUAUCCGCUAGUAGUAACUUGAUCGGCACUGAGCAUGUGACCCAAAAUGAUACAAGCACAAAUUGCUGACACUCUUCCUACUUUGUUGAUAUGGGAGGAUUGGCAUGUGACACUUACUUGGUGUUCUUCUUUGAAGGUCGGAAUCCUUACGAGAGGAAAUGUCGUUCGAGCUGCACUACAAAUAAAACAUGCAAGCGAAAAGAGUUCUUAAGAAUAAGAUGGUGUUGGAUGGUUUCUGGAUUAAGAUCGGAAUGAAGUUAAAUCCUCAGCAUUUACUGCAUCUCAUGCUAGAAGAUGUAUUUAUUCUGCCCGUAAUUUUUAUUGUUGCCAAGAAGAACAGUAGUAUCCACACAACGGAUAAUCGAUAGGUUAUGUAUAUGUGCUUAAACUUUUGUUGGUCCCUUUUUCUGAAGGUUGAUUGUUCAAACAUUCUGAGAGUUCAAUGCUUUAGUAGCUAUUUAAUAUAUUGCUUCUUGCUUUCCAGAUUUUUGUGGGGAAGUUAUCUGAUUAUGCCAUUAUGCUAUUUCUUUUCUUUGCUUUAAUUGAAAAUUUAUUCUGCGGAAAUUAUUUUGUAGCUCAACUUAAAUACUCGAGUGAGUAAUACAUGAACGUGCAUCAAAUUCGUGGGAAACAUUAACGGCUUUCACUAUGCUCUAUCAGCAGUUACUGGUAUGCCGUUUGCAGAUCAUUUAUGCAAAUGGACAUCAUCAUCAAUGUAAUUUCACGAUAUGUACAUAUUUAUUUAUAUAUAUGAAGUUCACAUGACAUUUUAAAAUUUUCAGAAUAUUCAUGUAAUUUUGAAAUUUUAGAGGGUCCAACUCUUUUAUUUUCCUUCGCUUUUCUUUCCAUUCAAAUUGAGUUCGAUUGAGUGAGCUGAAUAAACUCAUCAAAAUAGUGACAGCUAAUAUUCACGAGAGGACUCAAUACACCAAUUUGCAACCUCUAUAUUAUGAACUACGAUUUUUAAUUCAGAUUUAGCCGGAAAAACUAGAUCAAAUAUAUAUAUUUUUUUACAUAGAAAGUCAAAAAAAAUAAUUCAGCGAACCUAUUCGGCUGGUCAAAUUAGAUCAAAUAUAUAUAUAUAUAUAUAUAUAUAUAUAUAUAUAUAUGAUCUUUAACACGGAAAGAAAAAAAAAAAGAAAUUCAGCGAGCCUAUUCGACUGGCCAAAUUGGAUCAAAUAUAUAUAUAUAAUAAAAAAACCUCAUCAAAUGUUGACGAGAGAAGGGUCAAUUUUUGGACAUGUGAUGGACCGGGUCCAGGCAUCACAAUUUUUGUUCCCAGAGACAAGUGCACGAGCGGACCAGCGAACACCGGUCGCCCGCUGCGAGUAACGCCCCCGCCCAACCCCCAACCCUUGCGUUGCGCGUGACACGCGUCCAUUGUCGUCCGCGCAAGUAAUCCGUGGGCAGUCCCAUCCGACGGUCCACACCAUCCGGGAUCCCGAUCCAACGGUAGGAAUCGGGGUUUAGGGUUUUGCAUCGUCGCUCCCCCUCUUUCUAUAAAUACCCCUCGGUCGCCGCCUCCCCCUCGGCGCGGUGGAGUCCGAGCUGCCCCUCCAAAACCCUCGCCGAUCCCUUACCACUCCCAAAAAAAAAUCGAGAAAAAUACCCCAAAAUCAGGAGGAAAAAAAAAGGAAAAAGACCUCAAGAGAUCUAUAAACCCUAGAUCUCUCUUAUCUUUCAACUUCGAUCUCGUAGGAGAGGGUUAUCGCUCGAUUCCUCUUCGCCUUCGUUGUUGUUGUUGUUAUUGUUGUUCGUGUUGUUGCUGUUGCUGUUGCUGUUGCUGUUGGAUCUAGGAAGGGUGAUGGCGCAGGCCCAGGUUCAGGCGCAGGCGGCGGCGGCGGCGGCGGCAGCGGGUGGCGGGGCGAACCAGUUUCCGACGACCUCGCUCUACGUUGGGGAUCUGGAGUUCAAUGUGACGGACGCGCAGUUGUUCGAUCUGUUCAAUCAGGUCGGGCCCGUCGUGUCCGUGCGCGUGUGCCGCGACGUCAACUCCCGCCGAUCGCUCGGCUACGCCUAUGUCAACUUCAGCAACCCCGUUGAUGGUGAGAUUUGUUUGCAUGUUGUGGAUUGGCUAAUCUAUUUGCCUUUUGAUGCGUUUUCAUAAUUUUUUAGGGGGGAUUUUUAGUUAGAUAUUCGUGAGAUUUGGUGAAGAUUGCCCAAAAUGGGCGUAUUUUGUUUCAUUGUGAUGGUACAAUUAUUUUUCUGGUUGGUGUAUGUAUUAUGCAAAUCUAAGAUGAUUGACUGGAAUCUGUGAUGUUAGGAUGCCAAGCAGAUGCUGUGUUUGCAAAGGAUAUAAGAUUGAGUCAUGUUUGCGAGAUGACAAUGGAGUAUCGAGCCUUAAUUUUUUUGAAGAAUUAAAUUUAGAAUGAGUAGAAGUAAGUGUCCCUGUUAGAUUGAAUCAUGUUUUGUUGGAGAAUAAUGGAAUAUCGAAUCAAAUGGUAAUCUGGGAAUUAGUGGCAUCAUAGCAAAUUUAGUUGGUGUAGAUCACCAAAUAUGGAAUAGAAAGGGAUGAUCUGGUGGGAGUAUUUUGUUUUAUUGUUAUGGUAUGUUUAUUUUCUGGAGGAAUAAUUUUGUGCACUCUUCUUUUAUAUAUGAUGCAGGUCUUAGAUGAUUGAGUGGGAUAUAUGAUGUUACUAUAAAAAAUACAAGCAGUCUCAACAUUGGAGGAUGUACAGCUCAGUCGUUUUUUUUUUUGAAACACUACUUCGAAGAAUAAAUUUUAGAAUGAAUUAAAAAAAGAAGCGUCUGUUGGCUAAUAUUGAGUAAUGUUUGUCAGAUUAUAAUGGAAUAGUGAAUCGCUAUCUGGGAUAUACAUCUUGCAAAACUUAGAUGACUGGAUGCAGAUCUGUGAUGCUUGGUGAUUGCUUGAUUGACACAGGAGACGAGACAGUCAUGUUUGUUGGUGAACUGUGGAUAUUGAAUUGCAAUUUACAAGAAUUAGUUUUAGACUGUUCACUUAAUAAGAAAGUAGCGUCUCUAUCUGACCUGUCGAUAGUUUCUUUUUGAAUUUAUGAAUACACAAUACAAGUUGUUAUUAAAAUGAAAUGCAAAAUAAAAUUGGGUGACAACCAAAUUAACGUUCCAGUAUGAUCUUAUUUUUCACUAUAUAUCCUUAACUUACUGCUAUAAAAUGAAUUUGGGUCAAAUUGACGGUAGUCUUUACUCUCUAGGUUGUUUAUACUUCAUAACAAUUGUUGAGGAUGUGUAGGGUUCAUUACUUAUUGUUGUUCUCUCAUACAUAAUAGAGCUAUGAGCAACGAAUGUUCAAAAAAAUGGAAGCAUGGAUACUGUGUUUGAUAUUACACUCUUGAGCCUAAGCUAUGCACAGUAGCCAUGUAUUCUAUUACUUGUUUGAAACAUAUGCUAUAAUAUAUUGCUUUUUAAAAUAGAUGACUGACGUGCAGUAUAUUUAUGUUCUCACUGGGUAUCAGGCCUAGCUUCAUACGGUAACUGUCAAGGCCUAUUUCGUGCUUUCUUAUAUUUGUUUGUUGACAGCUGCAAGGGCAAUGGAAGUGCUAAACUUUACCCCCCUUAAUGGAAAGUCUAUUCGGAUAAUGUACUCUAAUCGUGACCCUACUUUGCGUAAAAGUGGUGCGGCAAAUAUAUUUAUUAAGGUAUUGUCUUCUUUUUUUCCUGUGGAUUGCGUGCUCCUAUGUUUCUUUUUUUUUCCUUUAGCAAUAUUCCAUGCAUGAGAAAUGUGAAUUACUUUGCAGAAUUUGGACAAGUCAAUUGACAACAAAGCACUGCAUGAUACAUUUUCCUCAUUUGGAAAUAUACUCUCGUGUAAAGUUGCCAUGGAUCCAUUUGGCCAAUCAAAAGGCUACGGUUUUGUUCAAUUUGAUCACGAGGAGGCAGCACAAAAUGCAAUUAACAAGCUAAAUGGCAUGCUGUUGAAUGAUAAAAAAGUUUAUGUUGGGCCCUUCCUUCGGAAGCAAGAAAGGGAAAAUUAUUCUGGUAGCUCCAAGUUUAAUAACGUGUUUGUAAAGAAUCUCUCAGAGUCUACAACAGAAGAAAAUCUUAAAGAAAUUUUUGGCAAAUUUGGAGAAAUUACUAGUGUGGUUGUCAUGAGGGAAGGGGAUGGGAAAUCGAGGUGUUUUGGUUUUGUUAACUUUGAGAAUCCAGAUGAUGCUGCUCAGGCUGUCCAGGAACUUAAUGGGAAGAAGUUUGACGAUAAGGAGUGGUAUGUUGGGAAAGCACAGAAAAAAUUUGAGAGGGAGAGAGAAUUAAAAGGGAGGUUUGAGCAGAGUAUACAAGAGGCAGCUGAUAAACAGCAAGGGACUAACUUAUAUAUUAAGAACCUGGAUGAUAGCAUUGAGGAUGAGAAACUAAAAGAACUAUUUUCAGAGUUUGGGACUAUCACUUCUUGCAAGGUUUUUUUUUUUGUGAUUUUUUGAUUUCUUAAAAUUACUUUAUAUAACUUUUCCCCCUUCAUACCUUUGUAACAUUCCCUUACAUUCAAAUAUUUUAACAGGUUAUGCGGGAUCCAAAUGGUGUUAGUAGGGGAUCUGGAUUUGUUGCUUUUAAGUCCCCUGAAGAUGCUUCUCGAGCUGUAAGCUGAAAAUUGUAAUUUUGAAAGUUUUAUAAGUAUGUACUAGAUUGUUUAUGAUAUAUUCCUUGCUUGCUGACCCUUUCUGUGUAGCUUGCGGAGAUGAAUGGCAAAAUGAUAAGUGGCAAACCUCUCUAUGUUGCACCGGCACAGCGUAAGGAAGACAGAAGAGCCAGGUUGCAGGUUAGUUGUUAUCUGAGCAGUUUUUGCUGAGUAAAUUUAAAGUUUUUAGGUAAACUUUUGAUCUAUGUAGGAGAAAUGGAGAUGCUGAGGAAUAUUUGUGAACAUAUUGUGAUAUAUUAUUGCCGCAUGUUUUUUAUGUUAUUGUGUCGUGAUGUCUUAGUGUAAGUUCACAGGUCCUUGUUUAAUUUGUGCAAAGUUGUCAAAUAAAAAGUAUUGAAUAGAGAAGUCUGACAUGAGAAGAACAGUUGAGAAAUAUAUGCGGAUUUACAUAUUUAGGCUUGUAAUCUAUGAGUUAGUUCUAUUCAGACAAACCAGGGGGUACUUGUCCAAUGUUCUUUGUGGGCUGUUUGCUUUUCUGCCAGUGCAGUUAGGCUAAGGGAGAGAAGUGAAAAUCUCACAACCAGACUUUCUUUCAUGAAUCUUUGUAACUUGUUUGUGUUUCGCUAAGUGUUUCUUGUUUUGUUUGUGUUGUAUCUUCAGCCAUCAUCAUUCAUAUUAUUAUGUAUUAAAUUGUCAGGCACAAUUUGCACAACUGCGACCUGUGGCUAUGCCUCCGGCAGUUGCUCCUCGCAUGCCAAUGUAUCCUCCUGGUGCUCCGGGAAUGGGUCAACAGCUGUUCUAUGGCCAACCACCAGCUGCUCUUAUUCCUCCACAGGUACUUGUUUUAUCAAUAUGAUCUGUUAUGUACGGGAUAUUAUUUUUUCUGUCUCUCUAACUAGAAGGCAUGGAUCAUAUUUUUCUUUUUUAAUUCAUAAUAUCUAUCUGGAACUCAGAACUUCAUGGUCUUUGAGUUGACUUAACUAGAUUUAGUCAAGUUUUCGAGUUUUAAGAGUUUUUUGAGAUUGAAGGCACUUAAGUAUGAUGGACUGCUCUCCUGUUCUAAUGGCAUGGGUUUGCAAGCUACAAAUAAUGAUCAGCCUAAAGUUUGGCCCCAGGUGCCUUUAGCCUCAUGUAAUUCAAGGGAAAACAGAAGCCAAAACAAUGAAAAGUGCUGAAGGAUCUGUAAUCAAUUUUGUUGUUUAUGUGCCACGACUUUGUUGCAUCUUUUUAUGCUCUCUUAUAUUUUGUUAAUAGGAUUUUGAUUAUCUUCACAUGGAAUUUAUAAAUUCGUGUCACAAAUUUUGCUGAAACCCAUGUCUGUUAUACAGCCUGGUUUUGGCUUCCAGCAGCCUCUAGUUCCAGGGAUGAGGCCUGGAACUGCUCAAAUUCCAAACUUGUUCAUGCCAUUGGUGCCUCAAGCUCAGCCGGCGCAGCGUCCUCCUGGUGCUCGACGUGCUGGGCAACAAGCGCCCCAACAUCCUCUACCUCUCGGUCACCAGCAGGUUCAGUUUUUUUACUCCCUUAUUUUCCGUGUUGUGAAUUGGUUUCUUUUUGAUUCUCAAUCGUCAUGGAAAAACUGUUGGAAUAAGAAUAUAUGAUGCCUGCAGAUGCUUCCUAGGGGUGGCCGCGGCCCCCGCUAUCAUCCAGGUGGGAUGCUCUCCGCUCCUUAUGACAUGGGAGGAAUGCCUCUCAGAGAUGUUGGCAUGUCCCAGCCUAUACCAAUCGGAGCGUUGGCUUCGGCCCUUGCAAAUGCAACCCCCGAUCAGCAAAGAACGGUAUAAUAACUUCUCUUCUCUCUAAAUGUUGGAUCAAACGAACUUACGUUCAACCCCUCAAAAUGAUUGGUUACUAUUCUUUCUAUUCUAUUUGCAGAUGCUUGGGGAGAGCUUGUACCCUCUUGUUGAUCAGCUUGAGCAUGCACAGGCGGCGAAGAUAACGGGCAUGCUUCUGGAGAUGGAUCAGACAGAGGUGCUGCAUCUGCUGGAGUCCCCCGAGGCCCUGAAAGCGAAGGUUGCGGAGGCUAUGGAGGUUCUGCGAACCGUCGCCCAGCAGCAGCAGCAGCAGCAGCAUGACGACGGCGUCCCCGCUGAUCAGUUGGCUUCUCUCUCCCUAAACGACGGUGUUGUUUCUUGAAGUCUCAAUUAGAUAGAAAUAUGUUCGGUCCAUAUGGAGAUCUGCUUUCGACUCUGCUAUAUUGUAGGUUUUUCUUUUUUUCCCCCCUUUUAUGACUGACUAAUGGUUUUGUUUUUUGGUCGGGCUUACAUUUUGGAUAGGUUUCUUGAUGGAUUUUUGUUGUCUUUUCUUUGGUUUUCGUUGGCAUUGGUCGAACUAUUUAUUGAGGUUAUUUUGAGGUGAUUUGGUGUGUUCGGACUUCGGUUUCAGUACUCUCUUUUAUCUCUGCGUGUCUUGUGAUCUUGUUUAAUUUGUGUUGGUUGGCUUGCUGUUCCAAGUGUUUCUGCUGUGGUGAGCUGAUUCCAGUAGCUUGGUGCCUAUCAGCUUUUAGCGAGGUUAACUGUUCUCGUUCCUCUGUCUGCUCUCCUGCAUAAAAUUAUGGACUUUUGCAGGCUUAAUGUGAAAGUCUACAGCAGGAGCUUUCUUCCGCCGCUGCUAGCGGUGGCCACAUUAGCGGCAACGGGGGUUGCUAAUCUCAAUUUUAAAUGAUCUUUAAGGCAUACUUUUCUUAUUUAUUGUAAGAACGUAAGUUCCUAUAAUAUGCCCUUGACAAAAUUUUACCCUGUCCGUGUCACGGUUCACCUGAUGAGUGAUGAAUCCUGUCUUGGUCUUAAUUCUUUUCUUUAUAAAUCUUUAUCUUUUUAUUUAUAUGCAUUUAUUUGGGACUCCAGUUAUUCAAACUUAUUGUUACUGUCAAUCAACAUCAAUCAGUAUGAACAACUGCCCGGGCAUUUCUUUUUGUCGAUAUCCACGAGGACUUAUUUUCUUCAUUCAAUUAUUAUUUUAGAAAUUCCAAUGAUCUGGAAUAAGGUAAUUUUUUUAAUUUCUCAAAUUUUUUGUUUGCGCAAAUUGUCCAUAAUUUGGAUAUACCGUGCCACAGUCAUUGAACACUACAAUAAAAAGAAAAUGUUUGCUUCCAUUUUGUCGGCCAGAUUGGCUUAGAACUUUCGUUUCAGGAUUUCCAUUUCAACCCUUUAUUACAGUUUACACUUGUAAAUCACCUUUUCUUUAAAACAAUUAUUUUAAUCCCAGCACAUAACCUUUUUAAGCUAUAUCUAUGAGUAAAUUUAUUAUUUUACAGGAAAAAAAAAUUAAUCAAAUCGCGGAGCAUGUUGGGUAGGGAUGGAAACGUGCCGUGCUUGAGCUGAGUUUAUGUCCGCUCAAGUUUGGCAUGAAAUUAAUUUUGAGUCUAAAAAUUUAGGUUUAAACUCAGCUUAAAAUUAAUUCAAAUCGAACUUGAGCGAGUUUAAUUUUGAGUCGAGUGAGCUCGAGCUUUAAAUGAGUUGUUUGAAAUUCUUAAAUCAUACAAUUUAUAGUUAAACUUUUAUAAACAUUAUUUAAAAUUUAGUACAAAAAUAUAUCUACUAAUUUAAAAUAUAAAAUAAAUGUAUGAAAUAUAAUAUUAUGAUAUUAAAAAUAAUUUAGGAGAAGCGACAGUGAGAGCAAAUGAAAGAGAGGAAGAGAGAAUAAUUAGAGUAAAAUUUUUUUGGUUUGAUUUUGUAGGCCAACAAAUAUGCUCAAUAAUCUAAACUAACUCUCUCUCUCUCUCUCUCUCUCUCUAUAUAUAUAUAUAUAUAUUCGAGUUUUUCGAGCAUAAUUCGAGCGAGUCCAAUAAUACUCAAACUUGACUUGAAAUAUAUUUCAAAUUUUAUUUUAAAUGUAUUUCGAGCUUUAUUUUCUGUUCAAGCUCGACUUAUUUAAUUUCGAGUCGGACUCGAGUGAGCCAAAUACGGAGUCGAAUGCGGGCCGACUCACUCAUUCGCCAGCCCUAAUGGUGUGAAUUUCGUUACAGGGAUGGGUAUAAUCGACACGAAUUUAAGAAAUUGCAGAUUUUGUUCGUGCAAAGUUUAAGGAUGAAGUCAUAAAACGGAUAAACUAGAGGGACAUCCAUUCAUUUGUGCAAUCAAAAUCGAUUAUAAUAAAAGGGAAAAGAGCGAGACAUUGGACUCGCGCGAGAGAGGGGAUGGUGGAAGCUACCGACCGAACCCUCAUCGCCUCCCCCUCCUCCGCAGUCGCCGCCGCCACGGCGGGGGCGGCGGAGGCGGGUCCGUCGUACGGAGCGGCGGCGGCGCCUCCUUCUCCUCCUAGGGCGGCGAGGUUGGACGCGGAGGAGGACGAGGACGAGGGCGACGUGUGCCGAAUCUGCCGCAACCCCGGCGAAGCUGAUAAUCCCCUCCGCUACCCGUGCGCCUGCAGCGGCAGCAUCAAGUACGUCCACCAGGAGUGCCUUCUCCAGUGGCUCAAUCACAGCAACGCCCGCCACUGCGAGGUACGCCCACGCCCUCUCCCCUCCCCACCCCUAGGGUUAGGGUUAGGGUUAGGGUUUCCUCUUUGGUUCCCUCUAUCUCUCUCGGAAAUGAUCGCUGUUGCAAUUGUUAUGCUGGAAUUGCCCUUCUCGCAUUGUGUGAUCUGGGGCAUCUGGGCCAUAGGAACAGGCCCUUUUGUUAAUGCUCUGUUUGGAUGGAGAGUAAAACGAGAGAGAAAAUUAAGUUGGGGGAGAAAACUACUCUUAUAUUUUUGAUAAUGCUGUAACCAGUGAGUGCUAUAUUUGUUAUGCCCUACAGGUGUGUAAGCAUCCCUUCUCUUUCUCCCCAGUUUACGCCGAGGACGCGCCCGCGAGGUUGCCGUUCCAGGAAUUUCUCGUCGGCAUGGCGAUGAAAGCUUGCAAUGUCCUACAGUUCUUCCUCCGACUCGCCUUUGUUCUUUCCGUCUGGCUCCUCAUAAUCCCCUUCAUUACCUUUUGGAUAUGGCGCCUGACGUUCGUCAAGAGUCUCGGCGAAGCGCAGAGGCUCUUCCUGAGCCACAUGUCGGCGCCUCUGAUUCUCACCGAUUGCUUACAUGGGUUUCUGCUCUCUGCUAGCAUCGUUUUCAUAUUUCUCGGGGCGACCUCUUUGAGGGAUUACUUUAGACACCUCCGUGAAGUUGGAGGAAACAAUGCUGAAAGGGACGAAGAAGGUCAAGAAAGGCACGGCGCUCGUGCUGUUAGGAGGCUCGCGGGCCCUCCUAAUAGGGUUGCCGACGGUGAUGGAAAUGCUGAGGAUGCAGGCGGCGCCCAGGGAAUUGCCGGUGCAGGUCAAUUGAUUAGAAGAAAUGCCGAGAAUGUCGCUGCUCGCUUGGAAAUGCAGGCUGCUCGUCUCGAAGCACAUGUUGAGCAGAUGUUUGACGGACUAGACGACGCUGAUGGUGCAGAAGAUGUGCCCUUUGAUGAGCUUGUUGGUAUGCAAGGACCUGUAUUUCAUUUGGUUGAGAAUGCGAUAACAGUAAGUACAUUUUCUGUCAUUGGCCUUAGUACUUUUGCAUAAUAUUCUUCUUCUUUUUUAUGUUUCCUUUUUGUAUUGAUAUUAACUUUCUAUUAGAGACCUUAUGGUGUUUGUUGCUUCUCCUGUUUAUACUGUAUUCUUUUGUACGAAGUUGAAAUGUAGCUUCGUUCUUCUACUGUCGUUAAUUGGUAUUUAGUAACUUAAAUAUUACGUGGAUUCACUGUCCGAGGCUCUGAACUCUGGGUAUUUUUGGUUCCUAAUAUUUCCUCUGUUGCCAGGUUCUGGCAAGCAAUGCGAUAUUUCUCAGCGUCGUAAUUUUCAUCCCCUUUUCAUUGGGAAGGAUAAUUCUCUACUAUCUCUCAUGGUUAAUUUCUUCUGCCUCUAGUCCAAUGCUGGAGAAGUUUAUUCCACUGACUGAAUCAGCUCUUUCUUUUGUUAACAUCACUUUGAGGACUGCAUUAACUGCUGUAAAGAACUUGUCACCCGAAACCCAUUCUGAGGGUGGUAGUGGGCAUGUGCUGGAUGCCGUUGUUGGAUCCUUAAAACCAAAUGCAACCGGACAAGGCCUCCCUUAUGGUGUAAUGAACCCUGUUUCAACAGAUAUACUGAAAGGAACGGUCAUUGACUCUUCACGUCUUUCUGAUGUUACUACACUUGUGGUUGGAUAUAUGUUUAUAUUGUCUCUUGUUGCCUUCUAUCUUGGCCUUCUUGCUUUACUUCGAUAUGCUAGGGGCGAGCGAUUGAGUAUUGGGAGGCUUUAUGGUGUAUCUACAAUAGUGGAGACAAUUCCAUCUCUUUUCAGGCAGUUCUUGGCAGGAACAAGACAUCUGAUGACUAUGAUCAAGGUCGCUUUUCUUCUAGUGAUUGAAUUGGGGGUCUUCCCAUUGAUGUGCGGUUGGUGGCUUGAUGUGUGCACUUUGAAGAUGUUGGGUGCGACAAUUGCCCAAAGAGUUGAAUUCUUUGCACUAGCGCCAUUUGCAAGCUCUGCAAUCCAUUGGUUUGUUGGAAUUGUUUAUAUGCUCCAAAUAAGCAUCUUCGUCAGCCUUCUUCGAGGGGUAUGAAUCAAAUUUUGGUUUGUCUAAUGCAUAAUUUGCUCUAUCAAGACAUGAUUCUCAUUAAUAAAGUUCUGGGCUCUUUGUAGGUGUUGCGGAGUGGAGUCCUUUACUUUCUCCGGGACCCAGCAGAUCCGAAUUAUAAUCCAUUCCGCGACCUAAUUGAUGACCCAGUGCACAAACAUGCUCGACGUGUUCUGUUAUCGGUUGCUGUAUAUGGAAGCUUGAUUGUGAUGCUCGUCUUCUUACCCGUCAAACUGGCAAUGAGAUUGGCACCUACCAUUUUCCCGCUGGAUAUUGCGUUAAGUCUCUCUCUCUCUCUCUCUCUCUCUCUCUCUCUCUCUCUCUCUCACACACACACACACACACACACACACACACACACACAUUUUCAGGCAACAUCAAUCAAUAUCCCUGUGAAAUCUUAAUUUUCAAUUAUAUGCAAUCCAAAACUUGUUAUAUAUUUUCCCGUGUACUUAGAAAAAUGCCCUCUUUGUUAAUGUUUUUUUCCCUAAUGCAAUCGCAACAUUCCUUUCCCCAUAAAGUGGAUGGUUUACCAACUUAAUAUAAGGGUAUUAUUGUAAGAGACACCACUCUCUGGGAUUAUAUGUGAAGAUGCAGAUUUCGGAGGACUUUAUACCCAAAGAGAUAAUUUUGCAGGGUUGUUUUGUCUCGCACUUCUUUCAAGCACUAUUCGCUAUUCGCAUUCUGACGAUCAUUACCAAUAACUGCAGCAUUUUCGAUCCAUUUACGGAGAUACCUGCCGAUGUGCUGCUGUUCCAAAUAUGCAUUCCAUUUGCAAUUGAACAUUUCAAGCCACGUGAAACAAUCAAAGCCCUUUUACGAUAUUGGUUCUCUGUGGUUGGUUGGGCUCUCGGUUUAAUCGAUUUCCUACUGCCCAAGCCUGAGGAAAACGGUGGGCAUGAAAAUGGGAAUGUUGUGGUAGCAAGAAGAGAUAGACUGCGUGCUGAACGUGGGCUGCAUGACCAACUUCUGUUACAGCAUGUUGCUGCUGAAAAUCAUGACUGGAGAGGCCGUGCUGCUGAGAAUACUGAUAUUGGUGAAGACUCUGACGUAGAUGACCAAGCAGAUUCGGAGUAAGCAACUUUUAUAUUUGAUAUUUUUGUUAUUGUGAACCUUUACUGUUUUAUUUGUGGUAAAAAAAUCUGAACCAUGUAGUGUGUCUGAGGCAUUCAGCUGCUCGCAAGAUGAAACCUACUGUGGGACUUCAGCCAUGCGAUUGACUGCUUGUAGUCUUGUUAUCAGCUUUUAAAGCUUAAAGUAGGAUAACUGAUCAGGAAUAGUACUGUUCAACAUUGGUUAGUCUGGUUUUUUUUUGUUGUUUACAAUAUUUUUGCCUCUUAAAUCUCAUCUAGAUGCAAUUGUGUUUCUAAUGGUUCUUUAUCUGGUUAAGCGUUACAAAAUAAGAUCUUUGUGGGGAUAUUUAUAUCUAAUCUCUCGGCAGGUACGGUUUUGUACUUCGUAUUGUGCUAUUGCUGGUUUUGGCAUGGAUGACUCUUCUGCUAUUUAAUGCAGCUUUGGUUGUUAUUCCGAUUUCACUUGGGCGUGCAAUUUUUAAUGCCAUCCCUCGCCUCCCGAUUACACAUGGCAUUAAGUGCAACGGUACUCUUCAUUUUCAAUUGGAUAUUGUUGGAAAGUUAUUCUGGUUAUUAGAGUUUUGAGUGUUUGACGCUUUUGUUCAUCCCUUUGUAGAUCUCUUUGCUUUUAGUAUUGGAUUCUACAUUAUCUGGGGUGUCGCAACAGGAGUCAGAUAUUCGGUUGAUUAUAUUAGAGCUCGAAGAGCUAGUGUCCUUCUAUCGCAGAUCUGGAAGUGGUGUACUAUUGUUGUGAAAAGUUCUGCUCUUCUCUCAAUAUGGGUAAGCAACAACUUCAAGGCUAAAUUGCCUUCUCAUCUCUGUUAUUCUUUUUAUAUUUUGUUUAUUCACUAAAAUUUUAUCAUUUAUUUUUUCAGAUCUUUGUUAUCCCAGUGCUCAUUGGGCUUCUUUUUGAGCUGCUAGUGAUUGUGCCAAUUAGGGUACCAGUGGAUGAAAGCCCAGUUUUCCUUUUGUAUCAGGACUGGGCUCUAGGACUCAUAUUUCUUAAGAUAUGGACUAGACUGGUAAGUGAACUAUCAUCUUUUUAAUGUUCAGAUAUUGAAAGUUAUACAAUUUAUUUGCACCAUAGCCAAACAUGGUGCCUUUACAUAUGCAUCCGUGCAAGAUUAUCUAUAUUUCUAUAUGCUCCUCCAAAGUUCAAUUUCUUAAAAAAAUAUACUUUUAUUGAAGUACAAUGGUAUACGUAUAACAAAUUAAGUUUUUGAAGGUGUGUAUAAGAAAAUUUAGAUUUUGUAAUGUUAUCAGUGUACAAUGUUAUUUGCAGGGGUACAUCUGUAGAUACAUCAAAAGAGAGUAGUGCAAAUCACACUCCCUUAGAUCGACCUUAUAAGUCCUAAUCUUGCUUCUUCUUUUUUUUUCUGUAUUAGGUAAUGUUGGAUCAGAUGGCACCACUGGUGGACGAAAGUUGGCGAAGAAAGUUUGAGAGGGUGAGGGAGGACGGCUUCUCUCGUCUCAGAGGUCUAUGGGUUUUCCGCGAGAUCGUCAUCCCAAUUAUUACAAAAUUGCUAACACUACUCUGUGUUCCUUAUGUCUUUGCCAAAGGGAUCUUUCCCGCAUUUGGCUAUCCUCUCAUUGUGAACUCUGCAGUCUACCGCUUUGCCUGGAUCGGCUGCCUCCUUUUUGGCACUCUCUGCUUCUGUGCUAAGAGAUUCCAUGUUUGGUGCACCAACCUCCACAAUUCUAUAAGGGACGAUCGCUAUCUAAUAGGUAGGAGAUUGCACAACUAUGGAGAAGAAGCUAUUCAGAAGAGUGGUGAAUUGGAGGUGAUUCCGCAGAACUCGAAUCUGCAGGAUGGUGCACUGAUUCGGCUCGGCCGAGAAGCAGAGCUGGGGCUGAGGUUGAGACAUGCUAAUCAGAAUCCGAACCAACAAAUAAGGCAUGCCAUGCUGUAGAAGGAGUAUGUCUGCUUAAAUAUUUGAAUGGGUUUUGAUGUUGCUACUGCUGCAAUUUAAGAUUGGUAUAUGAAAUCCCGCAGUUAUUUGGAACUUUAACUAUAUUUGUUGUUGUAAAUAUAACUAGAGUUGUAUUUGAUGAUUGGAUCCUGUGAAACUGACGUGAAACUGAGGUUAAUUGCAAACACCACCUAAGGUGAGUAAAAUAUUUUCUGUAAUUUUGGAUAGUCCUGCACUCUAGAGAUUAGAAUCCUUAGAAGAACGCCGGAGUAUACGAUAUGUAAGAUAUUGUUGAGUAUAAUGGUUUGUUGCCUUUAACCUUUAAUUUAAGGUUUGUUGUCGCAAAGAUUUUACUCUCUGGCUCUUAGCCUAUUUACCCUUUGUUACUGCAUUCGAUUGUUAACCUUAUUCAGAUCUAACCCAAAUUACAGGGGGUUGAUGCAGGAAAUGGAAAAGGCUACUUGAUUUUAAUUGAAUAAAACGAAUUACAUAUGUCUGAGAAUUUACCAAGUAUUUUAGGUACAAUUUGGACAAUGAUGCAAAUAGCAGUACUUAGGAGCUUAUGGACUUGGGGUUUGGAUCUUCUUUGAAAACAAUUGGUAUGGUUACCACUUCUUUCAGCUAGGGGUGGAAACGAGCCAAGCUCGAGCGAGUUUACCUCGGCUCAAAUUCAGCUUGAAAUUAAUUUUGAGCCUAAAUUUAAGCUCAAGCUUGGUUUGAAAUUAAUUCGAGCCGAGCUCAAGCGAGCCUAAUUUCGAGUCGAGCGAGCUUGAGCCUUACAUGAGCAGCUUGAAAUUUUCAACAUCGUACGAUCAAUAGUUUAAUUUGUAUAGAACAUUAUCUACAAUUUGAUACAAAAAUAUGUCUAAUAGUUCAAAGUACAAAAUAAUUAUAUGAAAUAUAGUAUUAUAAUAUGAGGAAAAAUAAUUUAUGAGUUGAAUAUCUAAUUUUUUCAGCCUCACAUAUCNAAUUUGUAUAGAACAUUAUCUAUAAUUUGAUACAAAAAUAUGUCUAAUAGUUCAAAAUAUAAAAUAAUUAUAUAAAAUAUAGUAUUAUAAUAUGAGGAAAAAAUUUAUGAGUUGAAUAUCUAAUCUUUUCAGCCUCACAUGUCUUUUCUUCCGCUUUCAAUCUCCAUAUUAUUCAUUUUUAUUUAUGCGGUCAAAAAUAAAUAAAUUAUAUAGGUAAAUAUUGUAUUAAACUAUCCAAUCAUAUAUAACUAAAAUUAAAAUUUUAUAUAAAUAAUAUUUUUUUAUUUUAAAAAUAUUUUGUAUAUUUUCUUAAGCACAUAAUUAAUAACAAGAUAUGCAACAACGAGCAUAUGCUGUUACUUGGUAACUUGGAGGGCUUCAGGCUUGGCCACUUAGGGUAAGAGACAGAGAAAAAAAGAAAGAGAGAAACAGAUUGAAAAUUUAAAGCUCUGUGAAAGAAAGAAAGGGAAAAAGUACAAAUUUAGUAAAAUUUUGCUUUUUUAUUUGUCUAUUGGGUUUGUUUUUAUGGACUAAUAACAUUGGCUCAAUUUUAAUUAAACUCAGGUUAUUCACUCAGCCUAUAUAUAAUUAAAAUAUAUUAUAUUUAUAUAUAUAUAUAUAUAUAUAUAGUGUAGAACUACUAUGCUAUCGGAAAUAUAGAGGAUUUGUUACUUCCGAAUUUUUGACCCUUUGAUCAAGAAUUGUAAGGUUGGGAUGAUUGCGGUCCCCUCUAGGAUUAAAUAAUACCCCUAGAGUUGAGUGGUCCCUACAAGGUACUAGUAUUAAUCCAAAGUUUAGAAAUGAUUAAAGGGGUUGAUCUACGGGUCAAAAAAUCGGAAGUACCAAAUCCUCUUUACUUUCGAUAGCAUAGUAACUUUACUAUAUAUAUAUAUAUUCGAGCUUUUUGAGCCUAAUUCGAACGAGCCGAGUAAUACUCAAGCUCGACUCAUUUAAUUUCGAGUCGAGCUCGAGCGAGCCGAGUAAUACUCAAGCUCGGCUCAUUUAAUUUCGAGUCGAGCUCGAGCGAGCCAAAUAUCGAAUCGAACGCGAGCCGGCUCACUCAUUGGCCAGCCCUACUUUCAGCCAUGUUCAAAUGUAGUAGAAUUAAGUGCAAUUCAUGGUACAACCACAGUAGCAUAGAACCAGUAAAAGGCAUAUCUAACUGUCCUUGCCUGUGUCCAUUUGGUGCUUCUUGUGCAAGCAGAAACUAUGACCUUCUUAACAAAUCAAGAAAAAGAAAUAUUCUGUGAGGCAAAGCUGGGAAAACAAAUGUAUAAAAUUUUCUUAAUCAAAUAUUGUUGUCAAUACACAACACAGAAAAAUAGCCUGCCACAACUUAAAAAGGGAGAAACUAAGUGACAUGUAUCACAAAGAAUUCACAAAGUAAAUUAUAAACCACUUCUCACUCUAGAAGCAAAAUAAUCAGGAUUACAAUUUUGAAAAAUAAGACCAACUCCAACAAUCUUUCAGGGGAGCACAACAGCAUCAGAAAAUCACUUUAUGUUUCCUUUGAAUUCAAACUUAGACACCAAAAAAACCAAACCGACACACCCGUAACUCACUAGCCCCCCGACAUCUCUUUAUUGAUGAAAACUUUUAUAUCCUUCUUUAUAAGCAUGUACACUUACUAUAUGCUUGAAAUUUACAUCUAAAGCAAUAUCCUAUCAACAUAUACAAAGUCGAUCCCUUGGCUACGUAGAAAAAAAAGCUCGAAGGAGAUUUCGUCAAGGCUUGCUUUGUUAACUUGGGAAAGUAGUUAGCCGUGUGGGGCGGGAAACUUGUCAAACAAAAUAGAGAAGAGAGAGAAGGUGGGUUUCACUUCACUUUACGAAGAGACGCAGGUCUCGGCCUCGCCCUCAUGAUCGUUUCAUCGCUAUGUCGGAUUAAUUCAGACAGUCUCCAGGGCUUUUGCCAUUUCCACUUGAACUGCAAUAGCCAUUGAUGAUGGCUCCUUUUCCAUCUCCAAAGCCUUCCCGCAUGUCCGACUACAGCGAGUUUCUUCUUCUCCAUAGACAAUUGCCCAAUUGGGACCAUCUACAUCAAAGACACAGUUGCUUUUUAGCAUUCAAACUCAAGAUGAUACUAAUAUAGGGAAAAAGGGAGGGGGAAAGCAAAGGAACCUUCAAUGGCUUGUUGUUGAAUGUGUUGCUCCCCUUGCUCGGGCUAUUAGCAAUGCCAGCAGAGUACUUGAGCUGUUUCUGUGCAGGAACUGCAACUGGAGAAAGCGGUGUGUUGUUUUCUUCGACAGAGUGCUUCAUUGAGCCAUUUGAGUUGGCCUGAAAAGUAUCGAUCAUGCGGAGUUUAGUUUUAUAGCAUCUGAGAUACAGUGAAACUUAAAGAUGUUCCUCUUGACUAUGCAGGUUUAUAAACAUAUCACAUCAGAAAAAUAAUGACAGAGGAGAACUUUUUAUGGAGAUUUAAUCCAGCGUAAAAUGUGAUGGACUAAACUGAAAUAUUAUAUCAUUUACAGUUGUAUAUACAAAAACUCACCUGAGAUGAUGCGGCUAAUGCACUUGUGAGUGCUUGCUCUUUCAAUUUCAGCUGUUUUUCCACCUCUCUUCUUCGUGCUUCGCUGUGACGAAGAAUACCAACAAGCUCAUUCAGUUGUUCCUUCAGUUCCUUCAUCUCGAUUUCCCUUUCCUUCACCUGGCACCUGUUCCGAAGAUGACCUACUUUGUUAUAGGCUGUUAUAGUUAUAAACAAUUAACAAAAAAUGAUUGCAUACAGCCAAAUGGAAAAUGUAAAGUACAUUGUAUGACACGAAAGAACAAGAACGACUUUAAGAAACGAAUGAUAAGUAUGUUAAGUUCUGCUAUUCUGGGCAAGCAGUAAUAUUACUAGAUCAAUAAAAUUGAAUCUGCAGUCUAAAACCAAAAUGCGAAUUUGACUUUUGCUUCUCUUCUAGGGAUAGCAGAAUAACCACCCAGGGAUAGAAAAAAGUACCAUAACCAAAAAAAUUUCUUCCUGCAUCAGAUACUCAAAGUUUUGACGGCACAUCUAAUUAAACAAACAAUUUAGUUUCAAUUCAGGGAAUACUCGCAAUGCUGACACACUGAGAAGCAAAUCAAACACAAUAAUAGAAAGCCAUAUCAAAUUAGUAGAAAAUGGAACCUUGCAUCAGCUGCCACGUUGAACAUGUACUGAAGCAAAUUCUUUGCGUCCCCCAUUGAUCGCAGUUGAUUCCAUCGGCCACGCCCAGUAAAUGCACGCUCUCUUUCCUCAGCCUCAGAAAGUUGGGAAGCCAUCGCUACGAGAGUAUUUGAAGAAAUGCUCACCAUGCUCUCAAGUGUUGCUAUUCUGGCUAAUCUUGCAUUUGGUGACAUGGUGGACACCCUAAAAAAGAAUUAAAUUCUUAACAGAAGAAAAAAUAGUACUUAUGAAACCAUCUGAUACAUCAGAUGUUUUUCCUUUUUAACUCGACCAGCAUAGACAUUACUGACAAAACCAAGUCGAUGAAGAAUUUUGUACGGAAGAUAUGAAAUCUUACCUAGAAGUUCCAUUGUUUCCUCUCGGAGGGCUAGCUCCCCCAGAAAUUGCCUCCUCUUGCUUCAAAAUAGCAAGCUCCUCCGCCAAUGCAGCUCGUCUUAAUGGGAUGAGAUGCGAAUGGUAUCAAGAUAACCGAUAUAUUAACAAGAAAAAUGUAACUAUGGAAAUAGGCAAAAAAAGAAGCAAACCGAGCUUAUAAUACAUACAAUUGACUUUGUUUCUCGUAUUCGUUCCGAACUUCAUGGACAUGUACCAUGACUUCAAGCUCUUGAUCUAGCCAUCGUUGCAGGGACUUUUCACUCAUCUGAAUUUAGCAAAGUAAUUCUAGCUGACUACCAUCUAAAAUCAUAUUUGUACGGAGAAAAUAUAUAAUGUUCGCAUGAGUUACCUGAGAGCUGGGAGAGUUACCAUUUGCAAUAACUGGUUUUAAAAAAAAAAAGGACAAAAAAGGAGGAAACAAAAGAAUAUUAGCAUUGCAUGCAAGGUCUUGAUGCUAAUAGGAAUUUCUUUAGUAAUAGAAAAAUACCAGAGGUAUCACGUGCUGAGGAUUUGCGAGCUUCUAGCAAUUCUUUUAACUUCUUGGUAGCCAUGGCAGCCUCUUCUGUCUUCCUUUGAAGAACCUAUGCCAAAAAAAGGGUCCAAUGCAUAGUUAGUUUUGAUUACUAUGAUCUAAUGAACCAGAGAAGUGUGAAAUAACUUGGGAAACGAACAAGUAGGCACAACUCUUAUUUAUAUGCUCAAGAUGCACAUUUGGGAAAAUAAAAUCUCAAAAAUCAUCAAAAAAACUAUUAAUGUAUGGAAAUUAUCUGCAAUAGAAAUGACUAAACUAUAUUGUCUCCAAUUGUCGGUAAAUGAACAACCAGCAGCAUGAUUAUUUUGAGGAAUAAGAAAACACUGCAUGGUCAAAAUGCUUCAAAACAAAGGUGACACUAAGGUAAACCUCUCAAAACUUAAUAUAGAAACGUGUAACUUUAGACCGUGCAACUUCUUCUGCUCAUAACUUUUGGAAAAAACUUUUUACCAUUUUCUGCCGCUGAUUCAAUGCCUGAAGUUUAUGUCGUUCAUACUCAUUUCUCCUCCCCUCUUUCCUCAACUAUUUAAGAGAAAAGAUCAAAGUUAGCUUUCCCAUGCAAAAAAACAAAGGAAGAUGAAUUUGGACAACAUACACAUAUGCACAUAAUAAGAAAUAAGAGCAAGCAUAUCAAGCUGCUAGUAUAAAUUUCUGGCAGGUUUGAUGGUCAAAUUUUUGAUCUUUAGAACAGCUCAAAUUUCUGCACCAUCUCAUUUAUUCUACUGUUAUAACUUGUAACCAAUGAUAUAAUUCUGCACACCUGGAGUAAUUCCUUUUCACGAGAAGCCUUCCAUUGACGGAAUUGUUCUGCUUCUUGUUUUAUCUUGUGUUGCAAUUGAACCUGUAAGGAUGGAAAACAAUAAAUUGGAUUAAAAGGAUGAAGUACUGUGAGAGCUAUAAAUAUCUCAUUAAUGAAGGUCAGAGAAGAAAGUUGAUAGUGGAAGACAUCAACCUUUUGAGACUUAAUAAAUUGAAUUUCUUCUUGCAACUUUUUGGCUGCCUCAUCACUCCUUUGCUUUUCCUUCAAAAGCUGAACUUGGUUUUCUUGCUUCUUUUUAAGGUCCAAAAUCUGGAAUGAAAGUUAUUCUACAAAUUACUUUCAAACACAGACAAAGCAUCAAAGCAUUUUUAUACAUAUCUCUGCAAAAUGAUCUAUUAUGUAUAUACCCUUGUAAAAUCUUAUAUUCAUAUAUAGCCCUUCAAAGUGCAGUUGCAUAAUUGUAGAAUCAUCUAAAGCAUGGGGAAAGCUGGUUUGUUAUCAUAAAUAGUUCUCUCAUCAGGGAGACUUUUCUAAGGUGUUCGGAGGGCACAAAAAAAGUUUUUGUACAUUUUGCAAGGACACACAUGUAGAUAUUUCGAAAUCUUUUUGUGAAACAGAGACAGUAUCAUUCACCUGUGCUUCAAGGGACUUCAGUUUCUGAGAAUGAAUAUCUGGAGGCCUGUGCAUGUGGCCAUCUGAGUUAGCAGCAAGGUUUUCCACUUCAGCCAACAACCGGUCUCUCUCUUGCUGAAAUUGAUAUUUUUUAAAAAAAUUUAAUUCCACUUUCAGUGCAUUUUAAGAGGAGGAAAACAAAGUAUAAUUAGAGACAACAUCAAAUGAAUAAAACAGUAAUUGACCUGCACAGCUCUUUUCUCUUCUUCAAGCUCCAUGAUCUUCUUUCCAAAAUGCUGCUUAAGAGCAAGUGUGUUGAACCCUUCAAACAUUUUCAUCUCAGACUGCAUGGCAAGAGUAGUGUUGGUUCAAAACUUAUAAGCAAGAGGCCAACCGAUACAUUGAAGCUGCUAAAAAAAUAAAUCAGCGGAAGAUCCCCGAUUUUUGAUUUGGUAGUACGACAUCUAUUUUCACCAAAGAAUUCCAAAUUGGCAAGAAUAGAAAAUUAGGUGUUGAGCAGGUCUUAGAUUAGAUCACCUCCUUUUGCUCCAAUCGCCUAUUUAACUCAUUCAACUCCUUGCCCAUGCUAUCUUGCAGCAUUGUAUGUUCCCAUUCCUUAGCUACUUCAUCAUCAAUUUCCUUAGAAUUAUCACCUGCUGGUAAAAAAAUGGAUAUACAUAGUUACAAACUGAAAAAAGAAAAUAUUGCAGGAAAGCAAUUAGUAAAGAUUAAUAUGGACUUGCCAAUAUAAGGCAUUAUAACAGAAUUAAGUAGUCUAUCAGAAGUAAUUAGAUACAACCUUAAAAGGUGCCAAAAAGUUACCUCUUAGAGCAUCAGCCAUUGGGAAAUCAAAUGUCUCUGUGCUUUGCAGGCUCCUUUUCAACCCUUCUGCUUUUAUGCUUCCGCCUUUCUGAAAUGCCAACCAUAAACAGUUGUUAAGCUGUUUAUCCCAUUAAUGAUGAUCCUCUAUUUAGGGUCAGUCAAGAGCCAUAAAUUCAUUGACAUGGGUAGGCAGGAUAACAAAUAGCAUAGAACCAUUUUGGUUUACAACAGAAAUCCAGUAAAGUCUUAGGGGCAAGGAUUUAAGUGCCGUGACAUAGGAUAGUGUCGAAAACUUGCUUGCACAGUGUGUGCCGGACAGUGCUAAUGCGUGCCGGUCACAAAAAUACAUGUGUAUCGACACAUGAUGGCAUGAAAUCUUUAUUUUCUUUAGCUACAAAAUAUUCUAAUUGCUUAUUAUGUAUCUUUAUUAAAUCCUUUGAAUUUUAUUGAGAAAAUUACCUACUAAUUUAAAAAAUAGAGGGUUUUGAGCUGCACCAUCGGCACGGGGAUUGUAUCGUAUCGAUAUCAUGUUAGUACGAUACGGCACAAUGGAUAAGGCCAUGCCAAUGGACGCUUCAAUCCUUGCUCAGAGGUAUAUAUUCUUUCUCAUAGUUUAGCUUGACGAUGACCGUAGAAUAAUCAUUAGGAAAUAAUACAAUACUUAUAAGGAUAUGAAAAGAUGUAACAGUUCUGAAGUACUCUAUACAUACUCGGCUAUCUGUUUCAUGAUGAUCACUGUGAGGAGAUUGAAUGCGGUAACCAUACAGUUCCCUACAGAGGUCUUCAUUGGUAGCCUCCAGCCAAGAAAUCCUUUCCUUGAGAAUCUAUAAAUAAGUUUGUUGAGGAUUAAAAUUUUUGAUAAUUGAAAAAACUCUUUAUUAUAUAAAGAGAGCAAAGAGUAUUGUAUAAGAGGAUGUACAGGUGUUUGCCUCCUUAAAAUAACCAUAAACUACAAUCUGUUUUAUAUAUUGUAAGUUGAUCAGAAAUUUGAUCGGUUUUCAGUAGUACCCGAGUUUCAUCAGACGCAACUCCUCCACGAGCAGAAACCAGCUCAGCCUGCAAGAAUUCAAUUUGCUGACGCAUCCUUUGCAUCUCGUCAGAGAUUGGAUUUCUAUUUACCUGGAAAAUUGUUGGAACAGAAAAAGAGAGAGAAUUGAGCUAUGAUCUUUUAAAUAUAUAUGAAAUAAAGUAGCAGUAUCUGCAGCUGACGCGUGGACACAGACGCAAGAUACCUAUUUGAUAUAUGACGCAUAUACCCAAGCAAUUAUCACAUUUUAAAAAACUGUAUGUUCUUUGUAGAUUAUACUCAGUUCAUACUACCUUGGUAUGACCCUAGUCAUGUAUGAAUAUAUUAAGCACACUUGCAGAGUAUCCUAGAAGUAUCCAAGUCAUAUCCAAUUUUUUUUAUCUUGUUUUGAAUAUCUAGUAGGUGAAAGAAGUAUCAGACAUGUAACUGUGAAGUAUCCAAAAGUAACCAGUUGAGUACAAACAUUAUAACUAUCUUUUUCUUUUGAAGAUAAGAGUAUAGCUACCACGCAAUUUAGGUUUUAAUAUAGUUCUGAACUCACUAUGGGCUUAUUCUGAAUGUUCCGAGCACGAUUAGCAUAUUUCAGUGUGUUUAGAGUUUCCUCUGCAUUUAUAUCUGCUGGGCUGAUACAAGCUGGACAAGAAAAAAAAAAAUUUAAAAAGAAAGUUAUAGCAUUAUGAUUUAUAUAUUUUAACAGACUUCAGAGAAACAGCAUUGACAGGUAAAUAGCAUUUAGCAGUUAGGAGGUGAAUUACAUUACCUAUCAUUACUGUCCUGCUAUUUCCACCUAGAGAAUCCUGCAAAGAGAUGAAGUACAUAUAUAAUCAGAUAUAUGACAUGCUCUUUAUAUGUUGUACUUUUUAAACAGGUGAUAGAGCAAAAAAUUUCUAUUUGCACAAAGAUGAAAGUUCUUUUUAAGUCCAAUUUCAAUCAAAUUCUUUCAAAAAGGUUAUGCAACUCUUUCUCAGUUCAUAAUUUGAUAAUACUUGAUAAACAACAAAUAAUUAGAUACAUAACUGGGCACAAAUUUAAACACCACUAAUUUUAGUUCUUCAGUAAAGCAGAGUAUAAUAACCAGGUUAGUGUAAAGAAUAGUUCGAGCAGUGUAAGAUUAGAUAGAAAGUAUAGUAAGUAUUCUCCUCCACAAGUUCAUGGUAAAGAAAAUGGCCAUCAAGAAAUCAUUAAGCAAAAGGAUCAGAAAUUGAUUGGAACCAAUUCCACUAUUGCAAAACUGUGCUGCUUCCAGAUAAACAUAUGAGAAUAAAAAUAUUCUGUCACUUUUUAAAUUGAUAUAGCAUAUCCAUUAUUGUAACUUAUUAUCGGAUAAUAAUAUACGGUCCAAACCUGCAAGAGCCGGGUCAGUUUGCUAUCACGAUAAGGGACAUGAGCACCUUCUUUCCUCUUCUUCUCAUCUCCAAGAGCACUUAUGACAUUGCCUAGAGCUAAGAGUCCUUUGUUGAUAUGAACACCUGAUAACAACAAUAUAGGGGUUUUUAAUUUUCACUUUUCUUUCAAGAUAAGCAGUUGGUUUAAUGACAUGAAGAGAAAACAGAACUACCUUCCUUAAACCUAAGACCAUCUGAACCAGUUCUCUUAGCCCGUUCUGAUCCAGCAAGAUCUACCAAAUGAAGCUUUGCACAGAGGUAGUCUUCAUUCAGAUCCUCGAUCAUGGAGCCAUCAGAAGUCAUAAUUGGAUCGAGUUUGCGCAUCUGCUCCAAUGUGAUUGUGAAGAUAGCAUGGGAACGGCUGUUGCAUGAUGGCAAUAAAAAAGAAAACAAAAUAGUUCAUUAAAAUAAAGGUAAGUAAAUAGUUUGAGUAAAUUUAAGGGCUACUUGGACAUUUUACAUAUCAAGUAAAUAAAAAAGAAGGUUGUAUAUGCUUUGAAUAAAUGAAAUAUGCUUUCAAGAGACAACCAUUCUACAAAUUAUUUCAUUUUCAUUGCUAUUCACUUCAAUCAGAAAAUCUAUAUUACUGAUGAGCUAAUAUAUCAAGUAUGAGAAAAGGAAAUGUGCGAAUCUGUUAUUACAAUUAAGAACAAAAAAUAUGCAAUUUUCUCAAUCUUGAUUCGGCUUCAGUAGUGCCAUAGCUGGAAGCUAUUAUAUUGAAUAAAAGCAUAGAUGCAAGAUCUAGUUAUAUCAAAUUUCAACAACAAAGUGAAAACAAAAUCAGACUCAUAAAACCACCAACCUUGACUGGUUGUUCAUGUUUGUACUUCCAGUAGCUCGAUUUGUUGAACCUUGCUCCAAGCAUGCAGCCAUUUCUUUUUGAGUACUAACAUUAAUUUCAGUAGACCCAGCAAGUGUUAUUGCCCCAUUCGAUGCCUCACGGAUUUGUACAGGAGGUUUCCCAGGUACUGUUAGCUUCCCCACAUGUCCAUUGCCGUUUUCGACUUUGCUAGGAGAAGAUGCAGGAUCUAACAAGUCCCGUACCUCUUCUUUCAGAAUCUUCACAAAAGUGUAACUCUAGUUACAUUAACCGGUCACCAAAAAAAAAAAAGAACUGUAAUGACGAAGUUAGACAGAUGAUGACAUUACAUUCACUAGACUGUAUGACAUUAAUGCAAAUGGCAUAUUGCAUUGUCAUGCUAUAAGAUAAGGUAUUGAAAAUAAAUCUUAUUGUUUCAUUGGCCAAAGAAAAAGUAAUUGUGUGAGCCAGGAAGCCAAUUUAUAGAACAAUUUGCUAUGACAAAAUUUAAAUUCUGAAUAACAUGAUCUUUGCUCCAUUGUUUUGGGAAGUCAUUAUAUAAUAGAAAAAGAAUACAUGAGAAGCGAUAAAUCUGGAAAUUUUGAAAGAAAUGACUGCCAUUCUGGUUCGUAGAGAAGCAUUGAAACCAAAGCCUCCUCUAGACUGUCCAAAAAAGUCUAGAAAGAUAGGCUAUAUAGAAUGAGUUAGGAAAGAAGAAGAGGCAGGGACAUUUCUUGUACCUCAAUGAAAGAGACUCGUAACUGGAACUCUACUUGAUUCUUCAAGGUAUCGAUCUUGUCGAAUAAUGCAUUCAGAACUUGAGGAAUAAGUCCAGUAUGAGAGCCGUCCCUACAUGACGUCCCCAUUGUAUAUGUUUUUCCUGACCCAGUCUGCAGCACAUCAGAAAUUUCAAAUGUUUUUAAGGCUUCGGAGACAUGUAUAUUAUGAUGAUAAUGUGACAUGCCAAAAAAGGGAAAAGAAAAAGAAAAAGAACAUAAGCAGGAGUUACAAUACUUAACCUGACCGUAUGCAAGAACAGUUGCAUUAUAUCCUUGAAACAGACCAUCAACGAGCGGGGCAACACAUUCUUCGAACAUGGUAGAUGAUGGAGAACCGGUGCUCCCAUAAACAUGAUCGAAGGUAAAAGAAUGGGUGCCAAUUUGCACCUAUGAGAGGAAGAUUAGUUAUGAAUAUUUAAACUGACAAUUGAAGAUUGCUAGCAUUACUUCUACAAUAAAAAGAACAAGAAAAAAGAACGUAAAACCAAGAUGAACUAUGUCAAUGUAAGUUCGUAAUGUCGCAAAAGCAGUUUAUAUCACCUUGAUUCAGAGUCCUUACUAGUGUCGGUACUAAUUUCCUUCUUAUUCACAUAAGUUUAUACUCUACUUAUGCAGCUCUGUUAGGCAAUUACCUCCACAAAGCAUACAAACAUACAAGGCUUAGAAGAAAAUAGUCUUGCUAUGAGUAGCAAGAUAGAACUUCUAGCACACAAUCGAAAAAGAUUACACUGUAAACUAAAUCAAAACGAGUAUGGGAUUGUUAAAAUUCUUUGUCUGGUGGACAGGGAGAAUUGUGAUAUAGUUAAAAUUGGCGAGGCAUAUAUGCAAAUGAAUGCAACAUAUGUACACUGCAAAAAAAAUAAAAAAAUAAAAAAUAAAUAAAAAAAAGGGAUCAAGAAGAAGAUUGACAAAUAUGUUAAAAAUGGACAAUCAACCCUCAGAAAUGGAUUACUCUCCUUUCAUAGUCAUCAGAAAGGGUCAAAGUAGUUUACUGGAUUAAACUACAUGUACCACAAAAUGUAUAUUCAAGGUGAUAUACAGCAAUAGCUGACACUUGAUUGCUUUGUUGGAGGUGCCAAAAUUCAGGGUAUUCUACAUGAAUUUUGGAGGAAUUUACAAAAAAAAAAAAAAAAAACUAGUAUCCUCCCAUAUAAAACAGAGUAAAUUGUUCGAAAAAUGGGAGAAAAAAAAGAUUAGACUUAAAAAAAAAAGGACUUUUAGUUCAAUGUCAUCUACAAAAACUAAAAUUCCUAUAUUGGAAAAGAAGCCUUAUAAUAUGGACAACAAAUUUAUAUAUCACAUCCUAAGAUGAUUGAAAAAUAUUUGCACUAAAAUUGUAUCAUGCAAUCUAAACUGGAUGAGAUUGCAACUUCCAAACCAAAACCCCCACCAAAAGAUCCUCAAUCAAAUUCACACAAAUAGCAAAAAAACAAAAAAAAAAAGAAAAAAGAAAAAAAUCUCCUAUCCUUGAUCAGAUCCUUUAGAAUUGAAUGGUGAAUCCAAGAAUGGGGAUGAACCUGCGGCUUUCCGGGCACGACAGUAACGCAAUCCUCGCAUCCCUGCAGCUUCUCGUCUCCGAUAAGCGGCCUGAUGUGGACCGCGACCUUCACGCAGCAAUCCUCUCCAUUAUCCAUCGUCAUCUUCCCAAUUUGCUACCAAAAUUACACUCCAAAAACCAUCAAAAUCCGAAAGGGGAGGCCAAGGAUUGCCGGAGGAAGAGAGGGUGGUACAGGAGUGAAAUAGGAGAUGGGUGGUUGAACUCGGAGAGAGGAAGUAGCAGCAAAGGGAGAGGGAGAGGGAGCAACAACUGCUAUGAUUCUUCCUUGGAUUGCACAACAAGCCCCUGUAGACCACCAAAUGGGAGUUGGAGAAGGAGAUGAUGAUGGUGGUGGUAAUGGUGGAGGAGGAGGGAGGAGGGAGGAGGAGAGAGGUGGAGGUGGUGGAGGUGAUGGUUGGUGAGGAAGAGCAAAACUUUGGAGUACUCUUUAACCAAAUGUGUCCCUUUUCUUUUUUCCUUCUCUUUCAAGGAGUUUUCCCUGGGAAAAAAGAUUAGAUAGAGAGAGAGAGAGAGAGAGAGAGAGGUGGAGAAGGGUUUGAGAAUGAGGAAUAUUUGGGGAGAGAAGUGUAGCUGAAGCAUGGAGGUGUGCUAACUGUUUAUUAUUACCACUGUUCCUGCUACAAAGACAUGGCAUCUUCUUGGUUGUUACAAUUAGAAUUAAGUAAUGGUGAAAAUCCUCUUUUUUUUUUUUCUUUUUUUUCUCUUCCUUCUUUUGAUUUCUUGUUAUUGGGAUGAGAUGCAUUACUUUGCUAACACUAAAGUGUCACUUUCCUUCCUUUUAAUUUGCCCUUUUUAAGAGGACCUUUGCUGGGGGAUUUGGGUGUGGUAAUGUGAUGGGUGACAGCAGAUCCUCUGCAAUCCAAGCUGCAUGAACUUUCCUACAGCUGGGAUUACCUGGCAGGCAAUUAUGAUUGGCCAAGAAAUCUUACAAGUUUAAUAGUUAAUUUUAGUUCUCUGUAUUAAAAAAAUUUUCUACACUUGGGGUUAUGAAUUGAGUGAGGAAAAAAAAAAAAACAAAAGAAGGAAAAGGUAAGCUAGGCUGAGUGUAGCCAUUUGAGACUCUAUGGCCCAGAAUUCAUUGCCUAUUUGGCUCUUUCCAAUGUUGGCCUCUUGUUUUAUUUGUUAUUUAAUAUGCAGGAGUCAGUCCCUGAUGAAUGAUCCUGAACCCAAUGCUGAGGCUAACUGACCAAUGUUUUGUCCCUCCUGUUUACACCAUCUGACAUGAUCUUUCUGAGCUAGAUCACAGCUAAAUUUUGGUACAUUGUUCUAGGCCAUAAAACAAAUUUAUGCAGUUCCAUUACAAGCUACUUGCAAUAAAAUAUUUGAGCAUUUUUAAUUUGUUUUUCGUUUGUAAGUAUGUAAAAUCGUUGUUUUCAGCAUGCCUGUUUAAAGAAACAUUAGUGAUUUAUAAUGACCUGUUCUGAGCCAACCCUCAUUUCUUGGACCUUAUACGUGACUUACAUAUGCAAAAUCAAAGAGCUUGCGAUUAAACGUUCUGUGGCGGAGCAGACCAAACAAGUCCUUAAUUAUAACCCUUUAAAUGACAAUUUAAGUUCACACAAAACUGCUAUGUAAAGGAGGAUAGACUGUUGGCUUAAAUAGGCCAGCAUCCUACUUUGUGGCAGGAGAUCAUGUUGGGCCGAGUCAUAUUCGAAAUGACGUGAGCCUGGGUGGGACGAGUCAUGUUCGAAGUGACGUGAGGUUGGUUGGACUGAGUCACAAUCAAAAUCCGUGGACGCUGUAUCUGUUCGUUUUAAGUGAAUUAGUUGCGUAUUUCUAACAGCUUGAGUUUUUAGGAAUAAUGGUUAGCGCCAACGAUCUGACAUAGACAAAGGUUAAUACGUUAAGCAGCUCUCAAAUUUUCUUCUUAUUUUUCGUUUUCAAAGACAUUAUAUUCAUGGAAUGAAAAAAAAUAAUUGUACUUGGAUUUGAUACCACAGUAAGUUCGAGGACACUGAUUCGCCAACGGCUAUGUUUAGGUGGAGACGAGAAAAUUGCACCCACAUUUGUCUGCUGUUUGUGGCCAUUAGCACUACUUGGGACACGCAGUUGUGGGGCUCAAACGUUGCACAUUAAUUAUUAUUACAAAAGCUCUAUGUUAAUAUUGCUACCCCAUCUUAUAUAAAUAUAUAUAUGUAUUAUAAUAUUUGUACACCUUACAUAUGGGAAUGGGAGGCCCAGCUGGAGCUUUUGCAUGUGGAGUGGUACAUUUCAGACAAAACUUCACCCAGUACCUUCUCAAUAACAUUUUGCUCCCAUUUAAUAAUUUAUUGUAUUUUUUAAUGCUAAUUUUUUUAAAAAAAAUUUAAAUUUUAGAGAGAAAAAUUAUAAAUUUUGGAUAGAGAUAAAAGUGAUACGUGGUGAUAGAUUAGAGCUCCUUAGCGAGGCAUUAUUGGAGAGCUUUUCUCUACUGAAGUGUUUUUUCCAUAAAUUUCCACCCUACCCAACUAAUCCAAUAUGGUUUGGAUUGAAUUAUUUGUGUCAUUAUUUAGUGUAAUAUUUCAUUACUGUAAAAGCUUAAUUUAUUAUUAAAAUUUAAUAUUGCAUUUGUAUUCAAUACUUCUUUUGGUGCUUUAAUUUGAGAUAUUUUGAUGAAUCCAAAAUGUCUCCAUAAGUUUAUGAAUUUUUCUAGUAGGCCAUAGUAGAAUACUCAUUUUUAGGUUCUUAAGUGAUAAAUUUGUUAUAUAUAAUUUUUCGCUCAAAUAAUAAGCUUUAUUGACAAACGUAUAAUCCCAUACUUUUUGUACCGUUGCAGAAGCCAAAAUUUGGGUUGUCACAAGCGCGUACGAUUUCUAGAAUCCCCUGCUACACUAACUCCCAUAUAAAAUUGUCCAUUUUGUUGGAUCCGUUUGGAUAUUGAGAAAUAUUUUUUUAACACAUAUGUAAUUGUCAUGGCCCAUAAGCUCCUUAGAUUUAUACAUUCUCUAUCAUGACAGAUAUAAAAUAAAAGAUCCAAAAUAAAGCUCAAAUGUGAGAAGAAAUUAAAAAAAUUAACAUAUGGUUCUUUGACUCUAAACAAUAAUUACAAACCAUUAAGUGGAUUAGUACAACCAUUAAUCUAUAUACUUGAAACUUACCAAUGUAAUGAUGCUCUUUAUUUUUUGAUAAAUUACACCCAAAGUGAUGGAUUAUCAUAAAAUAACGCGCUAAUUAGUCAGGUAAAAUUUCCAAUUUCCCCUUAACCAUACAUGCAUGCCAAAGUUAAAGUCAUAGGAAUAUAAGUAGCAGCAAAGGCUUAAUUGAUCCUUAAUUUCUUUAUUACAUUGAACAGCUGUUAGAAAAAGGACUUUGAGAUGCUGCUACUUAAUUUUUUAGUCCUUUAGUACAGCUGUUCUUCUUAGCUGGUCGAGCGAAGCAAAGCACUUAUUCCCCCCACACACACACACACGUACAUACACGUAACACUCAUUAUAUGCUCUCCUCAAUCACAUGCAGAGCUCAAGAUUAUUAGCGUACAUGUACAAGUACGUUUCCAAAACCAAGUUAAAAAAAUCGUCUGGUUUAAUUGAAGUGGGUGGUACAAAUUAGUAUGUGUUUCACUAGAACAUGCUUUGGAAGUUGGGAGAGAGGCCAAUAAUAUUAUUACUAUUCUAUGAAUUAAAUUAAAACUAUGAUAUAUGAAUUACUCAUUGUGAAUAUACAAUUGGUGUAGGGUGAGAGGUGAUCAUAACUUUUGCCGAAAGUUAAGAAGGGGUGAUUUUGUACUUUUAUGUGGAAAUUAUUGUUUAGUGAGGAUGCAUCCAAGUUGAUUUUAUGAUUUCUCUAUUAAAGGGUAUAUGGAGUACAUUUAUGUAUAAGGUCUAUGGAGCUCAAUGACCACUUUAGUAGCUUUUAGGAAGCAUGGUGGAUCUACAAAAGGUUUGUGAUCAUUGGGGCUAUUUGGUCCCUUGGGCUCCAAAUGCAGUGUAUUCGUAGUCGCGUGCGAGGGAGCAGGGUCAAUUGCAAACAAUAUAUAGUACGGGUGAUGAGCGUAUACAAAAGAUAAAAGAAAACUUAGAAUCUCGAUUAUUAAUCAUUAAGUUUUUUGUUACUUACAAUAAAGAUAAUUGAUGAUUAAACAUUAUCUUGUAAUAAAUUUUUAAUUCGUUUGUUACUGGUCAAAAACUAAAAAUAUAUAUAGCGCACACAAAAAUUCAGAAACAAUGUAGGAACAGCACAUGGACCAUUCGUGCCCUGGAAAGAUCAUGAAUUAGGCAUUGUAAAGAAGAGUACAGGGAGGAUCACGUGAUGUGGAAUCUUAGGUGGAAAGAGAGAGAGAGAGAGAGAGAGAGAGAGAGAGAGAGAGAGAGAGAGAGAGAUAUUGGGUGCAUAUAUGCUAACAAAUACGGGAAUUGCAUGGGUCCCUCUUUAUACAUGCAACAAUAUAGCAUCUUCUCUCUAUCUCUUUAUAGAGUUAAUUAACCGACCACCACGAGCACUCCUCUCUCUCUCUCUCUCUCUCUCUCUCUCUCUCUCUCUCUCUCUCUCUCUCUCGUACACACACAAACUAUGUACAAGAUGAGAGAGAUAAAGAGAAAAAUUGAAGCGCCCUUUUCGCACGAGGCUGUGAGCCCCAUGAUUAUUCUCCACUACUUGCUUGCUUUUUUUCUUUUUAUUUUUUUUCCCUUUUUGUUAAAUUUUCUUAUAUAUAUAUUUCUUAUAUAUAUAUAUAUAUAUCCUCUCUAUCAUAUUCACUUAUGAUCAAUGUGAUCUCGACACGUUGCGCAGCGUGUUCACGAGGUACUAGAAUUCAUUGGCAUGUUUGGCUUAGGCUUCGUUUGAGAUUACAAAAAGAUUACGUUACGUAUGGUGAGAAAGAAUGAUGAAAAAAUAUUCUGUUUAUAUCCGUACAUAAUAUUGCGUUUCACAUAUCGCGAUCCAUCAAAGAACGCAGAAGCAUAUUCCUAUAUACUUUUUAUUUUAACUUUAUUUUAUCUAAUGACGUCAAUCUUAAUACCAAACCAAGCUUUAGACGGUAGGAUUAGCAUUUGGGGAAAUACAUUGGUGCCCGCGUAGAUUUUAACUUUUAUGUUUCGAGAAAGAAAAAAAUAGUAAGUUAUCUGUUUCAUUCAGUAUAAGCAAUAAAUUUAAAUUUCGCGCAGCAAUAAAAUGUCAGUCGAUGUCGCCCUUCUCGUGUUGCCGAGAAUUCAGUCCUCCAAAAAAUUCACAAGCUCGGCCAAGACCUCCGUAACGGAUUUCCCGUAUUCUAACAUAAUAACAGCUUAUAAUGAUAGUGUUUUGUGUAUCUACAGUGAAAGAAAUUAAAUGAAAUAAGAUUGGAUUGAAAAUUUAUCCACUACUGCACUUCGACUCGAACCUAAAAUUAUAAAAAUUCAGUUAACUGGAACCGGGUUAUCGGGUCAACUCGAAUCGGGGUCCACGGAUAACUCGAGCCGGGUUAUCGGGUCUCAACAUCAACUCCAUACGUAGGUUUAGCACCCAUGCCAUGCAAGUAUUAUAUAUUGUAACCAUAGUUAGUUAAUUCGGAUUCGGCAAAAAUUCGGUACGGAUAUAAUUCGAAUAAAAUUCGUUUUCUAAUUUUUAAAUUCGUUGAAAAAUACGGCUAAAAAACGGAUUUGUCAAUUAUUCGGAUACGUGAUUUAUACGGAUAUUAUACGUUCACCAAUUAAAAAUUCGGGAUCAAAAAUUCGACUAUUAAAUUAAAUUUGUUUUCUUUAAAGAUUUAUACUAUUAGUAUAAAUAUUUAUAUUUCUUAAGAAUAUAAGAAUAAAGAGCUACAAAAUUAAGUUAAUCAAGUAAAAAAAAAUAGCAAACUGUAUUAUACCUGAAAAUAAAUAAAUAAAUAAAGCAAAUAAGAAAUUAAGAUAGUCUAUAAAAAAUUAAAUUAUUUUGAUAGAGUGAUUUUUUUUUUUUNUCGCGAGCCGCGAGGCCGCGUCUUUUUGGCGAGCGAAUAAUUCGGCGUGCGAAUUAUUCGCGAAUUCGUAUUUUUACCCAAAAAUACACGUUUUUUUUCCGAAUUUUUCGGAAAAAUACGAAUUCGUCCGUUUAAUUCGUUUUUCCAAAAAUUCGCGAAUAAUUCGCGAAUAAUUCGCGAAUUAACUAACUAUGAUUGUAACACAAAAUUAUGCAAGGUGUACAAGGGAGUGGAGAGGGUGCACAUGCCAUGUACUAUCAUUUUCGUCAUCAUCUGUGCAUCCACCCAUCACCGAGUGAGAGGGAGGCAGACGGGAAGACUGGAAGAGGCAAAGAAAAGGCGGCCGAGUCGACAGGGAGCAAAGCGUGGCCUGCCAUCACGUGGCUUAGUUGUUAUGCUUUGAGUGCUGUUCCUCCCUCAACUUCAUGGUCCCCCCCCCCCACAUUGUGUUAUGGGUUUUGGGGGAUAUCGACUCCGCUAACCCGCUAGCAACAGCUAGCCCGAUCGCGAAUCCGUUUCUAGCUUACUUCAUUUCUGUUAGCUUAAAUGGGUUAGCAUCCUAUCCUGUAGAGGGAGGCUAUGUUAGGGCAAGUCAUAUUCAAAGUGGCGUGAGAUUGGAUCGGUCGAAUCAUGUUCGAAGUGCCGUGAGGCUGGUUGGGCCGAGUCAUAAUCGAGACUUGUGGGCGCUGUAUCUAUACACCUUAAGUGAAUUGAUUCCGUAUUUCUAACAUCUCGAAUUUUUGGGAUUAAUGGUUAGCGUCAACGAUCCGACAACUUCGAUCUUGUAGUUAGUCAAAAGUUGAGUAAAGUAGAACAUCUUAGGAUUAGAAAAAUCUCAGUCAACUUGUAAUUUCGUUUUCUCAAUAAAUACAAACUGUUCGGCUCAUUCAGCCGAGUUUGGUUUUGGGCCAGUUGUGAAUAGUUGCAGAAGAAUCCGAUUGAGUCGAUCCUUUCUCAACCAAGUAAGUUGCUAGUGGCGCAUCCGAGGAUCAUCUUAGGAUUAACCGACUCACAUUCCGAGAAAGAACUUGACUUCAUCUUCACUCUGAUCCGGUCAGUGUCGCAGUGCUAGGCUCCAUACUAAGGUGUGUCAGCCUCAGCCUCGCUCUAGAAAACUUCUCAUUCAAUUUCAUCUUCAAAAGGCAAUCACAGAGCAGCUCAAGGCUAGCUUACGAAUUUGAGACGCUAUGUCACCGUUAUCGUUUAAAAUUAAUUGAGAUCGAUGGGAUAUGCGACGGUAUUGUAGUAGAGGUAUUGAAUCACUCCGAUUCCAGAGGCUUAUGUGUGGAGCUUGUUGUAUUGGACCAUCUUUGAUUUCAAUUUAGCAUAACAUCUUAUUUGAACCACAUGAUGAUGUAUUAUAGUUAGGUCGAGCCAUUUUGUGGUAGCAGUGUUCUAAUUUGCUUCUGACUUUAGGUGCCUCAGUUACUGUGUAGGCUUGGUGAGUUAAUGCUGAGGUGGGACCAUCACUUGUUUCGAUUGCAAUUUUUGACCAAACUAGUAUACUGUAACAUUAAAAUAUUAGAUCUAGAAUUAAAAGCAUAGGAGCCUAAUUAAUUGGGAGUUACACAACUGGGGUCUACAUGCAUAUGGGCGAUAUAAGUUAAUCAAAAGUCCGAUGAGAUUUAAACUCAGAAUCUCUUGUUCUUUUAUUAUUUUAAAUGGACAAUAUUUCAUUUCUUCAAUUGUUUGUAAUUUAAAAUUUUGGUAAAGUGUGACAUGAGCUUUUAAUGUUUGAGAUGUAUCCAUACCCGUAUUGUAGGUGUGUCACUAAUGAACUAACCGGGAACAUGUUUGUCUCAUGGAUAUAUAUAUAUAUAUAUAUAUAUAUAUAUAUAUAUAUAUAUAUAUAUAUAUAUAUANUUAAAUAUUCGCGCUUCCGGUGGCAUGAAUUUUUUUGCAUCCUCGGAUUGAGAGAGAUAGAGGUAUAUAUAUAUAUAUAUAUAUAUAUAUAUUUUUUAAUGAUGGAACAUUUGAUUUGACGAUCAACUUCAUUAAGCAUGAUCUAUAUUAUUAAAACUAUUUAGAAUUUAAAUGUGGCUAAAUUACAUAAAACUUCUCUGUCAAAAUCAGAUUUCGCUUUUCCCCCAUAUCAUUUAAAAAUCUAUAUUUUGCCCCCUUGUAAAAUAAAAAAUAUUCACAGGGGGUACGGUAUGUACUGUGAUGAUAAAAUGACCAUUUUGUCCCUCACCAUUUUUGUCUCCUCCCUCAUCUUCCUCAACAGCAGCCUCGAUCGGUCGCGGUUCACGUCUCGAUCGGCAGUUUUUCUCCAUUUUCUUCUCCACCUGCUCCCCUUCUCCUCCUGCAUCCUCGCCGCCCCUCGAUUUCGGCGACAAUAGAAAGGAAAUCGAGGUGGGCGUGGAUGGAGAAGUGGGUAAUGGCAACAAGGGCGAAGGCGAGGCGGCGGAGGAGGGCGAAGGGGUGUUUGUUGGCGUAGACGGAGAUGUGGGCGAGGGCGAGGCAGUGGAGGAGGGCGAGGCGGCGAGGCGGCAGAAGGCAAAGCAACAGGGAAGAGGGCGAAGGGGUAUUUUUGACAUAAAAAAAAAUUUAUAACAGAACCCUAACGGAUCACUAACGGUAGGGGCGAAGUACACAUUUUUUAUUUUACAAAGGGACAAAAUGUAGGUUUUUAAAUAACAGAAAAAAAGGUUAAAAAUCGAAUUUUAACAGAAGGGUUUUCUGUAAUUUAGCCUUUAAAUUUUAUAAUUUUUUGACAUUAUGUCUAACGGAUCUAAUUGUCAAAUCGAAUGUUUCAUCGUGGAAAAUAAUUUACAAACGCAGAGACCUCUAUACUUUCGAAAGCGUAGGAGACGUACUCACUCUCUCUUUCUCUCUCUCUCUAUAUAUAGCCAAUAUAUAUUGGACCAAAUCAUUGUUUGGGAGCAUAAUAAGUGAAUAUGAGACACAUAUUGAUAUUAACUUUAAAUCAAUGAAACAUGUUGCGUGCUUUUCUUUCUCAAAAAAAAAAAAAAAACUUUAGAUCAAAAGCUUAUAUGAUCUUGCUCUUUUUAUUAUUUUUAUUAGAUUAUAUCUCAAAACUACCAUCAUUUAGGAAUAUCUUAUAUGCCCGUUUUGUAAUUACUAAUAAACAGUAUCUUUAGCAUUUAUUCUAAUGUUAUUAUGCUCGCAUAUAUAUGUGUAAAUAUAUUGAAAACUUAAAGAUGUAUAUUUGAUUAUAUAUUAAUCAAUAACAGUUUCUAAUUAUAAGAUUACUAAAUAAAGUUAAAGUGGGUGAGCGACUUAUUAACACAAUAAAUUUUUUGGAAGAAUUACAAAUUAUUUAAAUACAUUUAUUAACUUAGCUGUGAAAUUAAUUUGAUAGAGUAUUAAAGCAAGAGAUAUAAAGCCAAAAAACAAUAAUAAUAAAAGGAGAAAAUUGGAAAAGAAUAAAUGUACGAAACAUUGUGCCUACCCCACUAAUAGUGUCGUACACCUUAAUUACUUGUCAACAUUAUAUUUUGUUAACAUUAAUAAAGUUUGGACACAUGCUUUGUACGGAAAAUAUUUGGUACUCUUUUUAUUUUAAUGAAAAAUAUCUCUCAUUAGGAAAACUCUGCAAACUUGCGUAAUACUAUAAAUUGCUAAAUAAAUCUCGAAAUAAUAAUCAUAUUUUCUCUGAAUAUUUAUAUAUUAGCUAUUUCAUUAGUCGGGCUAAUAAACUGAAACUUUUUAAAAAAUAAUAAUGUUUCACGCAAGUGAUAUAAAAAUAAUUGUACGAUCGUUACAGAUACGACAAUAAUGAAUAUAUAGCUAGAGCCUAGAUGAUCAAUAUUAUUUUUCAGCUUAUUCCAAUUCAUAACACAUGCAGGGUGUUACAUCAAGUUUCAAGCUUUUAUAUAUAUAUAUAUUUCAUAAUUUACCUAAAGGGCUUAUCAAUUGAUUUGAUUCACCACCAAUUUGCAACAACAACAACAAUAAAGCAACAAUAUUUUCACUGGUCCUUCAUUUGACCUGUCCAAAAUGCAGCACCAAAAUAUUUUCCAAACAAAAAUUAGAAUAGAAAUAAGUGCUUGUGGCUCAAAAUUAGAACAGAACUUGCACAGUUGCGCUGAGAAGCUAUUAUAGAUUUUCGAAUAAAAUUCCAGUGCUUUUUCGAAUGUCUUUACUUAUAUAAUACAAAAAUUGCCUUUACUAGUAAAUUCUCUGUAAUAUUGUUUGAGAAUUAUAAUAGUAAUUUUGUACGAAUUCAAGAAAAAAAAAUCAUACCAAAUAAGGCUUCGUCUAAACGUAAGACUUAGAGACUGUUUAUAGAUAGCUUGUUCUGUAAUCAUACCAAAUUAAGAGUAUCCAGAGAGAUGUCGGUAGAGAUAAGUGAUUGAUCAACUAAAACAUCAUAAUUUAUCAUAAAGUUGCAUUAGUUAAGUCGUAAAAGUUUACAUCAUUGAUGUUGAUUAGUCCAUGUAGUUAGUUACUGUUUCAUAUUUGCAUGUUCUUAGGCUUUGGAGAAUUAAUUCUACCUAAUGUUAGGGUCCCACUAUCCGAUGGCUCGUCGACGCCUCAACUAUCUCAUAGAAAGGAGAACAGUUGCCCUUGCCUAUUAUGAAGUGCUCGAUCUAUCACAAGCGACAAGAAAAUUUAAGACUUAAAGAUGCCUUAGUAUUGAGAAAAAACCGGUGAAGCUAACGAUCGAUUCAUAUCAUCAACAUAGAGCAACAGAAUAUGUGAGGCCAUUGCUUACAAAUUGCGAAAGGUUUGGUGCAUAAAAAAGACCUUUGCAAGAACUAUAUAGAACUUGAUAGUUGGUUAUAGUGAUAGAAACAGGAAAUCUAAAAGGUACUAUUUCUGGCGAGGGCGAUGUGAUCCUCAUGAGGGAUUUAAUUCGUGAGUAACUCUAUAAUGUACUUUAGAGGGGGGGGUAAAAAAACAUGAAAAAGGCAACUAGUUAGGGCAGUUUGAUAUUGAAGGCUAUCUAACGUUGUUGAGGGUUACAGUUAAGAAAUAUGUCUUUUUGUUUUCCUAUUGCGCUACAGACGCGACAGUUUUUAUGAAAACAAAUAGCAUGCUUUCUCGUCGUAUAUAGCAUAUUUUAUCUGCAAUCUUAGAUGAAGCCUUCGAACCGCACAAAAAUAGUAAUGGCAAAAGAUUUAUGGAUCUCAUUGAGUUGGAGCGUAAAAGUUGAUCUCGAAUACUUGAGGUUUGAUCAAGAGCUAGACUAUGGGCGGUUUGGUUAGGCUUAAGUUUGGGCCCAACAAAAGUAUUGAAUUUGGGUCAGUGAAACUUGGCUUCUACCAUUUUUUGGGCCUAAAUUUUGAGCUGCAACAACAGCUCACAAUGGAUUAAAUGAUAAAUAUUUAUUUUUAAAUUUAUAAGCAGUAUGGUUAACAAUAUGCUCGAGUCACAAUAAAUUUAAAAAAUAUCCUUAAUUAUAUUAUCUAAACAAUUCUUACAAAAAUACUAUAAUAUUUUUUUAAAAAUAAUAAUGUAUGGACAUUAAAUUAUUUUGACUAAUAAUAAGUUAAAAUGUUAAAAAAAUCUAAAUGUGAAUCUGAAAUUCAACUUUUUCGGUCAACUCAUAGUACUCAUAACAACGUGAUUUAAAAGUCAAUAUUUUUUCAUUAAUCUUAUGAAGACUGUUUUAAAGCAAAUUUCAGAAAAUUAUUUAUGGACCCUACUUAGGUGUAUUUUCUAAUGUGACGACCUAAUUUCUCAUAUGGUCACUCAUUUUAGGACUACUUCCGUCCUAAUACAUUUAACUCUUUUAAGGAUCUAGCCACCACCUAAAAUGCUCAAGCUGAAUUAAGAGUAGUAGCCUUAUUAUAUCAUAAUAUAGAACUAUAUGGGAUCUCACACCCCCUCCCCCCCCCUCCCCCUUCUAAACUCUGACAUUCUCGUUAGGCUCAGACUCAUAAAUAUCAGGAACCGACCUUAUGGAAGAGCCGCAUUUUACCCACAACAGUGAAUCAUAUGAGAGUCUCGUUCUCUCCGCUAUAUACUUCUGGCUCAGUCGAGACUCAUCUCAUACCAACUGGUAAUUGACUUUAAUACCAAAUAUAACGAUUCAACUUUCCAGAAGGUCACCUAUCGUAGGACUACUCCCAUCCUAGCACGCUUAACUUUCUUAACAUUUUGGACCUAAUCAACAUUCAAAAUGUUCAAACUGAGUUAAAAAUAUUAGCCCAAUUAUAUCAUACAUAAAUAUAUAGAACUAUCCGGAUUUCAUAUUUGUUAAGUAAUUGGAAAAUGAAUAGACAUUCACAUGCACUUAGGGAUGCAAACGGGGCGGGAGAGUUUCCCCACCUCCCGCUCCAUUUCUUAUCGGGGCGGGGCGGAUUCGGGGCGAGUUACUUUUCAUUUUAUUUUUGGCUCCCACUUACCGCUCCAUUCGGGGCGGAUCGGAGCGGGAGCCGGAUUUUUGACGGAUCGGGGCGGAUUGAAGGAAGAAAAGAGUCUCCCACCUCCCGCUCCAUUUACUUGGCGGAUCGGGGCGGAUUCGGGGCGGGUUAUAUUUUUUUAUAUUUUUUAUUCCCACUUACCACCCCAUUCGGGACGGAUCGGGACGGAGCUCCACCAACCCGGAUCCAUUUGCAUCCCUACAUGCACUAAAGAUUAAGAUUUUGACACGUGGGCCACAUUCUCAUUUCACGUCAACUGCUACUUCCCCUCACUCAAUAAUCAAUAUGGCAUCUGACACCUCACGUGUUAUGCAACCAUAGCUUUUUUCUUUUUCUUUUUUCGGUUAUAUAUUGCCACUAUUUUUUUUGUUUUUUUGAGAAAGAUAUUGCCACUAUUAUUAAAGCCCAAAUCCUUUGUGUGAUGCAAUGCAUGAUGUCUUUUUAGCAUAUACGUAUAAGAUCCUUUAAACCAUUGGUAUUCCACUAUAGAAUUCAAAAUUAGAUUUUGUUAAAGUUAAAUUAUGAGCUCUUUUUUUAUUAUUUUUUUUAUGGAAAUCAUCCCAUUUAUGACGAGUAGGUUGCUUCCAACAAGAAGGAAAAAAAUUAAAUAAAAAUUCUAAAUGGUAUCAUGAUUGGUAUGUGUACGUGCCUAAGUAAUCGAGUUUAAAAGGGCAUUAGAUAAAAGUGUUAAUUCAUAUAGUUCCUUGCAAAUAUAGUAAAUAUGUAGUGAAUGAGAAAUAUAUUUUUACAAAAUUCAACUUUCAUAUAUUGUUUCUAUAAAAAUUUUGAUAUUUUCAAAUAUAUCCCUACCGUUAAAAUCGGUUAGAAAAAUUUAUUUAACCAUAGGUUAAAUAUUGAAGCUUGAUUAGUUUUUGAUAUUUUUACCCUUUUAUAUUAUACUGUUAUGGUUUUUAGAGGAACAUAUUUGUGAUGACAAAAUUGAAAAUAUAAACGAUUCUUUAACAAUAACAAACCAGAGAGACAUUUGAAAAUAUUAAAACUUUUAUAGGGACAAUAUAUGAAAGUUGAACUUUGUAGGGAUAUAUUUGUAAUUCACUAUAUUUGUAGAAAUCUGUAUGAAAUUAAUUCUAGAUAUAUAAAAUUGUUUGUUUUGUAGUGGUGUACCUUACAUAAACAAAUGAUUACAAAAUGAAUGGUCUAAACUAGUGAACUCCAAGCAGUGAGAUACAAGAAGAGAAAAAGGUGAGAUCAUGCUGCCAAUCCGAGCUCACAAGUUGGAGUGCAGUGAUAUGUUACCCACUUCAUUCAUUAGAAAAAGUUUGUGGGUUUCACAAUCUUAAUUUUAGAGAUUUGAAUUGUCUACCACCCACGGGGUUGCUGAUACAACUGUUAGAUUUUUAGCAGAAUUAAUCUGUGCCACCUAUAUUGAACAGUGCAGGAUAAUUAUACUAAAAAUCAAUGGCGGGAUGAAUCUUGUGAGAAGAAAAUCCUGCACACAGAAUUGUAAGCUUUUGCUUCCUUGAUUUAGUACCUUAUCUGUCCGAAGUCAAAAAACCGAUCUCAAAAUGUUCUAAAAAUUCAUGUUUCCAGAGAAUCCAGCUACAGAAGAACCAGGAACAAAGAGCUCUCCCUUUUGCCUGCUUGAUUCGUUGGUCGAUAGGAGGAUCUCGUCAGUUGGUGGAUGCAGAUGCAAAUUCAAUCCAACUUCAGCCUUGUCCAAUGGACCAAUAUGGGCCAAAUGGGCUCCAUUUAGCCCAGACCACAAUUCACACAGGCCCAUUACAUUUGAUGGGCUUAAACACAUUAGUCUAGACAGGGUUGACCGGGUCGGAUCCCCAGUGCUUUGAAAAUUUGACCCGGUUGGACUUUGCACGGGUCUAAUCAAUACCAUAUUUUAGGCCGAUGUUAGGACACAUUCGGUUCGUAAUUGAAAAAUAAAAUAAAAUAAAAUUUGAUUAUAUUAGAGUAAAAAGUAAAAUAAUAUAUCAUUCACAAUUUUGAAUUUAUUGUUGAAAUGAAAACCAAAACAAACUAUUGGGAUAUUUAUGAAGUAAAAGAAAAUUUUGAAUAAUUUACCAAUUAAAAAUUCAAAAUUAGAUUGAACUAUAAAUUGCUGGGACCAUUCCGAUUCUAGAAUUGAAUGCAAAUUAAAAUCUGUUUUCACUAAAAUAAAUAACAACUAUCGAACUCAAUUGAUUUUAUUUUGAUUGAGGGCCUAAAAUCUAAUGGUUAAUGCAUUUUUAUUCUAAAAUAGACAGCAAACAUUAUAUACUAAAUCAAGAUAAUUAUAAAUACAAAGAUAAGAAUGGUAAUAUUGGGCUUGAUGCCGUUGACGGACAUAUUAAAAAGAGGAAAGGGACAAAAGUAAAAAAACAAAUAGAGUUUAAGGGAGGUAAAAAAAAAAAUUAAUUGGAAAAAAAGAGUGAAACUUAAAUUAGAAAAAUUGGGAAGAUAAGUCAGAAGAUAGAUGCACAUCGCCCUUCGUUUGCGCUCUCUAAUCUAAUAUAUAUAUAUAUAUAUAAUAAUCUAAUCUCCAUUCUUUGCUAUAUAUGAUAACUCCCACGGGUCUCCCCCUUUUCCCAUUUCGAGGCUCUCCAUUCAUUCGACAACGCCAAUAAGCGAAGAGAGAGAGAGAUAGAGAGAGAGAGAGAGAGAGAGAGAGGGGGAGAGAGAGAGAGAGACCUCGUCUCGCGAAGGAGAGGGGAUCGCACGGAGGAGGCGACGCCAUGAUGGAUCCCUCCAGCGGCGGCGGCGGCGGCGGCGGCGGAGGAGGAGGAGGAGGGGAAGGAGGAGGCGGAGCGGCGGGGGCGAUGGAGUCGUGGGCGGCGGAGGCGGCGCGGCGGUACCAGCACCUGCUCGACCGGGCGACGCCGCACGUGGGGCGGCGGUGGGUGGGGCUCGGCGCCCUCGCCCUCGUCUACGCCGUGCGCGUUUGGUUCGCCCAGGGGUUCUACAUCGUCUCCUACGCCCUCGGCAUCUACGUCCUCAACCUCUUCAUCGCCUUCCUCUCCCCCCAGGUCGACCCCGAGGUCGAGAGCCUCGGCGACGGCCCCGCGCUCCCCACGCGCUCCUCCGACGAGUUCCGCCCCUUUGUGCGCCGCCUCCCCGAGUUCAAGUUCUGGUGCGUAACCCCUUCAAAAUCGGUUCUUUCGAUCUGUUUGAUGCGUGAUCUCUGGUGGGCAGAGGAAGGAUUUGAUGUUCUUGUUUAUAAGUUUAGGGUUUUUAUGCGGUAAAAUUGGUGAUUUGACCUAAAUAGAUUAGUACCAGGACAUGAUAAUGCGGAUUGAGCAUUCCAGGGUACUUGCAGUUUGUGGGAGUUAUGUGAUAUCGGCAGAUCUAGGAGGGAUUUGCUUGAAAGCUGAAUAAUUGGCGUAGAAAUGAAAACUUUGUAGCUUGGCCCGGGUAUUGAUUUCUCCCUGGAAUAGAUAUUGGUGUUCUUACAUCUUAACAUUAGUUAUGUUAUCUUUUCUCUUUCUUGUGAGGACGAUUUUUCAGUUUAGGAACGACAGCUCUAUGUCGGAUCUCCUGGUGUUGCUAACUCUCUUUGCUACAUGGAGUAUGAUGGGCAGAAAGAAAUAGAAUUAAUAGGCGUAAAGAUGGUCAGGAGAGUUGAAGAUUAAGCCUGUUUCUGCAUCCGCGUUUACUUGGAAUUUUAAUGAAUUGAAAUUCGUGUAAAUGCGUAUGUUCUUGCUUAUUAUCAUUGUGCUUAGGAUGUGCAACCUCUUGUAAGGCCUAAUCAGGAAAUAUAUGUUGCCCAUAACACUAAUGCUUUGAUUCUUUAGAGGGUCUAAACACUUCCAUUAUCAAGCUUUUCUUCUCUAAUGCUAUGAAAUAAUGUUGGCACCAGAGAAGCAUUUGGUGUAACGUGCUCUCAGGGUGAUUCCGACGACAAUAUUUGAGCAUCAAAGGAGGGAAGUUCUAAAUUUCUUUUAGGCCCUUAAAAGUGUCAGAGUCGAUGGGGAAUUUUUAGGCCCUUAAAAGUGUCAGAGACAAUGCACCACAUUUCCAAACGGGGUCUGCUAGAAGCUUUUCAUUACAAAAUGUUGUUGUAGUUGUGAUCCUAGUUAGCUACCUUUGUACAUCGUUGAUUUAUUGAUUUUAUGUUCUUAAAAAUGUCUUAUUAUUAGUCAUGCUGUUUAGCUGCUCUUUUACAAUAUUGGUUGUUUGGUUUGAUGGAGAUACUAAUCUAUCUGGUCCUUGUCUGCUUAUUUUCUAUGUUGAUGUCUAAAUCUGUUGGUGCAUUAUCAUUCCAGCCACUUCUGAAAAGAAAUUUAUGUUAUUUGUAAACACUGUCUGAUGCUUGCUUGUUGUUUGGGAUGCUUGCCUGAGUUGGGUAGUUAAUUGAUUAAUUUGUCUCAUCAAAAAUAAAUUUAUGGUCGACCAAAGUAGGUUUUAUAAAUGGAUAUAAACGAUGACUAAAAUUAGAAUUCAUUAGCAAUUCUAUUUUGGCUUUAUUUUACCAUGCAAGUUAUCCAGCCGAAAUAACCACUAAAUGGGAGAAAAUGAGUGGAAAGUUCAACAAACUGCAAGAUUACAUCACAAGAAAAAGUCUAAUCUCAUAUUUCCUUCUAAUGCCAUUCUCAGGUUCUAUCUUGUCCUUGUUAAUACUAGGUAAUUUAUAGCAUCCUUAUCCUGGUGAUGCUUUCUCAUAUCUAACCAAUAGUUUUAUCAUCCUUACCGUGUCACUUGGCAUUUCUUUCUCAUAAGCGGAUGACUAUUGAAAUGAGGGAAAAUAAUCUCAAGUUUUAAGUUCUCUACUAGAAAAGACAUAAGAUGGGCAUAUAUAAAGAUUAAGAUUCUCACUUCUCCAAUAAAAAGUUGAUCAGUUGCCUUAGUCAUUAUGUGAUUAGUUAGUGGUUGGUGGUGCUUGAGCUUCUACUCUUUGAUUAAGCUACUUUUGUGUCCUGACAGCCCUUCCAGCUGCAUCUUCAAAUGCAAUUUAUCAACAGUUCUGCAUGAUUUUUUAACUUAACCGGUCUCUUUCUUUCUUUUGCUUUUUUUCUAAUCAUCGAAAUUUGUUUCUCUUAGGCAGGAGAGAUUAUGCUUGGCCGUCGUGCAUGCCCUUUCUUUGUGUAGUAGUCCACUUUGUCAAUUGAUUUAUUGACCUUACAAAGGCUGUUGAGUCGUUAGAGCUAUCUGUACUUUCAUAACUAGGUGCAAUUAAUAACUUUCCAUUUUCUCCUGUGCAGGUAUUCACUUACUAAAGCGGUAUGUAUCGCUUUCGUGGCGACAUUCUUUAGUGUGUUCGACGUGCCAGUGUUUUGGCCGAUUCUACUUUUCUAUUGGUUUGUGUUGUUCACGGUCACAAUGAAGCGACAAAUUCUUCAUAUGAUUAAAUACAAAUACGUUCCUUUCUCCUUUGGGAAGCAGGUAAGUCGAGCUCAAUAUUAAUUAGAAAAUCUUCUAGUUUUCUAUCACGUUUAAUUUCUUAAUCUUUGGCUUUCUUUUUCAGCGCUACACUGGGAAAAGGGCAGCUUCUGUCGACACCGAAAUUCUUCCUAAAGAUUAAAUAUUACCAUUGGGAUCGAAAUGCUAUUCUUAGAAGAUAGCUUUGCAGGGUAAUCCAGAGUUAAAAGAUGAUUUACUUUUUCUCAGAUCGAAGGAUUAGUGAUUUUCUUUUCUAGUAAACAUUUGGUGUCAAAAGUAAAGACUGGGAAAACCUUUUGGGAUCCCGAACUUACAGCCAGCUUCAGGAAACCAGUUAUAUCUCCCCCUCUUUUCUUGUAUCUGAUUUUGUUAAUGCAAUAUCAAACCAAGCAUAAGUUUUACUGUAUCAGAUAAUUGGAGGUGGCUAAAUAUGCCAACUCUUAGUUCUAAUUUAUCGCUCUUUGUAAACGUUCCUUGUACUGAGGUAUUGGGGAAUGAUCAACUCUUUAGAAGAAUAAAAUUUGAGCAACAUCCUCGAUCAAACCUGGGAUUUCUCAUGUGUCUUGCUGCAAGCAGGAAAGUUCGUAUGUUUUCUUUCAUUUCGUAUAAUAGUUCAGGGAAUUUCACUUGAUUAGUUCGUCUCACAGUUGAUUUAAUUGCGUGGAAGAAUCUAAGUUGUUGAACCUAUAAUUUUGAAAUCAUAAUAUUUAAUUAAUGGUACAUACAUAUUUAAUGGUGCAUAUUGUUGAUUCAAAAUAUCUUUAGUUGGUACAUCACCUGUAAAUCAUAUGUACGUAUACUUUCCCACCGCAAACAAAGAUCACUUCCUCACAAUACACACGGACAGGUCGGUAGUACUAGUACAUGAACCCUCCUUAGUCCUUACUCGCCUAAUCGAACGCGACGGUAUCACACAUGGCCUUCGCCGCCGCGCUCCUCCUCGCGCGAGGCGCCCCGCUCCUCCUCCUCCGCUGGAGCGCGCGCGCCCCCCGCGCUGGCGCCGGGGCCGCCGCGCUCGGGGCGGCGCGCCGUCACCUCUCGGCGCUCUCCACCGCCGACGACCUCCCUCCGCCAGCGCCGCCGCCGCACGUCGACGGCGGGGUCGGCGCUCCGCUCGGGGCCAAGGGCCCCGCUCCCCCCUCCCUCUCCAAGGCCUGGGCCGACGAGCCCGGGUUUCGCCGGUGGAAGGAUAAGGAAGCCGAGAUCCUUAGCGACAUCGGGCCCAUCAUCGCCCUCACCAAGAAUAUACUCCACUCCAACAGGUACCGGAGAGCUCGAAUUAGAAUUAUGGUGGUAGGUCAUCGGGUAAUCCUUUUUUGAGAAAGCGGAUUCCUCAAACAGUGGUUUCUAAUGGCGUUUCCUGGACUCAAAUGUCCUGAUAAAUUGAUUGGAGAAUCGAUCUCCCUUUUUCUGCAAUCUUUCGUGGCAAUUGAGAUUACUCACGCUAUAUGAUAUGUAUGUCGAUUGCAUUCUUUUUCGGCGAAGCCAACAGUAGAAAAAGUGCUUUUUUUCUCUGUACAAAUGAAGCUUUUUCUACACUUGUUGGUUUGCACCACUAAUCAUCUACUACUUUGGCAUGUUAUGGGAAGCUUUAUGCUACAGAACAUGGAAGUGAAGCACUAGAGAGCUCCACGAACUUUGUGUGUUACAAAAAUGAAAAUGCUUAAGAUAAGAAGGCAACUUAAACUCUAAAUGCGGAAGCCAUGAAAAGGGCACGGAAGCUAAAGACGACUUGAGUUGAAUUUAGCGAAUUGGAAAAUAUAUGUAAGUUUUGCAGCUUGUGCUCAAGCAGCUCAUUAACCGAAAGCUUUUAGGGAGCAAAGUGAUAACUUCGACCUGGGGAGUCCCAUUCUUCUAGGAAUCACGAAAAAUGAAAAAUCAGUGAUAGGCGGUCGCACUAUGUGAAUGUACUCAACCAAGUUACGUAUUUCAUAGUGCGAGAAGCAUAAGACUUAGGUGUGAUACCUGUAAAUUUUUACAAAAACAGAUGUCAUGAGAUGACGAGAAAAACUAAAGUAUCACUGCCUGAUGAUUCAGUGCAAUGAUGCUUCAGUUUGAUUGUUGGUAAACGUCGAGGAUUUUCUGAAGACUGAGCAAAGAUGAGGAAAUUGGUUGUAAAUUUUCCAUUUUCCCUUGGAGUUGGAUCAUCUGGAAACCAAGCAAGUAAAACUUGCUUAUAGGUUGCUUACGAAUUGAAGCAAAAGAUUUUUCAAGGCGGUGUAUGCGGAGGCCAGGAAGAUCUGCAGUGUUACUACUCGUCGAGUCGCAAUUUUCACAAUGUUGUAUGGUCUGCCACAGUUUAUUCUACCCUUUUAACUGACUCAUUUUGCAGCAGAUACAGGGAUGGUGAACAUCUAAGUGCAGAGGACCAGAAGGCUGUUGUAGAAAAGCUUCUCGCCUAUCAUCCACAUUCAGAGGAUAAGAUUGGUUGUGGCCUCAACUCCGUAAUGGUAAGUCCCCAAUUCAUGAUCUUGCAUAUUUUCUCUUGAAUAUUAGCUGUACAAUCUUAUAACAUUUUACCUGUAUUUUAGUUGUUUUAUAUUCACACAAUUUUGUUUAUUUGCACAGAUUCGUAUGAAUAAAUGUAGUUCGUAAUCAAUAUCACGUUGUGUGCCUUAAUUAAACUGGUAAAAUAUUUGAGCGAAAAUGAAGGCAACUUCAGGGCCCAUUUAAUUGAGCUGCAGUGUGACAUUGUUAGAUGACAUUCAGUUGCUCGUUCUUUUUUGUGCCUGCCUUAUUUCUCUUUCCCUUGUUUUUUUUAUUUUUUCUGCAUUAUCAGCAUCUCAUGCAGGGAUUUUCAAUCCAUUGGUUAUGGAUGAAAAUACCACAAAAUUUAGAAAGAUUUAAGCUGUGGACUGUUAAAUAUUAAUAUACAUGUACGAUUUUUUUAAAGCUUGUGCAUCUUCCUUGCCUUUUGGCAUGAUUGACUACUUUAAGUUAGUGUUUGCCAAUUUUGUUAAAAAGGUUUUACCAAAAAUCCUUUUAAAUUGAACAUGAACUUUCACAUAACUUGUCUUCUUUGUUUCUUUUCUUUUUUUUUUUCUGUAUUUAGGUCGACAGACAUCCACAAUUCAGAUAUUCAAGGUGCCUCUUUGUUGUACGAAAUGACGGUGGCUGGAUCGAUUUCUCAUACCAGAAAUGUCUUCGAGCAUACAUCCGAGAGAAGUAUCCAUCUCACGCAGAGAGGUUUAUCCGAGAACAUUUCAAACGGAACUGAAGGUGAGGUGAAACCUGUCUUAGGGGUUCUUGUGAUGGCUAGCAUAGUAAUUUGCUGAUCUUUUAGCUCACCAUCUUCAAUCAUUCCCAGGCCGUUGAAAUUUAGAGUUUGGAUGUAUGAACUAGGCUCCAAGGAAGCACAAUUUUAUGAACUGGAUAGUGCAAAAAUUUAUCAGAUUAGUUAUCUGUUUUGCCUCUAAACUAUUUCUCUAUAUCAGAUUCACCGAAUGCGGAAUUAUUUGCUGUAUCCUGUGACUUUUGUUAAAACUCGGCGAAAAGCUUAUGCAAAUUUGGUUCUUCGUACUCUGUAUUACACCUCUGGACUCUUUUUGUUGUGUAUUUGAAAGCGAGAAAAAAAGUUUAAAAAAAUAAAAAAGACAGAGAAUCACCCUUGACUUUUGUGGAAGCUUUUACGUUUGUCCCAAUCUUUUUAUUGUGGGGAUGAAAUCGUAUUUUGUUCUUAUAUCCUGUUUACCCUUGAUUGAUGAUAUUAUAAUAAUAAUGUGUGAAAGUAAUUCAGGCUAAAUUACACUUUUAGUCCUCAAACCACAAGGCGUGUAAAAUUUUAAUUUAUUAUAAUUUUUAACAUAAGUUUUUAAAUUAAGUUUUAUAAUUUAAUUUAUAGUUUAUUAAAUGCUGAUAUAUAACCGAUGUGUAGGUAAUAUUAUAUUUGGAGUACAGCAACUUAUAGAUUCCUUUAUACUCAUAAAUUUUCAAACAUAAAAUUUCGGCCUUUGAACGAAAAAUGUGAUGUUAGGAUGAUUAGUGAUUUUCGGUUACGGUGAUAAUGGUCUUUUAGGGUUGAGUGGAUGAUUGUUGAAUAGUAUAAUUUAACGGAUGGAAUUGAUUAAAGAGAUAAAUUUAACCGUUAAAAAUUUAUGAAUAAAAAAGGAUAUAUAAUGAUAAGAGUAUAAUAGUUAGACUCAUUUCUAUUUUUUGUAUUAUUAUUGGAUUAUCAGUAACAGUAUCAUUAUAUAUUUAGUUGGAGGACCAAUCGUGUAAUUUUGCCCUGCUGACUUCUUCAGCUCUCUGCUGCCGCACCCCGGACGAUAUUCUUUCUCCCUCCCCAACCCGACGUCCCUCCUUCUUCUUCUUCUUCUUCUUCUUCUUCUUCUGUAUCUCUCUCUGCUCUUCAUGACCGCAUGAGAUGGGCCAGAGCCCACCCCCACUCUCUUCUCCGGAGAUCCAACCCCCAUCAUCUGCAUCUCCUCCUCCACCCCAUCGCCACCAUCUCCCUCUCCGCCGAGCUCUCCCUGACCGAGUCCCUCGUCUCCCUACUCCACUCCCUCGUCCGCAGCGGCGUCGUCUUGCUCGCCAUGGCCGUCUACAACCGCAUGAUCAAGUCCGACUGCCGCCCCAAUCGCGCCACCUACAACAUCCCAAGGCCGUCGAGGCCUUCGCCCGCAUGCCCGACUUCGGCGCCCGCCCCAACACCUUCGUCUUCAACACCCUCCUCCGGGCCCUCGUCCGCAGCGGCGUCGUCUUGCUCGCCAUGGCCGUCUACAACCGCAUGAUCAAGUCCGACUGCCGCCCCAAUCGCGCCACCUACAACAUCCUCAUGGACGGCCUCUGCAAGGCCGGCAUGGCCGACGACGCCCUCGCCCUGUUCGACGAAAUGCUCGGCCGAGGCAUCCCCCCCAACACCGCCAUCUACACCGUGUUCCUCUCGUCCCUCUGCAAGGCCGGUAAGCUCGACGAGGCGAGCGGCCUCUUGCACUCCAUGAGGCGCAAGGGGUGCGGCCCCGACGCCAUCACGUACAACGCGUUGCUGAGCGGGUUCUGCAAGCUGGGCCGCAUCGACGAGGCUUUCCAGCAUUUGGAGUCGUUCCGGGAGGAGGGCGGUUUCGUUCUCGGAUUGAGCGGGUACAGCUGUUUGAUCGACGGCCUGUUCAGGGCGGGGCAGUUCGACGAGGCGUGUCGGCAUUACAGGGAGAUGCUGGAGAGGAAUGUGGCGCCGGACGUCGUCCUCUAUACGAUAAUGAUCAGAGGGCACGCCGAGGCCGGUAGAAUCGAGGAUGCUUUCGCGUUCUUGGGCGAGAUGUCUAAUCGCGGUCUAGUCCCCGACACAUUCUGCUAUAACACUCUCAUUAAGGGCCUCUGCGACGCGGGUUAUCUUGAUCGGGCGCGUUCUCUCAGGUUGGAGAUCUCGCAGAACGACAGGUUCCCCGACUCGGCCACGUACACUAUCAUGAUUUGCGGGCUGUGCAAGGAAGGUCUUGUUCACGAGGCGCAGCAAAUCUUCGAUGAGAUGGGGAAGCUAGGGUGCUAUCCGACGGUCAUGACGUUUAAUGCGCUCAUUAACGGUUUUUGCAAGGCUGGGAAGCUAGAAGAAGCCCGCAUCCUGUUCUAUAAGAUGGAGAUGGGACGAAACCCUUCUCUGUUCCUUAGGCUCUCCCACGGGGCCAACCAGGUCCGCGAUAGCGAGAGCCUUCGUCGGCUGGUCGAGGAGAUGUGUCAGUCGGGGCUUGUUCUGAAAGCGUAUAAGCUUCUCCGAGGUAUAAUAGACAGCGGAGUUGUGCCCGACGUUGUCACGUAUAACAUACUGAUCAAUGGCUUAUGUAAAGUGGGGAAUCCGGAUGGGGCGCUGAAGCUCUUCAAAGAGCUUCAAAUGAAGGGGCAUUCCCCUGACGCAGUCACUUACGGGACGUUAAUCGAUGGGCUCAUGAAGGCUCACCGAGAAGACGAUGCUUUCAUGGUGUUUCAGCAUAUAUUGCGGGGUGGGUCCACCCCUAGCUUGUCGAUCUACAGCACCCUCAUGAGAACUUUGUGUAGGAAGAAGAGAAUAUCGCAAGCAGUGAACCUCUGGUUGAACUACUUGUCUCAACAGUGCCAAAAUCCUCAAGAAGCUGGAGUAGUUGCAGCGGUGAGGAAACAUUUUGAGGACGGUGAGUUAGAAGAAGUAAUAAGAGGCUUAAUUGAUAUGGAUCGGAAACACGGUUCCGUUCGUCCAUUUCCGUACACAAUUUGGCUUAUUGGGUUUUGUCAGGCGAGAAAAGUCGAGGACGCUCUUAGGAUUUUUAACAUUCUGAGAGAGCUCGACAUUGACGUUACUCCGCCAAGCUGCGUCCUUCUUAUUAAUUGCUUAUGCAGGACUAGGGAUCUAUCCUCGGCAUUGGAUGUUAUGCUCUAUGCAUUGAGAAAAGGUUUCAAUUUUAUGCAACCAGUUGGCAAUCGCCUACUUAAGAGACUUUGUGUUGAUAACAGGAAGCAGGCUGCCAAAGCCCUCGCAUGGCGAAUGCAUCUUGCUGGAUACGAUAUGGACGCAUAUCUGCGGGAUACUACUAAAGUCCUAUUAUACAAUCAUUAGAAGUCUCUCUUGUAUUUUACUUACGACUUCACCGUUUCUUUCAAGACUGAUUGUAGGAUUUUCGUAUAAUUGGAAGAAGUUGCUUGGGUAAAUUACCCAUUUUCAAAAUGAAGCAGCUGCAGAGGGGGUACCAAACUUUGUAUGGUUGGGUGUUUUUUUGACCCCUACAGUAGUUUGUAACAUCAAUAAUAAGGUAAGGUAGUUGAUGAGGAUUUUUUUUUUUCUUUCUAAUUUAUUUCCUUAUAUUAUGCUCUCUCAUAAGUUUCUGAUUGCUCUUCUUCACGCAGUUUAAUAUUAUUUUGAAGUUGAUAUCUCCGUAAUCACAAAUUAGCAACCUUAGUAAACCUUUGAAAGUGUAUAUAACCACUAACUCGAAUUGCAGUUAUUCUGAAUUCAUCAGUCAUUUUUGACUCUAGAAUUUCCCCCUUCUAAGCAUUUCAAGAAUGAGAGCAUUCUCAGCCUCAUAACCCUAAUUCUCAAGUUUCAACAUUUACUACUGUAAUUCUUGUUCUUGUUUCUGUUCUUAGUCUCUAUGUUAGUUUUAACUCUAGAAUUUCCCCCUUCUAAGCAUUUCAAAGAAUGAGAGCAUUCUCAGCCUCAUAACCCUAAUUCUAAGUUUCAAUAUUUACUAGUGUAAUUCUUGUUCUUGUUUCUGUUCUUAGUAUCUAUGUUAGUUAAUGCUGAACUCUGUUCCUUCCGAGAUCAGUAUACAUUGCAUUGCAGUUUGCAAUUUCUUCAGGAGAUUAAUGCAGGGAAGGUCGAUUUGCGAUCCUCAGAGAAGCCGACGCAAUUGUUGAUACGUUUAGCGUAGCGAGCAUCCGAAAGCUAUACCUGAUUCGAGGUAAUCUUUUCGAGUAUCUGUCUUUGGGUUUUCCACUUUCCAGAGAAGCUGCAUACAUUCUAUCUGGUCUCUGAAGUUCUCCAGCAAGUUACAUAUUCUUUGUUUAGAGGUGCAAAAGUCUAAUGUUCUUCUGCAUCCAAGUUAGAGUACUUACUCCUCUGAAAAACAAAAUUCAGAGUAAUUCUACUGCUUUUUCUGCAUCCUUAUUCUGGUGGGAAUAAAAUAAAAAAUUCUAUUCUGCAUAACUGCACUCAUAUUCCAGAAAAUAUUAUUCUGAACAUAUGCUAAUGUACCCAAAAGAAAUACAUACCACCGAUGAAUUUUCGCUCUGAGAAGCUGGUUUUGAAAACUGCCAUCACCAUUGAAGUCGCCGACGAUAGUGCUCGAUUCAAAUUCAAAUACUUCAAAGCAAUUUUAGUUUAUUAUCUAUGAAAGGAUGAGCAUUUGCGUACUAGUUCACAAACAAUUGUUGAUUCCUAGUCUAGCUGUAGCGUUUUCGACUAUCAUAACUACCAUUUAUUUUGUGAGUUGUACAAAUUAUCCAGUUAAUUGUUACAUAUUAAGUUAGGUUUUUGACUCAUGAUAAUUUGAACUGGGGAAAUAAACACAUAAUAGGUUUGGUACAAGAAAAACAUACGACACGCAACACAUUUCUCCAAGUAAAAUGAGAUUUUCCAUAAAUAAUAAUCAAAUUGGGAAAAAUGCUAGGUGAUGAGGCUUAACAAGUUUCAAAUCGCGAAUACUUGCGCGAGAACGCAUAAUAUGCCUUAAAAAGUAUUGAAAAAGUUAGCAUGAAAAGUAGGGCUCCAAACACCCUAGAAUGUGUGGUAAUGAAGCACGGAAUUAAUUGGGUGAAGAGUUCAUUACAUGUCUAAUGUAUAGUAAAUUAUUAGAAAAAUAAUAAAGAAGAUACAUACUUUGAUGACUUUGAGAAAAGAUUUCUUUUUACAGACAAUUAAUAUAUUUUGCAAAAUCCAUACGACGGUACUUUUAAAAGCGAAAGAGUUUAACAUGCUUAUAAUUUUUUAGUCAUUAAAUUGCCGCAAAAUCAGCCCAACACUAGCAAAGAAAACUUAAGAAGACACAUCGAUAAUAGUGUUGUAUGAGUUUUAAGACGAGUUUUAAGAAAAUCUGACGGUUAAAAAGUUACAAAUACAAAUAUUUAUGAGCUCAACUCUCCAUAUGACAAGGAUUACGCGUAUUGAGAAAGAAAUGCGAUAAUUACAAAUAUACCCAGUUGAAAACCCCAGCACAUGUCUUCGGAUUUGUUCAAAUAUUUGGAUUGUGAGUAAGAUGGUAAAACCCAGGAGCAUGCAAUAACUUUUCCUUAAUUUGGUGGUUGUAGCUGUAAUUAACAGAACCACUCCAGUACUAGUCACAUGGUCUCUGAGCAACCCUAGCUACUGAUCAUUAACAGCUUCUUCCUUCUCCACUAACCCUGCAAGGUCAAUGCUAGGGCCCAGGUGUCACCUGGAUGUUUAUAACUUCAUCCAUAUGUUAAUAAAUUUCAUCUGAUAUUUUAGGUUACUUGUAUACAAUAGUCAAAAAAAAAAAAAAAAAAAAAAAAAAAAAAAAACUGCAUAUCAUGUAUAUAUAUCACCCAUGUUAUUCUACGCGAAAAUACUACGAAGUCAACCAACAACUUACCAUAAAUAACAAAAUCUCAUUAACUGGUUAGAAAUUUCAUGUAGAAUCACUGAUAAAGAGAACCAUCUUUCUGACUAUUAGAAGUAUAACUGUAAAAAGUACUAUAAAUGUGUCAUAUAAACUCGUCAACAUAUUAAGUGUUUAGAUAUUUUUUAAAAGUAAAAAAAUCUAGGUGGUCGUAGAUGUCGAGUUAAAGAGACCAACAUCUUAUCCUGUGGCGGAAGAUCAGAGUUAGCCGAGUCACGUUCGAAAUAGUGUGAGACUGAAUUAGAUCGAGUCAUGUUCGAAAUAGUAUGAAACAAGUUGGGCCUAGUCACAACAAUCGAGAAUUAUGAACGUUAAGUCUGUAGGCUAUAAGUAAUUUGAUUAUAUUUUUCUAACCACUUAGAUUUUGAGAUUAAUUAUUAGCGCUAACGAUCCGACAAUAGACUCAUACAAUUUAUUCCUCUGCUUCUUUAUAACGUUCUUCAAGGUCAAAAUAUUUAUGGCGCGCUCUUCUGCGCCUAAAAUGAUCCCCUUCAAAAUUUAAUGUCCUCUGUGCUCUGCUCCUCUUUCAUUACCACACCCCAACCCCUCCAUUUCUCCACACCCCUCACAUCACUCCACCACUUCUCCUCACAACACAUUUUUGUUCAACAACUAACUAAACCCCUCAAACACCACCACCACCACCUCCUCCUCCUCCUCCCCUUCUUCAUAUAUUCCACCCCCAUAAAUCCUCUUUCUAAAGCACACACAUUUUGUGUUGUCCCAAAUUUGCUACAACAUAAACCCCUCCCCAAAAACAAGAAAAAACACCACCAUGCUCAAUUCCACUCUCUUCCUCUCUUUCCUCCUCUUCCUCCUCCUACUGGCUUGUUCGAUCACGGCGCUUACGCCGGACGGCGUAUCGCUCCUCUCCUUCAAGUACGCCGUCCUCGACGACCCCCUCGCGGCGCUCGCCGACUGGGACUACGCCGACGACACCCCGUGCUCCUGGAACGGUGUCGUCUGCGCGGAAUUCCCUGCAAUCACCAACAGCAGCAGCAGCAGCAGAGUGAUCGGCCUGAGCCUCCCCAAUGCUCAAUUGCGAGGUGCCGUCGCGCCGGAGCUUGCGCUCAUAGAGCACCUCCGCCGCCUCGACCUCUCCGGCAACGCACUCGCCGGUCCGGUCCCCGCGGAGCUCGCGCUCCUUCCCAAUCUCACCACUCUCUCUCUGGCCAAUAACUACUUCUACGGCGAGCUCCCCGCCGGCGUGUCGGAUUCCCUCGAGGUGUUCGAUGUGAGCUCCAACCUCAUCAACGGCUCCCUCCCGCCGGGUCUCGGCACGGGGAGCCUCCGGUACCUGAAUUUGUCGCACAACCGGAUAAGCGGCACGGUACCGCCGGAGCUCGGUUCGGCGCUUCCCGCGAACGCCAUGAUCGACCUCUCGUUCAACAACCUCACCGGGCCAAUUCCACAGGCCGGAGCUUUCACCGCACAGAAUGCGGUUGCCUUUGCGGGGAAUCCCGGUCUUUGUGGCUCGCCGCUUAUCAAGAAAUGCGCCAUCUCCUCCUCGCUCUCCAACGCUCCUCCUAACAAUGUCUCCGCCGCCACGGCAACUCCCCCGGUGUCCAAGGCCUUUGCGGCGAUACCCGAGAGCCCGAAUGCGGAUUCCUUAGCUGGGAAUGGCGGCGGUGGGGGAUCGGCAAGGCCACGGGGGCUCAGGCCGACUACUAUAUUCGCGAUCGCCGCUGGAGAUUUCGUCGGAAUCGGAGCACUCUUCGUAGUGUUCUUGUACAUAUAUCAGGUGAAGAAGAGGAAGCAUGAGAGUGAAGGGAUUGAGACGAAGCAGGUUGAAACUGCCGCCGACGACGAGGAAAAUGUGCAAGAGCUCGGCGGCGGCGUCUUUUCAUGCUGCUUUAAAAAGCACGACUGCGGCUGCAGCGGCAGUGGCGACGGCGAUGGCACCGAAGAGAGCUCAGAAACGUCGGCAUAUGCUGCGGCGGAAGCAAUGAAAGGUGAUGGAGAGCAAAAGGCUACACUAGUGUCUGUCGACGGAGAGACGGAGAUAGAGCUCGAGACGCUACUGAAGGCGACGGCGUAUGUAGUCGGAGCCGCCGAGCGGGGAAUUGUCUACAAGGCAGUGCUCGUCGACGGGACGGCCUACGCGGUUCGACGGAUCGGCGAGGGGAGAGGCGACGGCAGCGACAGCAGCAGCGGCAUGGGGAAGUUUAGGGAAUUCGAAGCGAAUGUGCGCGCCAUCGCGAAGCUCCGGCACCGGAAUGUGCUUCGGCUCCGGGGGUUCUACUGGGGACCCCAGGAGAAGCUCCUCAUCCAUGACUUCGCGCCCAACGGUAGCCUCAACAACUACUCUUUCACCGGUAAGGACCUUUUUGCCCUUUUCAUUUAAAUGGAAAUAUUGCCGCGAACUAGGGAAAUUAUAGAUUUAUUUUAAGAAGUUUUUAAUUAUUAGGUAUUUUCAUUUAAAAGUUGUUUCCAUCGAUUAGCUGAUUGAUUAAAGUUGAUUUUAUCUAAUGAAAUGAUCAUUUUAUUUGUUAAUUAUUAGGUAUUUCAAUUCACUUUUUCCCCCCCACCCGUAUUUUACCUGUCAUUUCUUAGGCGUACCACCUCUGAGUUUUUAACUCUUACCCAAUUAUACAAAUCUUUAAUAUUUUAAAUAUUUGAUAAUUAAAACUUUGCGGUUAUAAAUAAUUACUUUUCGAAAUAUUCCCUCUUAGGAGGCACUUGGUUCUAUUAAGUGUUUGUACUGUUGUUUAACAGAUAAGGCGUGCUCGCCGUCCCCGUUCCACCUGAGCUUCGAAACACGGCUGAGGAUCGCAAGGGGCGUCGCGAGAGGCCUCGCAUUUCUUCACGAUAAGAAGCAUGUUCACGGCUACAUAAAGCCGAGCAACAUCUUGCUAGACGCCGACAUGGAGCCGCUGAUCAGCGACUUCGGCUUGGAUCGUCUGUUUUCUGUCAGCAGCAGCAGCAGCAGCAGCUCCAAGCGGAGCAUGUCGGCACGGAUAUUCGGAAGCAAGUGGUCUACAGCCGACCUCCCCGACCUAUCAAGCCCGUGCGGCGGCAGCUCUUCCUCGUCUGCCACGCCGUACCAUUCGCCAGAGAUGACACAGAAUCUGAAACUCAGUGCAAAGUCGGACGUGUACUCGUACGGAGUGGUUCUGUUGGAGCUGAUCGCCGGGAGGGUGCUUUCGGAGGUUGAGGUGUGCCAAUGGGAGUCCGGGUUUGCAGCACCACAAGCAGAGAAGAGCAGGGCUAUGAGGAUGGUGAAUCCAGCGAUGCGGGGAGCCGCCGAGGGGAGGGAAGAAGCUCUGCUCAGCUGCUUCAAGUUAGGGUUUUCUUGCUGCGCAGCGGCUCCGCAGAAGAGACCUGCUAUGAAAGAUGUUCUGCAAGUGUUAGAGAGGAUAUGCAUUUGAUAAGUUUAAUUUCUCCUCUUUGCCAUACAACAGUGGGAACAAUUGCUUCCAAAAUCUCACUGAUAAGCUAUUUUGCAAUUUGUACUUCACUGAAAUUGUAAAACUGUUCUCUUUGCCGCGGUAUGAUCCAAUAGCUUUAUAUGUGCUUUUCUCGCGCACCAAUCAACUUUUUCAGUACUUGUUUCCAUAAACAAAGCAACCACAUGAUAACAUUAUAAAAAGAGGUGAAAACAUACCUUCUACGAGCGAAGGAUGAUCCACAUUAGAUGUUCAUUUCUGACAAGUAAAAUUUUGCUUCUCCGGUGGUAGCUCACUAGAAUGUUAAACUUAAAGUAUCAUUGAGCUUGUUGCAUAGGAAAACUAUGUAAUAGCCUAUACAUCACAAUACAAUAUUAAACCGAACAACAUAAAUAACUUCUGAUACAAACAGUAACGCACAUUCCUACAUAUUUCCACUGAUUUCUUGCAUUAAACCAUAUUCAAUGAGUGAAUACCUGAUGCAAACCUAAGGCCUAGGACAGGAUGCUGCAUCAACUAGUUUCGUCCUCCCACUUACUAUUGCUAAUUGUAUAUUAGCAAUGAAUGGGUGAUAUACAAGCUUGAGCCCAUCAGUCCCCGAGUAAUCACAACAAUACUGCAAAUGAUAUCUUCCUCCUGGUCUUCCUUCUGACCAGUCGAAACUGGGUUCAAAAUUUCGAGGAAUAAAAUGAUUAGAGCAUCAUUUCUGAUAGAAUCACAAAGUUUCACGUUUUAUGAACCCGAGAUGAAAGGGAGGUGAGCAACUGCUGUAGGAAUUGAGAGAUGGAGAUUUUGCGCCGCUAAGUAUGCGAUGAUACCAGCAGAAUAACCUGCAAAUGCGAACCCACUCACCUGCAAAUAGGAAUAGCGUUGAAAUUUGAGACAGCAAAAAUUUGAGCAUCGGAAAAGAAAGAAAUCUAGAGAAAUCCACUUUUUGGAUCAGCAAAUUGUUGAGAAUUACAAUUACAAGUAGCUGGCAGUAACUUCACCUUGCGAAGAUACCAAAAGAAAUCCACCUUUUCCAUUCCCAUAAAUGCAACUCCCGCUGCAGAGCCAAUGAUAAGCAUAGACCCACCAGUGCCUGCACAGAAGGCGACGAGCUGCCAAAACUCGGAGUCUCGGGGAAAAGAAGUUAGAUCAUACAUUCCCAUUGUGGCAGCAACUAGUGGAACAUUGUCUAUAAUUGCCGAGACCACACCAAUCGCGGUAGCAAUCAGUUCAACAUUUGGAAUGUGAGCAUCGAGGUAAUUCGCUAAUUCCCUCAGAAUCCCGGCAGCCUCCAAGCUACCCACAAAACAAAGACAAUUAUUAGGAGCCAUAGUGUAUAAAAAUAUACUGUUUCGCUAACUAUUUCCAGGAAGAGAGAAUGUACAACUUGAUGUGCAUGCCAGAAAAUUCCAAACAUGUCUACAUAAUUAUGUUAAGAGGAUCACUAUGUCCUCUUGCUAAUCUGUAAUAUGCGGCAAGCACAACUUUCUAGCUAGAAAUAUAUAGAGUUAAAGGGCCUUUUCUUGGUGUGUGAAGUUUCAUUCAGAGAAAAUAUAAAGAGUCAAAAAAAUUUAAAUACACUAAUACAGAGUUUUGGCAGCAGUUGUUGUACGAUUUAUAAUUAUGAAUAAACACUUUGAACUAAGAGAUAAAGUAAUAAAUAGAUUAUAUUCUCCAACUAUUAUGUUCCAUCUAGAUCUUACCAUCUAGUUCAAGUACUUAUCUUUAUUAUGCAUUGAUCAGGAUGGGGUAACAUGCAUACCUGCUCACUGAAAGAAGGAUUCCCAAAAAGAAAAGGACUCCUUGUGUAUCGAUCCGCGACAAAGCCUGAGGCACUUUCAAUUUUUGCCUUCCAGAAUCACCAUAAUGAAUUGCAUCAGUUAAAAUCCAGAGAACUCCAAGCCCAAGCAGCAUGCCCAUGUAAGGGGGAAGGCCAGUAAGGGCUCUGAACACCGGAACAAACACUAAAGCUCCUAGUCCGACAGCAAAAACAAGUCGUCCUCGAGGAGCCAUCUGCUCGGUUGCCAACAAACCUGAAGAAUUCUGAGCUGUCCCAUUGACCUCACUAUAUUUUAAAAUUGAAACCAAAUGUCAGAGUAUACUGUUGAUAGAAAAGUCUCUUUGAACUGCUUUGUUGGCAAUAGCUAAUCAUUGAUCAAGUACCUAGUCAGGGACAUGAGAGCCAGUGGGACAGCCAAAGAGAGAACCGCGGGAACAAACAAGCCCUGCCAUUAAAAAAUAAAAAUAAAAAAUUUUAAAACAACAACAGCAUCCACAGAUCAAAGGCAGUGAAAUAUCACAAAGUACAGUUCCAUUCAUAGACAUGUUAUCAACCAUAUCACAAGCAUCCACAGAUCAAAUCAACAAAGGGAGAUCACAAAGGUAGUCUUGAGAAGUGUGCUAUUAUGUGAGAGUGUACUCCAAGGAUAGAAGAAGAAGAAGAAGAAAUUUGUUUAUAUUGUCAUAGUGAAAUACCCAGUGCACUAAAUAUAUACAAUGAGCUUUCCUGACUUCUAUCACAAAAUGUUGUCAAUUAAUUUUUCUUCAUCUGAUAUUUUCCCAUCUCAUAUUCCUUUAGAGGAAAGUCCAUAAUUCAAGAUAAAGACUAUCAAGGGACACACAAUUACCAAGGCUUAGAUACUACAGUACGUGGUAAGAUGGGCAGCAACUAAAUACUGCAGACAAAAUUUUAUUAUAAUGUAGGGAGCCCUUCUUCAUUGCAUUUACUUCACAAAAUAGGCCUUCAUAUCCUCACAAGGGAGAACUCAAAAAUAAAAACCACCAGGGAAUAUUCUAUAAUGGUCAACAUGCGAACAAGAGAAUUAGGAUGUGGACAUAGUUUGGAAAUGUUGAUCUGGACAAGUCAAAUUGGAAUAUUUUUACCCUCCUGCAGGCACCAAUACUGAUUUGAGGAGACUAAUAUCCACAAUCACGAAACAUUAUGCACAAUCACGAAACAUUAAUAUGGAAGAGAUUGCUGCAAAGUAAUUACAAAGUGGGCAAUGCAAAUCAAUUUUAAUAUACAGAAUCCGAAGCCUAUAUGCAUUUGGAAAAAGCAUGCAAAAGUUUCAUCAAACUCACAGUCAAACCAAGAAGAUACAAGUUUUAUGGGAAGCAUAAUAAACCCUAGUAGUUGAUAGUAAUGACUAGUCACACAAACAAUUAUGAAAAGCAUACAAACCAACUCAAGGCUUACAACUAUAUCGCUGUAAGAAAGAGAACAAUAUGAGUUGGCCAAGUAGUGCAAUCAAACAGCACAGACCUGCAUUAUUUUCAAAGUCGAGAUCUGACCAUGAAUCCACAACAUUGUUGUUGUGACAUCACCAAUUGGUGUCCAUGCGCCACCAGCAUUUGCCGCUAGAACAACAACAGCUCCUAAUAUUCUGCCAAUACCAAAGAAGACUCAAUAAAAGGAUAUAUACUAGAGAUUGUGGGAUAAAACAAGACAAAUCUGCACUGGAGGUUCUUAGCCGGUAACAAAUUUAAGGGUAGAGAUUCUAAACAGACAAAAAGAGGGAAAAAAAUCAACUGUGUUAUGGUGCACAUUACACUCUAAACACAAAGCUGUAUACAAGAGAGUUAUAGGAAAAUAACCAAGUAUCCAAUAGUAACAAAAUUGCAACAUAGCUAUUGGAUCCAAGCAAAAAUAAGAACACAAUAAUGUAACAUGUCACUCUGAAAGAAAAUGCAUUGCCCCUAGACAGAUAUGGUGAUCCUCAAAAGAGAUAUAAUCACUUCGAUAGAAAAUCAAAAUCGUAACAUAUCCAUACAAUUAUAAAAAAUCUUUGCAAGGAGUCGCUAGAGAAGACAAUGCAGUUCAUACUUCCUGUAUUCUGACGGAGGCACUAGCUUACGCAACAGUGAGACCAUCACUAUAGUCGACGUCAGGUUGUCAAGUACAGAACUUAAGAAGAAAGUUACAAAACCUACCUGAAAAUUCAACCACGAAUAGUUAGCUAUGGAGAAACUGCAAUAAAUUAGUUUUAACAAAGCCUUUAAAGUGAACGUUAUAUGAGACAAUUAGCUUGUUAGUCAAGUUCCUGGUUCCUUUACCCACAUCGUACAUUUUAGGGUGCAGUACAAAUCUGGAUAUAAAAUGGAACAAAAUAACAUAACAAAUAUAAGAAAAGAUAACAUAACAAAUAUGAGACAAGAAAAGAACAAAAUUGAAAAUAUUGCAUCUGCCUGCCUUGCAGUGCAAGGUAAAAAUUUUCACCUUCAUUUUAAUGAGCAAUUUAGAGAUGCAGACCAGUAAUUGAAGUUUGCAAUGUGCUUCUCAUCUUCCAUUUCUCAUAUCCAACCAAAUGAAUAAACAGUAUGGAUUAGCAAAAACCAUCAUCGAAGAUAACAACUUGCAGCUGGAAUUUACUAUUUUCAGCCAUGUACAAGGCAAAUCAAAUGAUGCACAAUAUUUUUGCUUUAGAGUUGAUGAGAUAACCCUUUAGCAUGCUAAAGGAAUGAAGAGAAGCAUUGAGGAUGUGUGUGUAAGCAGAAAUUCCUUUUCAGGAUAAAUUUGGUUCAGAUACAAAACUAAUAGAUCGAUAAAGAUUUGAUUGAACUAUAUUGAAUCUAUUGGUAAUUACGUAUUAACUUGUGAUAGAAAUAAGUAGAUAAGACUCAUGAAUGACUAAAAAAAGAACUUACCACCCAGAGGAGAAUUCGAGGAUUUCGAGUAGUAAUGUUGUCCGUAACCAGCUUAAAUCCUUGAUGUGCAUCAACAAUCUCUACAAUGGUCAUUGCACCAAGCAAAAAGAAAACUAUUUCACUAACUUCAGCAGAUGACUGGGUUAAUUCUGUAACAGCUAUGUCUGUUGAGGGAGCCUGCACCACCAGAAAGCGAUACUAUCAUCUUGUCAACCUAACCGAAGUAUAUCAAGCUAAAAUAAAUUUAUAAUUCCAGACAAACAUAUGUGGAAACUGAUACAUGUCACACUUAUUUGAGGUAAGAAGAGAACAAAUAGUACAAAACAUCAAUACAAGAGCAAAAGCAAAAUUUUACAGCAAAUUUGAUAUAUAUAUAGAGAGAAAAAAGAGUGAAUUCAAGUAUCAGAAGCUUGAUGGUCUAAACAUGGCUCCACACUUUUCAAAGGGAAAGAAUACUAACACAAACUAACUAAAAAGAUGCCAACAGCCAAUGGAAGGUUUAUUCUGUUUUCGAGUGUAUAAUUUAGAUUACCAUCUAGUAUCAGCAUUAUGAUUUUCAACCAUAUGUUGUGGUCAAGAAUCACAGCAUUUUCACAGCAUGACCGUCCAAUAUCAGCGACUUGCAGCUGGAAGAACUUCAGAAGGGGGGUGCCACAAGUUUGUGUAGCAUUAAAAUUAGGAACCAUUUUUAAGGUGGCAGAAAUCUGCCAAAUUCUGUCAAAGUAAAGAUGAACAGAAAUUUAAUUAAUAUUGUAGAAUAAAGCAUGUCUAAGCAACCAUUCACGUAGCAGUAAGUGAAAGUUAAAAAUCCAUUAUCUGCAAAUGUCGCUGAAUAACCAGCUGAAAAGCAAAGGAACUGCGACAAGAGAGAGAUCAUCAAAAUUCUCACCCCAAUGCUUCUUAUGACCCAUAAGCAAACGGCCAUCAACAACCCAACCCCGCUCUUGUUGAACGCAAGAGAUUCCUCAAAAAUAAUCCCUGCAUAACCAAUGGCAAAUACCAAUACCAUAGCAAGAUCCUGUACAAAUUAAUAUGUCAAAUCACACUACCACUGAUAGCUAAAUAUUCACAUUAUGCAGGACAAUAAAGAAAAGCAAAAAAGAAGCGAUAGAAGGGUGACCUAACCUGAUUAGCAGCUACCCAAGAAUGAUUUAUUGCAGCAGCUCCCGACAGAGAUAGCGCGAGAAUAGUUAGAGCUUUCAAUAAAUCAGUUUUGGGUUGGUAAUUUUCUUCGAAAUCCUGUGAGCUUACAUCAUCAACUGAACACAACGGAUCACACUUUCCUGAUGUAUCCAACAGCUGCAAAUGCGACGUAGCAGUACAAAGUCGAUAAAGAUAAUUGUUUUAGGUUCAAAUUAACUUCACCCAAACCAAACCAAAAAGUACAGCAUCAGAAUAAAAGUAAAAGUGUGAGGAAAAAGUAGCUAAAUUUUAGCCCUUUCGUUUACAAUACAUUACAACUAAGAAGCAUAAACUCUAUUCUUACUCUAACAUACCCAAAUGCAUCAUACGAGCACACAUAUGUACCAAUUUCAAGUGUGCCUGUUAACAAUGAAAGGAGAAGGGUAGUGAGGGGGGCACGAACCUCGUAGUCGCGGGGAUCAAUGGGGGCGGGAGAAGAGGAGGAGCUCUUGUCUUUGUCCUCGGCCCUCGCGAUUACGACCAUCUCUCGCCAUUGGUGGCGACGUGAGCUCAACAAGGAAGGGGGUAGUGGUAGGGGAGACGAUCUAUGGCUAUGGCGGAGGCGGAGCUCGCGAAAGGGAGAUAGAGAGGAGGAGAGGGCUUGGGAGGGCGAGGAGAGGGUUCCGAUCAAGUAGGAGGUGGAGAGCGCCAUUAGAGGGGGAGGGGCGAGGUCGAAGUUGCGGGGGUUGGAGAGCGAGGAGGGAGUGGGGGUAGGAGACGGUGAGUCCGAUGUAUGCGAAGUGAUGGUGGUCGCGACUCACGAGGAGGAGAGAAUCUCUGGGGUGAAAAUUGUAGAUACGUCCCCUCAACGAUAGGACGUUUCGAAAAUCGCCCCUCAACUUUGCUCUUUUUUAUUUUAGGUAAAAAUGAUGCAAAACUUUCAAAAAUUAUGAAUCAUCUUGAAUCAAAUAUCUAACUUUCUUGAUUUUACUGUACAAUCUUUUAAUUUAUUAUUCAUAGUAUUUUAACUUCAAAAUUUAAGUCAAUUGCUUACUUUAUUAAAGUUAUAGUUGUAAAAAAUGCAUGAAAUAUUCUAAUUAAAUCUGCAAAAAUAACCGAUGUAUUUAAAUUUUAAAAUCAAAUCCCUGUUGACUAAUGCAAAUGAAAUAAAUUAAAAUAUUAAGUAUUAAAAUUAGAAUUUUAAAAAAAUUGGAUAGACAGAUUAAAAUGAUUCAUAGUUCAUGUAAAUGUUGUACGAUUUUGCCUAUUUUUUAUUGGAAUCCUUUUAAUUUUUCAUUUUUUUAAAUUUGAAUUAUCUUGUCUAUUUUAAUUAAUUAAGUUAAAUUUAUAACUAAAGUAGUUAAAUUUUGAUAAAAUUUAAAAUUAUUUAAUUGAAAUUACUUAGAUUUUAAAAAAAUUUAACUUAUCACAAACUGAAUGACAUCAAUAAAAAAAAAAAAAGGUGACAUUUUAAAUAGGGGAUCACAAAUACUGGGUAAAUUGCACCACUAUUUCCUGGACUCUUGGCUCAGUUUCAUUUUGAUCUGCAAACUUUUAAGCUUGAUAUUCAGCAUCUUUCUUAUGUAUGUACAAAAAAAAGUGUCCCUUUGCUCAAAUGAAUCAACUCAUCAUCACUACAAAGGCAACUACAAACAGCCAUAUUUCUUCUAUAUAAUAUAUCUCAAAGUUUUGAGUAAUGACCCACCUGUUAAUGGUAAUUACAGAUAGAAAUGAAUGCCAUAAAAACCAUGUUAAGAAAUAAAAAAAAUAUAUUAUCAGGCCCCAAGAAAUUUAGUGGUAGUUGAGAUAAAUGAUGCUAAGCACCACAGCCAAUAAGCAUAUAACUGCAUUUGCAGAAGUUCCUGGUUGACCACUUGGUUCUGUUGGGGCCGGCGGUGUUGCAGCUGGCGGCGCCGAUUUCUCAGAGAGGUCAGCAACCGGCGGCAGUGGCGGGUCAACGACAUCGGAAGCUUCUAGAAUUGGAGCAGGGGGUUCAGCUGGAGGGGCUGCUUCUGGCGGGGCCAAGGAGAGGAGGGAUCCAGGCUCUGUGGGCAGUAUCGUGUAGGGCAGUUUCGCGUUCGCAUCGGAGCAUGGACUCCCUGUAGAAGUUAUGUUUCAGUAUGGCAUGCAAUAAAUCAUCGGAAACUUGAAUUUGCAUGUUGUCUAACUUUUCUCACGUAAAAUGUUUCCGACAGGUAGAUAAGGUGAUGAAUAAGGAAAGGUAUCAUGACGCCUACUCACGGUGAGAACUCCGUGUUACCGUAAAGUAACAAAGUUUAAUCUAGUGGAAUUCAUGAUAAUGGCAAGAAUCUAUGCGGGUGAGUACUUACUGAAAUAUGCACUUGCAGUUGCAGGAAAUUCAGUUACGAUCCCGUCGACUCCGACUCCCCCAACAUACGUGGCGAUCUCGGCCAAGGGGUCCGAAAAGAAAUCGAAUGCAAUCAUGAUGAACUCAUUCCUCAGCACCGAGACAUAAACAGAUAGAUUCGCUGCAUGCAGCUCCUUUACCACACCGGUAUAGCUAGAAAGGAAGAAGCCGGUGCUCGCCACAAUUGAAGAUCUGGGUAUGUUUACUGCUUCUGCAUACUGCUUGAUCUCAUCCACUGCUGGCUUCGGAGUAUCACUUAUGGUUUCUUUAAUAUUGAGGACUCGCUUGUAGGUAGGAUAUUUCUUGAACGUGGAGAGGACAGCGGUGUCGUCAGAUUGAAUGAGUACUUGCUGGUUGGUUCGAGUGUCGUAGCUAGCAUUUGUUAAGGCACCAGAGACAGCAUUGACGAUGUCGAGGCCCUUCUUAGAUGCAAGGUAGGGAGCAUUCUGAAUUCACAGAAUAAAAUGAAUGGCUUGUGAGAUCGCGAAUCACUAAAGUCUAAAGCUAAACAAUUGAUUAGUCUCUUAGAAACUCAAAUUCCUAGUGUGAAGGUUUUGCAAUAACAUGAUAAACUAACAAGAGAAUGUUACCUCUAUGUUAAUUAAGACACCAGAGACUCUGCUGUUCUUUGCAAAGUCCAGGAAAUCAGCAAGUGUCAUGAAUUUGCCCUGAUUUUUCGCUGCAGGAUUUCUCGCCAUGCCAGACUGAGAUAAAGGACUCACUAAAUCGGCUGAUGAGGGGAAAAAAAAAAGGAUUUGGAAACAAAAAAAAUUGUCAAAAUAUUGCUCAAUAUAGCUAGAAAUUUCAAAUUAAAACUCAGCCUGCAAGAUAAAUUUUGAAGGAUUCAAGACGCAAAACGUGGAAUGCUGCUGACAACGAGAAAAAAUAGUAACCAAAAAAGAAAGUCAAGGAGAAAGGUUCAAAAAUCUUUACGCUUCAAACUUUGAAUCUCGCUCCAUGUGAGGUCAAAUGAGAAGAUUCCGUUGUUCUGUUGUAUUUCAGGGACCAUCGUUGCUCGGGACAUGAAAGAAGCUAUUGCCGUCGUUUUGCCCAUAAGAUCUGGCGAAUCCAAACAGAAAGCAACUCCAUCUUUCGACAUCUGAACGGAGCAAUCGAUUACAUCAGCACCAUCUUUCACUGCUUGCUGAUAUGCGAGAUCAGUGCACCCAGCAAAUACGCCACUUGCGCCGUUGUGAGUCACAAUCAGCGGUCUCCCUAUAUCCAUAAGAGUUGCGAAACAAGAAUUAUUAGCUAUAAUGUGACUAAAAUAGCAUGACAUAUUUAAGAAUAAGAACAUCAACCUAACCUUCCUUGCGGGGAAUAUCAUUGUUGUUAUGGGCCAAGCAAGCUGCAUAGAUAAGCUCAUUAAUUAAAAAGUUGCCCGAUUGAAUAUUGUAGAAACUGUAUACAAUAAAACCAUAAAAUAUGGGCUUUUCUGCAAAGUCUAGUUACUUGAAAGAGAAAUUAAUCCUAUUGAAAAGGCAACGAAACAGAGAUAUUUUGUUAUCAGCUUACAUUUUAAAACACCUCUUCGUUUCAUAAAGAAAAGAUAGGAAGUACAAAAUCCUAUUGACAGAGAAAAAAUUCUCUCACCUACAGCCUCUGAUGCCGUAGAGGGGAAGUCCGUUAGCACACCAUCGACUGAGAAAUUGGAAUUAUCUAUGAACUGUAAAUACUCAGCGGUUGGAUCGAAACUAUAGUUAUAGCUCGCAGGGGCGUCAUUUGCAAAAUUAUAUGCAUAUACUUCAAGUCCCAGUCCAUGGGCAUCUGCAACCAGAGUAGUAGGUGGCUCCAAAUAUUGAUCUUUAGUAACGGGCCAUAUGUAAUUCUUUGGAACAAGAAUUCCUGAAGCAAAGGACUUUAUCAUCUUCAAGUCUUUAAGGAGGGAGCUAUAUGUUUGAUUAGCCGAGGGUUCAACGGCAUCCUCAUCGAGGAACCGGAAGAUUAGCUUUGUCUUGCCUCUUCUUAGCUUCCCAUUGAGACCUUUCAAAAAACCAAUUUCUGGAGAAGAGACAUAGUCGAUACUGAUUUGCCUCGAUGCAUCUAAUAUAUAUCCUGUAACAUCUAGACUGUGUUUCUCAAAGAACGAGUUAUACUGUAACAAUUCAAAGAAAGAGUAUCAUCAGAUCAAUGUUGAAUAAUUAAGAGCAUAAGAAACCAAGUAUGAAUAGCACUUCACGGUUAAAGCACAUCAUGCAGAGUCCUUUUCAUUAAAAGUUGAGCACUCCUGCAUUAGAUCUUAAAUCUUAUUCACUGUAACUAUAACAAGCUUGAACUAAAAUUAUACUGCCAAAACUUAUAUUUUAGUUCAAUUAUAGCCUUUUCCAAUCAUUGAGGCUUCAAAAUCAGAAAAGAUAUCUCGAAGAAAUUAGGGUCAACAAAGAUACGCAAGCAUAGAACAUGAGGAGAAAGUUAUAAAUACACAGAAGAAAGAUGAUAACUAUCAAUAUGGUCAUGCUUACCUGCACAUUCAACCAAAAGCGACUCGGCCGAAGCCCAGUCACAUCCUCAACAGCCAAUGGUGGUAGGUUGCCAUCAAAAACACUAGGUCGAGAGAAGAUACUUUGGAUCACUGUGGAGAUGUGAGAUGAACAGCACGAGAUAACGAUCAGUAUACAUUGCAAUAGAAUAAAUUAAUAAAGCAAUGCAGUAACUAUGUACAAAUAAAUGAAUUUUUUGGAGAGUUAAUGAAAGAAAACAUUUGGCUUCGAAGAAUUGGUUGCCUUAUUCAAUUUUACAUGCGGUAGAAGAAGAUUUACCACAUUAUAUAAGGAUGUUUGAAGAGAGUUACAUGAAAUAAACUGUUGUAUCCUUCAUAUGCAGCCAUAUACAAUUAACCAGAAUCUUCUAUUGUCCGAACCAACUAUCAGAACAAUCAAAAAUAACAUACAUAUUGCAUGAUUUCCAACACUAUUUUUGCAUGAAAAUUAUACGAUUUUAGGUAAGUGCAAUAGAUGAUAGAUACUUACAUGCGACAUUGUUGAAUAUCUCGUCAGCAGUGAAGUCCACUGAAAACCAUCCACGAAUUCGCUCUCCAUUUACAGUAUAAGUUUUCUGCCCUUUCGGGAAAGCACUUGCUAUUGUCGUGGAAUUAUCAAGUCUUAAGUCACUGUGGCACAUGCUAGCCCCAUCUUUUGUUAGUUGAAGGUCACAGAACAGAACUACACUUUUUAAACUUGUCGACAUGGCAAAUUGGUAGGCAUAUUGACUGGAUUCAGGAAAGAGCCCAGAGUACCCGCCACGAGCAAUGACUAAUGGAGCCUCACCUGCAGAUACAUAUCAAGAAUGCCUCAGUAGCAUUUCCGUGGUUAAUAAUAUCCGAUUCCUAGAUUUAAAGCUUACCGAAUGAGUCUUAUAGUUCUCGUAAGAGUCGAACAUUUUAAGAUAUCAUGAAAGUAACUCAUAACAAGUGCGCAUUCGUAACUACGUGACAGAUAAAGAGAAUCCAAUACGGCAGUUUUGUUUCGAAAUUCUCCUCACAAUAAGCCUAGCUUGAAGGUGAUAGAAAAUAGAAACAUGUCUAAGUUAAGCUGUUCAAUUCAUGUUCAUAGACAAUACAAAGACGCGUAGCGGAUAAUCGUUCAUUAGACCGCAUUAUAGUACGGCUCUGGAAAUUCAUUUUAGUUAAUCAAAUUCCCUUUGCAGAACAAAACCGACAGGCAAAAUAUGGUGUACGGCGCGAAUCGCAGCAUUGAGAUUUCAUAGUUCAAACGAAGGAGGCAAUGCUCUACGCAAAAGAUUUUCAGAAACAUGAUGUUUAUUUUAUCAAUCUUCGCUUAACUUGAAACUGGAGUUAAAAACUAUCAUCAUAAUAGCGAAAUCAAAGUAAUUAAAGAAUAAUUCGCAAAAUUCGGCAUUAGCAAGACGAAAUCAAGCCGAUACCGCUUAACGUCUGCCACUUGGGCAGCGGCGCCGCCGGAGAAUUCGCAGCGGCUGCGGCUGCACGGAGCAGCAACAGAGGAAAAAGAAGGAGGAGAUGCCUCUUCAUCUCCGGUUCCCCCGAGGAAACCCUACAAUUGAAACAGCAUCACCAACAUCACUCCAACUCAAUCACAUAGCAAUUGAAUCGAAGAAAUUCAUUAGAUGAGUUAAUAUUUUGAACCUCCGAUCACGAAACUCCACCCUAAAAUAAGCUUCAAAGAUUUGGUGGGCAAUAUAACACAAGCUAUAUAUGCACAGAGAGAGGUUUGAGUUUUUUUUUUUUUUAAGAAAAAUUAGGAAAAGGGGAAGGGAAAUUUGUGGAGAAAAUGAAGUGAUUUUUUCUCUCUCUCUCCAAAUAUAACGGAGGAGCUAAACUCUCUCUCUUAACCAUUCCUCUUGUAACCGCUCUCGCUGUCUCUCCCCUCUCUCUCUCCGAACCGUCCAUUAAAUGGCGGGAAUUCCUCGUGGCGCGGCGAACUCGGGACGUUGCGCGGCGGACGGGGGAUUUCAAUCCGUCGAGAGGAGUAAAUGUGCACAACAAAUAAAAAUCUUUUUUUAUUAUUAUACUUUUAUUAGCUAGAGUUUUUUUUUUUUUUUUUUUUUUUAAGAGAUAGAUAGCGCGUUACCUACUUACCUGCUUCGUUUAUUCCAUUUAGAAAUAAAUUUAGCUAAAAAUAUGAAUCAACUAAGAUUCGAACUUGCGUCUCAGAUACCAACCAUCAUGUCCUUUGCCAGUUGCCACUUGCUCUAAAGACGGUCAGCAAAUAAAAAUCUUUUUAUUAUUAUACUUUUAUGGGAAAACUUUAAAAAUUCUCCAUUUGGUUUUGCACUUUCUUAUUUUAGUAUCCUGAUUUUAUUAUCCUGUAAUUUAAAAUAUAUUAAGUUAGUACCUUGUGGUUUCACACUUUCUCACUUUAGUAUUCUGUGGUUUAAAGUGUAUCAAGUUAGUACUAUGUGGUUUCGCACUUCCUCACUUUAGUACCAUGUGGUUUAAUAUUACGUUAAAUUAUAUAUCUCGAAAUGGAUAAUAAAAAAAAAAAAUUGAAACUAUAAGGUACUAACUUGAUAUAAAAAUAAAACAAUAUAGUACUAACUUGAUACAUUUUAAACCACAGGGUACUAAAGUGAAAAAGUGCAAAACCAUAUAGUACUAACUUGAUGCACUUUAAAUUAUAGAAUAUUAAAAUAAAAAAAUACGAAAUUACAUUGGAUUUUUUGAAGUUUCCCUACUUUUAUUUGCUAGAGAAUAUUAAGGGCCGUUAGGUACUAAGACCUAUUUGCGGCGCGAAAAUGAUUCGAAACAAAUUAAUAUUUAUUUUAUUUUAUUUAGAAACGGUAUAAGCGGAACUAAAUUUUUGACGAAUUAAAAUAAAUAAAUAAAUAAAUAAAGCAGAGUAGAGCAUAUUUAGAACGAUGUUUUUUAGUUUUAAUAUUUAUUUAUUAUUUUAUUUGAAGUAGAUCAAAUAAGAGACGAAAAGAAUUAAAACAAAAGAACAUGAAAACAUAUUUUUUUAUUUUUUUUACUAUAAAAUUUUAUAUUUUAAUAGGUGAAAUGGAAAUAACAUAUGCACCCUGUUAUUUGCAAUUUCAAAAUAUAUAUAUAUAUAUAUAUAUAUAUAUAUAUAUAUAUAUAUAUAUAAAAUAAGAAAAGAAAAACAUGCUUUUUUUUCUGGAUACAAUUAAUAAAAUAUAAUGUAAACGAUUUAUUAUGUACAUAUCAUAAUUUUUUUGCGAUUCCAUAAAAAAUCUUAGCCAAUUGAUCUGGCAUCCUCAAUACGAAAGCAAUUACGAUAUUUAAAAAAAAUAAAUUAAAAAUAAUUAAAUAAAUAUUUUUGGUUGAAAAUAACUUAAACUAUUAAAGUAAUCAAAGUUUACUUAUCCACGAGGUACUGAGUAAAUAAAAUUUAGGAAAAACUUCAAAAACCACCAUAUAACUUCGCACUUUCUUAUUUAGUAUCAUGUGGUUUAAAGUAUAUCAAGUUAGUAUUCUGUCGUUUCGCACUUUCUCACUUUAGUAACCUGUGUUUCAAGUGUAUUAAGUUAGUACUUAUAUCAAGUUAGUACAAUAUGGUUUUAAAUUUUUUUUUUAUUAUCCAUUUGGAGUAUAUAAUUUAACAAAAUAUUAAACCCACAUGGUACUAAAGUGAGAAAGUGCAAAAACUAUAGAAACUAAUUUGAUAUACUUUAAUUAUAGUGUGCUAAAGUGAGAAAGUAUAAAAUCAUAGAGUACUAACUUGAUACACUUAAACCAUAUAGUAUUAAAAUAAAAAAUGUAAAACUAAAGUAGGGGUUAUUAAAGUUUCCCUGAAAUUUAUUCACUUUAUGGCCGUUGUAUAAACUAUUAUAUGAAUCAAGGGCGGUGUAGUGAGGAAAGGCCUUAAUAAAUAAAUAAGUAAAUAAAAGCAAGCCAUGCACAGGUGUCAGCAGCCCUUUCGUUUUGCCCGCGCUCUUUCAUAAGCAGCUGACAGCUCUCCUUCCUUUGCUACCUGCCACACCACCCAUCACCCCUCUAGCAGCUACCACAAAAACAAUAAACAACAACACUGUAUAUAUAUAUAUAUAUAUAUAUUAUAUAUAUAUAAUAAUAUAUUAUAUAUAUAUAUAUACAACUCUCUACAAAGAACCGUGUUACUACUCAAAACCAUAUAGGCCUCUUUCUCUCUCGUUCUCUGCUUCUUUUAAGAUGUCGAAAUACGCAAAAUAGUCCUUUGCAAGGUUACGUGCUAAUAAAACAGGCAUGCAUAUAUAUUUUUUUUUGAAAAAAAAAAAUGCUAGAUUAAUGCUGCGGUUGCGUGCGUGCGUGCGUGCAUGGAUGCAGGGUACGACGACGAGCGGCGACACGGAGACGAGUCGCCGGCGGGGGGCUGCCCGGCAGGAAGGGAUCGGGGAAAGAAGGAGACGAAGACGGUGCAGACGGUGGACUACCGGGAGUCGGCCUGCGGGCAGCAGCACGACACGCGGCCCGUCGAGGUCGUGCACGAGAUCCCCUCCAAGGACAACGAUCCCAAGCAGGACUGAGCUUCUUUACCAACACCAGGAUCGAUCUGAGAAUCGAUUUAUAUAUAUAUAUAUAUAUAUAUAUAGCUUAAUUUCGCUAAUAAGAGAUUAGUUAUUGUUAAUCUCCUCUGUGUGUGGCUGAAACGUGAGUAAUUAAUUAGAUUUGCACUUUUGUUAAUUUCCUCUGUUUUUGAAAAUCUUUUUUGCUUCUUUUUCUUUUUCUUUUUUCUUUUUGGGUGUGUGUGGUGGUUGCAUGGUGACACGGGUUUUGGAUUGCAAUAUUGCCUAAGUGCUUUUCUCAUGGAUCCUGCAUCUGAAUUAGCCUUUGUGAUUCAAAGUUUUUGUUGAAUGCUUUAAAGAAGGCUAAAAUAAAUGCCUCAUUUGGGUUUUUUCACUUUUAUAUAAAUGUAAUUUUUUUUCCUUAAAAAGUGCUUUUCAUUCAAAGAUAAGGACCUUGCGGGGUCUGUCUAAUGCUAAUGUUAAUAGGUGAAUUGGAGUUGGGACGAGAAUAUAUAAAAAUAAUAAUAAUAAUAAUACUUUUGUUAUAUAUCGUAAUCACUCGCUACAAUAUAUGUUACAAUAUGCAUGGUAUUAAAAUACUCUCUAACAAGAAAUAAAAUAAUUUACAUUCUUAUAAAUUGUUGUGGAAAUUCGUUAUGAAAUGAUGAUUAAUCAUUAGAUAGAUGAUAUCAAAAAUAAUUGGUAAAAAAAAGUACCUAUCCCAUUAACAUCAGGAUUUAAGAACUCAAGAGCACAGAAAUUAUUGCUUCGCUUCUGAUUAUCCUUAAUUGAAGAGGGUAUUAAGAGACCAGCAGUGUUUGGUUCAUCAAAAAAGUAUAAAAAAAUUUAUUUUUUUUUUAAAAAAAAUUAUAAUUACUUGUUUAUAAUCUGUAUUUUUUAAAUAAAAAAUUUAAGAAAUGAAAGCAUGCAGUACUAUAUUUCCACGAGAUGUGAACAAAAACAAAAAAAAAAAUAAUAAUAAUAAUCAGAAGUAGUUCUUCUAAAAACCAAACGAAAAAGUUUUUUUUUUGGACCAGAAAAUUACUUUACAGGAUAGUUUUUAGGAAACCAAACACUCCCUAGGAAAUUCAAUGAGAGAACCAAUUGGAUACAACCAAACCAGAUCAAAAAUGUUCAUAACAAAUAAAAACUAACCAAAGCAUAUAAGCACGUGCCCAUAUAAAAUAUAAAAUUAAGAUGAUGAUAGAAUCCCAAAAAAAUAUCAAUAUUGUGAUACCAGUGACAAAACCUGUCUAAAUUAAUACAGCAGCAAAAGAAAUACUUUAUGAAACACCCCAAAAUAGGGAAAUUCUUAAUGCUAUAAUUGGAGAAAUAGACAUAUCCUCAACCAGCUUCGUAAAGUUGUUCGAUCGAAGUCGACACGAUUUCUGCCGAAUGUUCUGCAAUUUGAUGAAUGGCACCAUAAUUUCAUCAGUGAUCUACAACUACAUUUAGCCCAAAACCCUUUAAAGUGCGCUCACUAUUUGUUGAAGAUGCAAAUGCCCACCUGGGAAUAAAUUACAACCAAAGGGUAAGAACAUAUUGGAUCUAACGGAACUUCCAUCAAAUGAUGUUCAGAAUAAUAUAGCAUCGACUAAAACCUGGAGCGUCUGUUAUAGAUAGAGCAAUAAAAAUCACAAUUUAUGGACCUCUAUAGCACAGUACUUUAAGCCGUGCACUUGCAUAAUUAUGAUAUGAUGUUCAUAGAAGCAGCCUGAUUUCAUACAUAAUAUGUUUUUACUUGAUUAACCAAAAUGAAUAUGCAUGCUUCAUUAAAUGAAUGCCUAGAUAUAGAAAGAAGCACAUGUCACGUGUUUUUGUGCAAAAGCGCACUGAGAGACAAGAUGAUGAAGAGGCUUGAGAGAGAGUGAUAAUGAUGAAAAAGGAUAAUGAUCUGUAUCCUGAUCAAAUCACAGGAUAUAAACAAGUUAUCCUGGCUAUAAUUAGCUUAGUUAUCAGAACACCAGAAAUGGACCAACUAGAGUUUCAUAUCAUCAUCCAGAUAAACAUAACUUGUUGGCCCCCAAGUUAAUAUAACUGAAAAAUUAUUAUAGCCUCGUCUGAGCAGCCUUAAGGCGCAGGCCUGUGAGCCUCGCGCGUAGGCGCUAAGGAGAGCGCCUAUUUUAAUCACUACUAUCAGCUAGUUCUACAUCAGUGCAAUACACUGGUCCUCAUAAUCUCCUGUUUUAAGCCUUCCACCUCCCAUAUCAUCAGGACAAUUAAACGAACGAGGCUUCACGAAAUGAAAGCAAAGAAGUUUGCAACUCAAAAUAAAACUGAUGAUGAAGGAAAAUCUUAUAUGUGAUGUUGUGACAAUGCCAUCAGAGGCACCUAGGGAUGACCUUCCUCGAUUUUGCUAACUCAGAUUAUAUGCAAACCAUUCAAUUUUGCUAACUCAGAUUAUAUGCAAACCAGUAUAUACAGCAUUUUGUUUGAUGGCAAAAAACAAAAGUAUGGCAGUAACUUCUUAUUUCCUUAACAAGCAAAAGCAAAGAAAUGCAUCUGUAGAUGCUUUCAACCAUAUUGAGCUUCACGAAUGCCAAAAGAACUGCAAAAAGAAUAGGGAAGAAGGUAAAAGAGGCAAAAUAUGAGUAUAACAUUUGGAAAUUACUCAAUGCUCAUGAGAAAAAUCUAACAUGCACUAGGAAGAACCCUAACCAACCACAAAUGUGUACGCAAGUCCCAGCAAUAAACCUGCAGGCAAUGUAUAUGUGUACCAUGAACUGUGACAACACAGAAAACCAGCAUGUGGGAUCGAGAGGAUGCUGCACAAUAAUAUGGACCACAGGACGUUAAGUACUUGCUUGGACAAGCAUUGGAACAACACAUAGGACAAACAUAUUUGGAGCAAAGCUUAAUCAAAAUUGAGGCGGCCCCUUGAACAAAUUUAGAUACAAUUUCAACCAAAUUCAACUCAUUCAAUACUCCAGAAGUUUCUAAUGUAUAAUAUUGAAAGAAUAACUAUUGCCAUCAAGCCACAACAGGCAUUUGGAUUGGCUUAUAUAUGUGCAAUUCAUCCAUACACCAUGUUUGGUGAAAGUAGAAACUUAGUUCUGCCAACGGCUACAACAGCACCAAGGCUGUUGGCUCAAAUCCUUGAAAAUAGCUUCCGUCAAAAAAUACAGAAUCAUUUUUUUGUGGAAACCAUAUCUAUCAGUCCAUAAUGACGAGGAAAGAAAAAUCAUUUCUCCAGAUACCAAUCCAAAUUCUAAAUUGCUAAUGUCUCCACUCUUACAAACUUAUACUUGCGAAUUGCGGCUGAGGUGCACUUAGGACAGCCCAAACGCCUGCUAUGACUCAUAACUAGGAAGAGUGAUACCUACUAGGUUGUAGUUUAGCAUAAACUCAAGAAAUUGUCCGAUUAAAGCUUCUCUAGACGAAAGAGAUCAAGACUCAAAUGUGCCAGGAAAACAGCCCUGAGGUAACGUUCUGGUCAGAAUUACUUUUUUGCAUCAAACUAUGCUAUUUAUGGUCGUACUUGCCUGUACGCAGACCACAUUAUAUGUCAAAUAAUCUGCACAUAAUGUUUUGAAAUUUUCAUUAUCCUACAUAACAGUUUCAGAUGUUCAUGCAAUGAAUCACUAGAACAAAAAUCAGAUAUAAAGAUGAGACAUAAAUGUGUUAACUUCAGAGUGAGUUAUAACUCGUACAUGAAAUUGUCCAGGCACCAGAAAGUAAAGCGGCUACUGGGUCUUCUUCUCUUUUCUCGAUUCUCCAGUCUUGCUUAAGAUGUUGUCAUACUGCUUCAAAAAUAAACUGUGUGCAAUACCAAGCUUCUCAUCAACAUGAUCCUGGUAUUUGUCAUACAGAGCAGGUACAGUGAGAGAUAGGAGAAUCCCUGUAAAAAAGCCAAAGUCGACAUUUUAGACACAGAUCAAGAAGCAAAAAUGAUACCAACAGAAUCACUGUAAAAUAAAAUUCAACUAAGAACACACCAAUGUAGACAACUGUAAGGAAGUUGAAGAACCUUCCAAUAUACGAAACAAGCCACAAAACCAAGAUAACCUGUACGAAGAGAGUGAUCGAAGUUAUACACAAAACGACCGCAAGCUCACAAGGAGAACAGAGAUUCGUGACGGGAAAUAGAAUCACACCUCAAGGAACACCUUCCUAUCUCGCUUAAUGGCAAUGUCAUGGCCAAUAGCCAACACGCGGUUGAUCCACACUCUGGCCUCAUUCGCAGCCUUCUCUACGACCUCAUCGGACACUUCCAGAUUCGGAAGCGGCGGCAGAGGUCUAAAACGUCCAAAUUAGUAGCAAUAGAUCAUCAAUUCAUCAUCAUACUACACGCCAACAAAUUCUACUGAGAGCAACAAUGAGAUCGACAAUCCCCUAUACAACAACUGAUCUAGAAAUGAGAAGAAUCUAGAGAGGAAAAAGGGAAUCAAACCUGUUGAGGAGCAAGGCGGAUUUGGCCCAGAAGAAGAGGAUGGCGACGAGGAGGAGGAGGGCGUUGAGAGAGAGAGAGAGAGAGAGAGAGAGAGAGAGAGGGGCCUUUGGUUUUGGGAUCGAGUUAGGUUACCGGCGGCUAGGGAGGAGGAGGAGGAGCCACCGCGGCGGCGAGAGGUGGCGGCGGUGCCGGGGGAGCUCGAGGGCCCCGGCGCGGGCCGCUAGGCAGGUGGAGCGGGAGCCGCCGCCGAGUCCAGAGGGGGGGUUGGGUAGGGGAAGAGGAGGAAGAACAUGGAGAGAUCCCAAAAGGAAAGGGCACCACCACUACGUAUCUACGAAGGCACGAACAGGGUCACCGGCUGCACGAGGACACCGCCGCCUCCUCGCGGCGGCGGCGACGGCGCCGCACGCGGUGGCGCAAGACCAUGAAGAAGCUCGCGCGGCCCAUGUCGAAGGAGAGGCAGCAGCGNUAACGGCCGUUAGGUGGGCCCUCCACGUGCCAUCCACGUGAGCACGCUCGUAUGUUCUUUUUUUUUUUUUUUUUUUUUUUUUUUUUUUUCUUUCGGGGAGAAUGUGCGGAAGCCCCUUCACUAUAUUUAUUACAUGUGUAAAUGGUUCCUUCACUUUAAUCUUUUUUUUUAAUUUUAAAUCCUAAUGAUUUUAGUUAAAUUAAUUAAAAAUUAUAUCAAAUUUCUUAUUAAUUUUAUAAAAUUUUGGAAAACUAUAACAAGUUUUUACCAGAUUAAUUUCUGAGAAUCUAGUAAAUUGGGAAUUUGAUGUGUGAUGUUGUGGUUGGAUGCAGCAGUUGAGGUUUUGAAGAACUUUACUUAUAAUUUAUAAUAAAUAUGAUAACAAAUGAUGUUGAUGAUAAUAAUAAUAAAUUGUUGGUGGUAGGGCACUAGUUGAGGGGGCAUGGACAAGUAAAAUGACUACAAAAAAUGACUACAAAUAAUGACAUGGUCACAUGCAACCUAAAUAGUAAGUUCUUUUUUUUUUUCUUUUUCUUUUAAUAAGAUGCAUUAUUCUGAUCACAAACACGCGGUGCCAAAGAAGGUUCCGGAGUUGUACCUUUUCUUUUGUUAUUUUUCAUUAUAUUUAGUUACAUGUAGGACUAAAUUUAUCAGAAUUUUUUAACUUCGCAUCAACUUUGUUGUGACAUUUACGAAAAAUCUAAAAUGUUUAAAAUUAGUACACCAACAGUCACUCUCUCGCGAUUCACCAUCUAAUUAUUCACUAUUAAGUAUGUAGUACUAAGUAUGAAUUAAUUAAUAUCAAGGCUAAUUUGGUAACCUAUUGACUAAAAAUAUAGUUUUAUAUUUUAAAAAUUCCAAAAAAUAAACUCAAAAACACUUCCGAUCACUCCAAUGUUAUAACAUUACUUAAAAAGCAUAAAAGCAUAUAGUUACGCUUCUUCGGUGGCCAUUGCUAACAAGUGACAUGAAGAACAUAUGUCUCUGACUUGUUAAAAGGAUGUUUGGUUUUUUAAAAAAUAUUGCAAAAAAUUAAUUUUCUAGAUGAACUGCAAAGUAGGACUAAAUAAGGAAUAAAACAUACCAUAGUGGCUAGUUUGCAUUAUGCAGACAUACGCAUAAAAUGAAAGAGAGAAAGAGAACAAUACAACGUGCCUAUCAACAAACUCAUUUUCUGGAAAAUUAAUUNCAUAGUGGCUAGUUUGCAUUAUGCAGACAUACGCAUAAAAUGAAAGAGAGAAAGAGAACAAUACAACGUGCCUAUCAACAAACUCAUUUUCUGGAAAAAAAAAAAAAAAAAAAAGAAAGAAAAACCUAGAUCAUGCUCUAACAUAAACAUUGUUGCACCAUAGCAUUGUUGCAGCAUGCUCCCAAAUCUCUAAUAGUAAGAUUUAAGCCAGUGAGUUAGCUGAUCCUCUUAAAGAUCAAAAUCUAGUUGUAUCACUAUAAUGCGAAGUAACCCAUGUAAAUUUUUACAUUAAACACCGAAUGCGCGAGAAAGAGGAAAACAUUAACAAGUAAAACCCGAAUACGACGACAAAGAAACGAAAGACAAGCCUCCCCCUUUUCCUACAAUGAUCAACUUCAAGUCGGCUUCGCUUAAUGAUCGCUUCGCACGUUACAAAGAUUAAUGCUGCAAAUUUGCUUGACGUUGCGUCGAUUUUGAUUUGCAAAAAGGAGAACACAAAAGAACAGAGAUCUACUAAAUAAACCAUUUCCUCACCAAGUGUGUGUAUUGACCUGCCAUUAGUAAGUUCGCCAGAGUACUUUUCCUGCCUCGGCCGGAGAAAAAGUUGGAGCUAACUGAAGUACAAGCUCAGAAUAUGUCUUGUCGGAUUGAACCCAAUGAGUAUCACUAUGAAGUAGAAAAAAAAAAUGAACAAAAGCAUGGUGAGAUGAAGGGCUUAAACUUAGAUUUAUGUGGUCCAGCAAUAAUGCUAAUACUUACUAAGAGGGGAGAGGAUGAAAACGAGCCCAAUCGGGUACAAGAAGAAAGUAGUUCUGUCCAAGAACGGAAGGACUGCAGCAACGAAUACAAGACCAAGAAAUCAUAUGUUAAAAAAUAAAAUCAUUAGUAUUAUUGGGUGCAUUUGUAAGUACAAUGUUUUACAUACCAUCAUAUCCUAGGAAGUUCAGAUAGUGGUAGUAAGAGAUUGCGACCAUGAAAAGCAAAUUUGAUAGCAGAACGGGAAAGAAGCCAUGUGCGACCAAAAUAGGAGACAAAAAGUAGUGAAUUACUGUGAGAGGAACUAGUAGUCAGUGAAAAAUACUCAGAUAACUGCAAAUAAUAUUUAAUAUAAAUGUCAAGAUUUUGUUGAAAACAAAAUAAAAUGAUAAAAUUACCGUAAAGUAAGAUGAAUGCUGGAAAGAAUGAGUUGCAGUGAACAUCAAAAGCAUAUAGCCUGAAAAGGGGGGAGAAAAAAACAGCGACUUAUGAUAGUGUUUGUGAUAAUGCCAACAGCAGGUAAUUCACAUGAUAUGACCCCCCCAAAAUACAGGCAAGACUAAAGGAAAGAAAGAUACAUAAGUUAUUUGUGGUAUCAUAGUAAAUAAAUAUAACAAUUAAGAAACUAACAGGGAUAUGAUGAACACUUGAAGACCCUUCGUUCUAUGUUUAAUCUUCUACAAACAAUUUACUCUAAGUAGUGCUGGCCUUCCCCCUCAAGUUCCCUAUGGGGCUAUUCAGUUCUCGAAAUAGAUAUAUUUUAAAGCAAAUCUAGUUCUUCCCUCAGAUAUUUAGUUAAUAAUAGAAAAGACGAAUGAAGAACAACUAGAAGGAACAUAUGAUUAUUUGAAGUGUGGUGUCCAAAUAUAUGCACAAGAAUAUAAAAUUAUGAGUUCUCCAUGAGAUACCAUUCAACACGUUGCUCGACAACAUGGCUGUUAGGCACCUCUUCACGCAAAUACGAAUUUGUUAGAAACCUACAGCAAACAUCAAAAUCGCACAUUACUUUUCUGAAAUAGCAAUUGCCUCUAAAUAUUGCAAUAAAGAUGACUAAUAUUUUGGUGAAAUCAAAAUAAUAACCACAAGUACUCUACUAUGAUAGAUUGAAAGAUCCAUACAAAUUAGUAAAAGGUUGUUUUAAUUAGUCAAUUACAAGAGUAGGCAAUAGGAAGUUACUGUUGGAUUUUGCUUUGAAAACAAAAUUAACAAAGGCAGGUUCCAACAUAGUUAGAAAGAAUAUACAAUAUAAAUGAUUUGAAAUGAAAUGUACACUCACAAGAGAGGAAAACUAAGAGGAAAUCCAUUAGAAAUUAAUCUUCACAGACCUGAUCAUAUUCCAAAAAUCAAAAUACAAGCUCUCUUAAAAAAAAAAAAAACCUUCACCAUAAUCAUUUUUAAAAGCACGAUAACAGUCUAACAGCUACAUAUAUAUAAUAUCAAUUUUACAGACCACAUGAGCAUUCUUUCUGGUUAGGACCACUCAAGAACCAGUUGAGAUAGAAAUGCAGUUACGAAGUGAUGAAUAGUUCUCAAGGUUCCUGAAGGAAAAGAAAAGGAGCUAUGCAAGUGCUCUAUGUAAUCAAACAGACAUCCAAAAUGAAUAGAUAAAAGCAUGGACAACCUAUUGAAAGCAGGGAGCGCCACCAUCACAAUAGGGUUAGUCUCUAAACUACAUACAGCUUAAGUUUCAAUUUAGUGCCUGUAUUUGUAAAAUUUGGUCAAACUUUAGUGCCAUCAAGUAUCAACAAAGCCCACUUCGUGCACUAUCAGCGAUACCUAGAUUCUUCAGAUGCAAUCACCUAUUGGAGGAUACUGUGUAAACUGAGGCAUAGAUAGGAUAUCAAGUUCUUAGCUACCUCGUUAGAUGUCAUUAUACACCAAAUUAAUUUGAAGAUGCAAGAAACAUUUCUAAUAGCAUCAUCAUUCAUGAAAAUCAAGCAUUAAAAUACAGGUAAAACUAUAAAAGCACUUAAGUACUCAGGUUACUGUAUUCGAAAGUGCAAGUACAAUCUUUUGAAAGCAGUUAAAACAAUGUCAUGCCAUUAAAGCUGCUGACAGCAGCAGCAUUAUAUACAACCAUAACUGAUAGUCAAAAUCUGUGAUGUAAAAAAGCCUAGGGGCGUUCAAGAUUCAAAAUCUUACCAACAACAUGUGGCCAAAACAAUUCCAGCUAAUAAGAAAUGGACAAGUACAACAGAUGUAAUUGUAAAAACGGUAUGUGCUGCACUAUCUCCAUACCUGAUUUGAUGGAAGAAAAUGUAUACGUUGAUAACAAUAUUAAACAAAUAAUCAAAAAAAGCAAUAAGUAUAAUAAUAAGUCAAUAACUCAUCAGAGGAAACUCCAAAAAUUAAAGGACGUGCAAAAAUAUUUCUUCUUACCCAAAAUAUAUCCUCUUCUACAAGUUGUGAAGUUUUUUUGACUAGAAACGAAAAAAAAAAAAAAAUCGAACAGGUAAAUAGAUAAAUAUGAAAGAAAAAACUUACGCAACACAAUAAGCUAAAGUGGCAAACACAAGAAAAAGACAGAAGAUGACGACAAAAGCAGGAUCAUCACGAGCCCAUUGGUUCUUUGUUUCUGGAAAAUAAGGAAAACUAUAAGUUCCAUAGAAAUAAACAAUACUUCAAGAGAACAGGACAAUUAAUAUUAGUUCAUGCAUAUAUGAUUUCUUACAAUAAGGAGGAACAUUUUUAUGAACAUGAAUGACUAAAGAGAGUGCAUAUGCGUUACCAUAAAGAUAUUAAUUAACCAUAUACAUAUUAUAUAAGAUGUGUAACUAUAAAUAUUGCUCCACAAAUUGGAAUGCACUCUUAACAUCAGAAUUGUUAAAGGUAGAUCACUUACGUUUAUGAUAUUUUGUGUGCUGAUAGCUGUCCAAAAGAGUACAUUACAUGCAAGAAAAAGAGACAUAAUACAAAUCAGCCUUUUUACUAGAUAAUACCAAGGAAUAGUUUAAAAAAAAAAAAAAAGCAAACCAAAGAUGUCAGAAAAAAGAUUAUUGCAUCUUGUUGAAUGCACUCUUAACCAAUUAAUCAGCCAUUUCAUGCCCAUCGGCUUUAAAGACUCACUAAAUUUGUUAUCAACCGUCAGAUAACAUUAUAUAUAUGAUUGACACUACGAACAUGUUGCACCAACGAGUCCUUGCAACAAAAAGGUUGCCAAGCAAUGACAGGUAUGAUGUCCAAAGAACCCCAUUAUACUCUACGGAAGAGAAAACAUACUAGAAUAUUCAUUAACGCUGCAAGUACAUUAAUCUGACAAAAUAUUUGCUAAAAUUCUACUGUAUAUCUUAAUUACUGCAUACACAUCCAUCUGAAGUUCUGAACUAUAACUUUGAGCAUGAAACCUGAAUAUAAAAUAAGUAUUUUCACCGAUGCGAAUAGAAUGAAAUGGAAUAAGGAAAGAUGCAUACACAACUUUCGGCGAGGUGCAAAGAUGAAGCAUUUGCCAGAAUGUAUACUCGAUGUCCAUUUGUUGCCACUACGAUAAGAAAAAUUAACAAGUAAGAUGAGACGACAGAAGUCUGUUCAGACAUAAUGAUAAACAUGAACUAUUCACCAACAUGCAUGAGAUCAAUCUAAAAAUGGCUUCCCAGUACAAAAACUUGCAAGGAUCUGCAGAGUACUAAUAUUGAAAGUAUGUCGGACAAGCUUCAUCAAUAAUCAUCAAACCACAAGAAAAAAGCACAUGAUAGCACAAUGAGAAGCCACGAAUAUCUUCCAGAUUGUAUCAGCCUAAAAGACUCUUGCACUCUACAAAAAGCGUACGAAGAAUCUCGCAGUUUGUUUGCUAAAAAAAGAAAGCCCUUGUACUUUAUGCCAUCCCAAACAGGUCCAAAAAUUCAGAAUGAUUGCAUAACUCCAUUGGAACAGGUUGGCGGAUGACAAUGUCAUAUCAAAUGGAGUACGGUCACAUAAAUAUUAUAACAAUUUUCGUAUACUGCAAAACAUGGAACCCUAUCGAAAUCCAAGCAGUCGUAGAUCUCCCCUAGCACUUGAGUUCCACCUUAUGGCCAUAAAUUAUGCAGCUUAGUUCACAAAAUUGAACAGAAAUGCAGAUCCUAGCAUCUAAAUUCACUUCAGAAACAAUUCAAUCCCAUUUUCUGAUCAUUUACACCAAUUCCCAAUCUAGCAAACAACAAGAUGCUCGUUUCUCCUCCACUGAACUGAGAUCAACAUUAAUAGAUCGAAAAUUCGAGUAUUAGAGCUGCGCAACGAGGAUCUAAACCCUAGUUAUAGGCAGGAGGGGAGGGAUCGAACCUUGAUGAUUCUUCGGAGGUAUUGGGGGAACAAGGGCGGCGCGGGUCGGAGAGAGGAAGAGGGCGUUCGCCCUUUCGACACCGUCGGAAGCAUCGCCUCCUCUUCUUCGAUCGAUCGCGCUCUCUCUCUCUCUCUCUCUCUCCCGAUCGAACGAUCGAUCGAAUCAAAUCGAUUGAACUCUUUUUCUUCUGUUUUUUUUUUUUUCCCUCACUUUCUCUCUCUCUCUCUCUCUCUCUCUCUCUCUCUCUCUCUUCCUUCGUUCGCCUUCGAGAUCUGAGUGGUUAUUUUUCUUUUAUUUUUAUUUUUAUUUUUAUUUUUAUUUGAUCGACGGUGAGAUUUGGCGAGGAGUCGUUCGUCGCCUCAACUCGGCCUACUAAAACUCUGCAAUGUAUACUAAAUUUUUAAUUUUUAAUUUUAAAUUUCAAAUUUUUAAAUUUAAAUUAAAUGAAUGUGAAGAACUUGGUUAGACACAAAUACUUACUGUUGGACAACUACGUAAUUUUUGAAAUUGUUUAUUUUAGCAUUUUUUUACUUUUAAUUAGUAUGACUUUUUGAGCUGUUAUUACAUGAAUCAUGUGAGAAACUAUAAUUAAAUUCAUUAGAAUAAAUAUUACAUUGAAUUUCAGUACUCCAAUUAUUAUUAAAUAGCUUGAAUUACUUGAAUUAAUAAGUUAUUUAGCAGAAUAAAAUUGGUGGGGUAAUUUUUAAAAAAUACAUCGUACUUAAAAUUACUCCAUGCAAUUUUACCCAAAAAAAUUGGGAUGUGGGACAAAAUUGUUAUUUGGAUAUAGCAUUUUUUAGAAAAGCAUUAUAUUAAGAUCCUUUAAAAAGUUACCAUCUCAUAAUGCUCAACCUGAAACCCAAAAUGAUUUUGAGACCAUUAUGUUCAAAUUAUGAGCCUUAUAAAUAUAAACUCUUAAGCGAUUUUGAUUGAAUUGUAAAAUAAGUUAGAAAUUAUAUUUAGACUUCGUUUGAAAUUACAGAAAAAUUACAUUAUGUGCGGUAAGAAAGUACGAUAAAAAAAUACCCUAUUUGUUUCCGUAAAUAGAGACAUAUUCUUAUAUACUUUUUUCCUAACUCCAUUUUAUCUAACAGCGUCAGAUAGACCUCAAUACCAAACUAAGCCUUAAUAUAUUUCACCUUUUCUGAUAAAAUUACUUACAAAUCGCUUUAUUAAACAACAAUACACUCAACAACAAAACUAAACAAAGGCUUUGUUUGGGAUUGUUGGGAAAUUGUGUUAUGUGUGGUGAGAAUGUAGGAUAGAAAAAUAUUUCGUUUGUUUUUAAACGUAAUAUUACGUUCCGCAUAUCGCGAUAAAUCGGUUAUUAUAUAUUUUCUGCAGUCCCAUCGGGAUACCAAACUAAGCCAAAGACAUAAUACGCUUCAAAGGCUAGGAUAAACCCAGUGGACUAUAAAUAUUUGGGCCAUGAACGGUCCAAGCCGGUCCAAGAAAUAAAGUGUGGAUUUAAAAUCCGAGCUCCGGUCCAAUUUGACAUACAUAAGAACGUAGUACUUAGGCCUGUAUGGGCCCAUAAGCUCGGCCUAAUUGGGUCGGAUUUAGGCCUAAUAUCCCCGUAGAACUCUCAAAAGAUCCAAUAUAAUACCACUUAACCCAAAUAAUUGGAACGAGAAAAAAAGAGUUCUUAUAUCCUCAUUUUGAAAAUGCUUCUUUUAGCAAAAUUUAUUUCAAAUAUAUAUAAAUGAACGUGAUUCCUAAAGAAUUUUCUAUGUGCCCGGUGCAAUUCUACCCCUUUUUUGGAUAAAAAUAUACGAGAUUCACCUGAACUAUGGACUCUCGAAAUUUUAAUUUUACUAAUCAUCAUUUCAAUUUGUUUGAUUUGACUCAGUCAAUGAUACUCUGACUUUAAAUUUUGAAUGCGGUGUUUAUAUAUAUUUACAUAUUUAAUUAGCAUACUUUAUAUAAAUACUCGUAACUAUAAAUUUAUUAAAAUAAAUAAUUAACUUAUAUUUUGAAGUUAAAGUAUCAUCGGCCAAUUCAAAUCAAAUAAAUUGAAAAAUCUAAAAUCAAAGUUUUAAAAAUUAGACAACAGACUCAGAAUAGUUCAUAGUUUGAAUAAGUUGUGUAUUGUUUAUCUUGAACCCCUACUAAUACCUAUAUUAUUCCAUUAUCCAAAAAUUUAGAGUGCAAGUUUUCUUUGUAAAACAUGCAAACAGAAAAUAAAAUCCCCAGAGUUUAGAGCCGAUAAUUAAGAUAAUAAUUGUUGAGCUAGUCAAGUAGUUGUUAUCAUGACAUAAUCACUAGCGUAACAGCCAAGUAUAGUAUAAAAUAUAUAUACAUAUAUACAUAUAUACUUAGUGUUUUUUUAAUACUCCUACUAAUGCCUCUCACUUUGCUCUAAUAAUUUGUUUCAUCUACUACGUCACAACGCACCUCAACCUCUAAAGCAGAAGCACCCACAUCUAUCACAAAGAAGCCUACAUGAAAAUUAAUAAUAAUAAUAAUAAUAAUAAUACACAUAUGCUUGUGCUACAUAUAAAAAUAUAUACAAUUAAUGAAUUCAAUAGUGUAUCUAUAGAUGCCUUGUUACCUAGUUUCCAUCAUGUGUUGUGAGCUGUUCCCCAUUUUUGGACCAUUCUCUCUCUCUCUCUCUCUCUCUCUCUCUGCUCACCAUUAAUUGCACUACUUUUUAUUAAUUGUUAGUUAAAUAAUAUAUUGGGAACCAUGGGAGAAAGAUCCCACCUCAUGCAUUAGGUUACUUAUAUAAUAUUAAUGCAUGGGUAUUUGGGCUCACCUCUUUUUGAAUGGUAUAUAUUAAUGGUUGAUAAUAAUGCACAUAAAAAAUGGGCCAUUACACUAUAGUUUCAAUGUUUGAUUUGGGUGGAGGUGGGUCCCAAAAAUUGCCCCAUAGAAUAAUAAUAGCUAUAUAAUUUGGCCUUAUCUCUUCUAGUGUAGUUAUUCGAAACAACGCAUUAUUGAUACCAAUGUUUUAAAAAUCGAAACCUGAAUUAGGCUCGAAAGUGAUGGUUUGUUUGUGAUCUCUUUUUGACGAUUGUACAAGAGUUUUGAGUAUGAAAAUGUGAUUGACAAGUCGAAACUAAAUGCGUCGCCAUUGAUAACGAUAUGUAUAGCGAUUACUAAAAUGGAGCAAAAGGUUGAGCCUUGAAGGUGGAUGGAAGUUAAUAGAAAGAUCCAUUUCAAUGAGUUACCUGAGAACUCAGCUUCGACAUUAACUUUGGUAAAUUUGAUCAAGCUAAUUUGCUUGGGUUAUAUAUUGACGACAUGUUGUGACGUCCCACAAGUCUCACAUUGGAUAGAUUAUGAUUAAGAAUAUGAAGUUUAGAGAGUCUAAUACUAAUACUGAUAAGUAGGUUUAAACAUUUUUAGUCGGUGGUCUGAAUCGACAAGCUAUUAGGGCAAAUGAGUCGAGUCAUUAUAUUUGAAAAGAAAGUGGUUUUUCAUCUGAUAAAAAAAUCUUAUAUUGGAUGAAAGAGAGAUUGGAUCAAACGAGAUAUUAGUGCCAGUGAAUUUGGUCUAAAGUUAAUCUUUAUUUUGAUCCUUAAACUCUUAAGGUCACUAUUUGCAGGUUUUUACUUUUGAUUGUGACCCAAAAUAGCGACCUGUUAGGAAAUAGGUUAAGGAUUAUAUAUUAACACUCCCGGGCCUAAAGAGCAAAGGAUUUUAAAAUUGACUCUGAUACAAUAUUAUAUUAAAAAAUGAUCUAGUUAAAAACUUAUUCAGAAAUAUACAUUAAUAUUGAUAAAAAUUUAUUUAGCAAAUGUAUACAAAAAAAAACAGAGUAAAUUUUUUUCUAAAAGUUAAAAAAAUUACCAAUGUUGAAUUAAUAACUGUUUGAGUAACAAAAUUAAACUUGGGAUGUUAUCCACCCCUUUUAUAAAUUAGGAUUAAUUUUAUACUUCUCUUUGUAAAUAUAUCGAAUAGCAUAUGUAUUCCUAAAAAGUUUAAACUUUCAUAUUUAUUUAUGCAAAAGCAAAAGUACAGUGAUCUUAAUAUUUAUCUUUCUAAUUUGUUACUGUUAGAAUACUAUUUACUUUUUAACAGAAAAUAAGUGGCAUGAUAUUUUUAUCAUCACAAAUAUAUCCGUUCAAAAGACCCAAUUAUUAAAAUUAUAUAAAAUAAAAAUAUUUCUUUAAAAAUUUUCAAUAAUCAAUUUUUUUUUUGUCUACCAUCACAAAUAAUAUAAAAGGAGUAAAAAUAUAAAUUUACCUCAUUCACCAACUAAAAUUAAAUAUUUUAUCUAUAAUUAAUUAUAUUUUUUUUCUAACGGAUUCUAACAAUAUGAAUAUAUUUAAAGACGUUAAAAUUUUACUGAAAAAAAUAUAAAAAUUUAAAUUUAUAAAAAUAUAUUUAUUAUUCAAUAUAUUUAUAAGGAGUUUUAUAUAAUUAACCUUAGAUUAUAACUAGGGUUGGGCUCUCACCGCACAAGCGGUUUCUAUGCGGACGCGGCGGCGCACGAUAGCACGCGCUCGUGUGGAUAUUUUAGUCCUCGGGGGGGGUGAAAGGGCGAGGGAGGCCCCGCACAGUUGUAGAGCGAGGGGAUAUGCCAACUACUUUUGCGCGAAUCUUAACGAGAGAUGCUCAUGUCGCCACCGUUCCCGCGCGCGCGAAGAAACCACAAGAGAGAGAGAGAGAGAGAGAUGAGUGCGUUGUAGCUGGCGAAGAUGACGUGGACUUCGCCGAACUCGCGGGGCCCACGCGCGACGUACAAUGUGAAACCGAGGACGAGGAAGCGGUCGCCACGUGUGAACGCCUCUCGCGGGCCCCACCCGGGGCGCUUUUUUGUUUUUUCUUUUUCUUUUUCUUCUUUAAUACACGUGGGAGAAUCCAAUUGUCGCCGUGGAAGCGAUUGGGGACACGUGGAGGUUUUAGAGGCCGCGGGAGGGAGGUGAUGACGUGGCAGAUUGUCGGCCGUGCGCUGAUCGAUCACGUGAUCUCGUCGGUUUGUUCAUUUAUAGUACACAACUUAAUCUGUGAACAGGACUUUGAUCUAACUGAUUUUCACGGCCAAUUUUGACUAAUUUUUGAAAAAUUUCAGUCCCAGUACAAUAUUAUUAUAAAUGCUAAUAUUUUCGUACUUAUAAAUUAUUUUUUAAUGAUAAAAAUAUCAAAAUUAAUUUUAUAAUUUUUUUAAUAUUAUAUAUAUAUAUAAUAACUGAAAUACUAUUAAAAUAUUUAAACUUUUUUGUUAUCGAAUUUUUAAUUCUUCGGUGAAAAAUUAUAGAAUUAGAAUGAUAGUAGUGCUCUAGGGUUUAGUAAUGGUGCCUCUAGAAUUGAGUGGAUAGUUGGUUGAAUAAUUUAAUCUAAAGUGUGAAAUUGAUUAAAAUGUAGAUCUAACGGCUAAAAAAUCGAUAACAAAAGACUCUAAAUACUAUUAAUAAUAUUCCAGCUCAACUCUCUCUCUCUCUCUCUCUCUCUCUCUCUCUCUCUCUCUCUCUCUCUCUAUAUAUAUAUAUAUAUAUAUAUAUAUCUUGUGGUCAAAAUCAAUUUUAAUAAUUGGUACUAAAUAUUUUUUUCUUUAGCACUGUAGAAGAAUAAAAAUCAAUUGAAUUUUUUACAGUAUUUAGAUCAAGAUCACUAAUUCUAAUCUUGAAUUAAAUAAUCCGAUCAUCUUUUUUUGAAAAUCAUUCAAUUUUGACCAUUCAUUUUAUAUCAAUUUAACAGACUUUGUUACAAUUUCAAUGAGUUACAAAAUUUGAUUUUUAGGUGUUUCAUAUACUCAAAUUAUAUAUUUAACGGUAUAAAUCGUGGAUUCUAAAAUUCUAAAAUAAAAUACAACUUACUAGUAUGGAAAUUUUUAUACUCAUAAAAGUACGUAGCAUUACUCAGAAUAUUUAUUUGUAAUUUACAAAUAUUAUAUUUCUACUUUUUUUAAAAAAAAAAAAAAAAGAAGCUAUGAGUAGAUACUAUUCUUUACACUCAUAAUACAUGCAUGUUUUAGAUUGAAUAUGUUGCAGUGUAAAAUUCUUUUUCGGAUAUUUAAAUAACUCGUUAAAAAUUGUUGGAUACACUAAAUCUUUCAUUAACGAUGAAAUUAUUUUAGACUCGAUCCUCACUUAAGAACAUGUCAAUGAUAGAGAAUUUUGCCAUUGUCAAAGUCAAUCGAGAUGAGAUUUUUACACAAGUACAACAUUAUUUCACCGUUAAUAAGAAUUAGAAAAAUCUCUUAUUACACGUUUGCGAAUAAUAUAGUUUAACCAAGUAGCACAAAACGAAAAGAUUUUAAACUUACAACACUUUUUCAGCUUAAAUUAUUUUUUUUUAUAAAUAAACUUAGCUGAAAAUAUGAAAUAAUUAAAUUUCAAACUUUGAAAAUGUUUAGAUAUUGAUCAUCAUUUUUUUUUUAUCGCUUGCGCUAGUGACGGUCACUUUACAAAGUUACAGUAUCAUAUAUGCAGAGUUAUUGGAGGGAUCUAAAGGAAGGAAAAGAGAAAAGAAUUCACAAUUUCUACUUUAAGACUUUGAAACUUCAAAAGACUUUUUUUUUUUUUUAAAAAAAGAAAUUUAGUCUCAACCAGAAUUGAUUGUGAAAGUAUAAGACAAAAUGAAUCCAAGUUUGGUUGGGUGUAAAAGUCAACUAAUUCAAAAACGAAGCUUAGGACGUUGAAAUUAAACUGAAAUUGAUGGGUAACAAAAAUUCCACCAUUUCCUGCGACCGUUAAUACAGCGAAAGUGAUUGACUACGCUCAACUACUGCGCUAAAUCACAGUUACGGUAGUUUUACCCACAAUCUCGGUGGGUAGUUAAUAUACAGCGAAAGAAUAAGAACCUCUUUUUUAAAAAUUAAUUCCGGCCUGGAUAAUUCCAGAUCAUUUAUGUCGUUUUCGAAAGAGUUUGAGUUUUAAUCAGAAUUUUUAGUAAGUCAAGCAAUAAAAAACGAACAUUUACGGUUAAAUACUAUUUCAUCACUCUCAACUUUCGGUGAAACUCUUUUUUUUUAAAAAAAUAAUAAUAAGUAGCACGCUAUCUGUUUUAUUUAUUUUAUUUAAAAAUAAACGUAACUGGAAAUGUGAAUCAAUUAUGAUUCGAAUUCGAGACCUCAGGUAUCAACUAUCAAGUUCUUUGCCCCUUGCUUUAGGAAAGAUUGGUACAGUGAAACUCAUUUUAAUCAUAUUUUUUGAAUGCGUUAGUUUGAAUGUGUUAAUAAAUAUCUAUACACCAUACGAUUUUACUGUUCAGUUAUUAAUACAAAUAUCUGAGACAUCUAACCUAAUGUGUUCGUAGAAAAAACAUACAUACAUAUAUAUAUAUAUAUAUAUAUAUAUAUAUAUAUAUAUAUAUAUAUAUAUAUAUAUAUAGUAGAGCUAGAAUACUGUAAAAGUAUCACCCAAAUAAUACUUGUGUGUUUUAGUCCUUGCGAUGGAGAGAUGUGAGGUUGAAAUGAUGGUGGCAGGUGGUGGUAGGUGGAAUAGUGUUUGAUCCAAGACUAUUAAUAAUCAAAAAGUAGAAUCAAUGGCUAAAAAAACACAAGUAUCAUUGGAUGAUACUUGUAAAAGUAUUCUAGCCCUACUCUAUAUAUAAUAAUAUUAUAUAUAUAUAUAUAUAUAUUAUAUAUAUAUAUAUAUAUAGUUGAGCUAGAAUACUAUCGAUAGCAAAUCGGCACUUUUGUCAACCCAUUUGUUUUCGAUUAUAGAGCCUCCAAAUUAAUGAUCGACACCGUUGAAUAUGAUCUAUACUAUUUGAAGUAUUAGAAAUCAAAUUUUAUACAUUUUCGAUAUGUGUCUAUCCAUCGAGUGGACACAAAAAGAACGCGCUGAAAAUGGAUAUUCUCAAAAAAAUGAGAAGAGAGUCUUGUAAUCAAGAUCAAAAGUAGUAUGAUUGUUUUUAAAUAAUUUAAAAAAAUUUAUAACAAAAUUCAAUUGAUUUGGAUAUUUUUACAUCGCUAAACGAGAAACGCCUCAUACCGACCAUUAAAAUUACAAAUUUUGAAACCUUUUGAUCAUUAAAGCAAAUAAUGUCAAAAAGAUUUGAAUUUGAUUUCUAAACACUUCAAGUAAUAUAGAUUCACGUUCAACGAUACCGAUCGUUGAUUGGAGGCUCUAUCAUGACAAAUGGUGGCAAAAAAACAAAAGAGCUCGUUUGCUAUCGAUAGUAUUCUUAACUCAACAUAUAUAUAUAUUAUAAUAUAUAUAUAUAUAUAUAUAUAAUAUAUAUAUAUAUAUAUAUAAUAAUAUAUAUAUAUAUAUAAUCCGGCUACUAUACUAUCGGUAGUACGGGCCUCCCGUGCUACCAAGUGUUUCGAUUAUGCGCGUGCUUCCAAAUCGACGACGCGUCCGUUAGGAACUUGAUUUAUACUAUUAAAAGUAUUGGAAACUAAAUUUCAUAAUUUUUCGAUAUCAUUUACCUAUCAAACAAAUAGUCUAAAAUUGAACGGCUGAAAAUAAAAAUCUCAUAAAAAAUGAUGAUAAAAAAUUUAAAUUCAAGAUCAGAUAUACUGAUCUUACUCUAAAUAGUGAAAAGAAUUUUCUAUAAAAUUUUCAUCAGAUUUGAAUUAUUUUACACCGUUAAACUCACAAACACGCCACAUCGGCCAUUAAAAUGGUCAAUUUUGAGAUCUUUUUAUCACUAGUCAAAUGAUGUCGAAAAAUUAUGAAAUUUAGUUUUCAAAUACUUUUAAUAGUGUAGAUCAAGUCUAACAGAGCCGAUCGUCAAUUUGGAAGCCGCAUCAUCGAAAACAACUUGGUAGCACGGGAGGUCUCGUGCUACCGAUAGUAUAGCAGCUGGACUCUAUAUAUAUAUAUAUAUAUAUAAUUGAGCUGGAAUACUAUCGGUAGCAAACGGGCUCCGUUGCCACCCAUUUGUUUUCGAUGAUGGAGCCUCCAAAUCGAUGAUCGGCACCAUUGAAAAUAAUCUAUACCACUUGAAGUAUCUAGAAAUUAAAUUUCAUACUUUACCGAUAUUAUUUUCUUGUCCAUCAAGUGGGCGUAAAAAUGAAUAUCCUCUAAAAGGUGAUGAUAGAAAUUUUGUAAUCAUGAUCGAGAGUAUAGAUCCUGUUUUAAAUAGUUUAAAGAAUUUUCUAACCAAAAUUCAAUUGAUUUGGUUAGUUUUAUACCAUUAAACGAGAAAAUCUCUCAUAUCAACCAUUAAAAUUACUAAUUUUGAAACCCUUUGAUCAUUAGGUAAAUGAUGUCGAAAAGAUUUGAAAUUUAAUUUCUAAAUACUUUAAGUGAUAUAGAUCAUGUUCAACGGUGCCGAUCGUCGAUUUGAAAAAUCUAUCAUCGAAAAUAAAUGGGUGGCAAAGGAGUCCGUUUGCUGCCGAUAGCAUUCCAGCUCAACUCUCUCUCUCUCUCUCUCUCUCUCUCUCUAUAUAUAUAUAUAUAUAUAUAUAUAUAUAUAUAUAUAUAUAUUCUUCUAUGCAAGGAGCCAGAUAUUAAAUUCCAAGCGACAAAACUAUACAUCUAUUCACAUUCAUGUACAAAGAAAUCAAAGUGGUCCAGUGGAGUGGGGGUUUAAGGGUGGGCAGGGGCAAAACCGAAAACGUAUGAAUAAAAAAAAAGGGUAAAUUUCAAAUACCACAUCUGUGGUUUCAUAAUUUUUUAAUUUAAUACCAUGUGAUUUAAAGUGUAUCAAGUUAGUAUUCUGUGGUUUCAUUUUUAAUUUUUCAUAAGCUUUUUCGUUAAUAUUUCGUUAAAUUAUAUACAAAAAAUUUCAGAUAUCUCAUAUUGAUUUAUCGAAUAUUCAUUUUAGUACCUUAUAAUUUUAAUUUUGCUACUAAUUUAACGAAAAAAAAUUAGCGGAACCGAUAAUAAAAAGAUAAAAAUAAAAUCAUAUGAUACUAAAUUGAUACGCUUUAAAUCAUACAGUACUAAAGUGAGAAAAUAUGAAAUCACAUAUGGAUGGUAUUUAAAGUUUUUUUAAUAAAAUAAUAAGCAUUAGAUAUUUUGGAGGGAAUAAUAAUAAAGUGAAAGUAAAAAACCAAAAAUAAAAAAUAAAAAAUAGGGCACGCAUAAAAUGAGGGGGAAAGGAAAGGGCGGAGGAAAGUGGGUGGGGGAGUUUGAGUCGGUUUGGGAAGACCGACACGUGGCGGUGGGAGGGUGACGGAGGCCGUUGGGGAAAGGGGUCGUCGGUUGGGGAUGGACAGGCUGGAGUUGGCAGGGCGGGUGUGGGAAGACUGAAGAGCCGGGAAGAGUGCAGACUGUGCAGUUAUGAUCCGUCCUCUGAUUCCGCGACACAGCUUGUCUGCUCUCUCUUCCACCUCGCCACCUCCCCACUCCCAAACUAUUCAAACCUCAAAAAAUAACAAUAACAAUAACAAUAAUAAUAAUAAUAAUAAUAAAGGGUAAUUAUUUAUAUUUUUCUAAUUUUUAUUUAUUUUUUUAUAAGAAUAAUAUUAAAAAUAUCUUUUUUACGUUUCAUACCAUUUCAAAUAUAUUUCUAGAGUUAAAUUCUCGUUAAUAAACUGUUAGCAGCAGCUGUUAUCUUUAUAAAAUUAUUAUUUUGCUAUUUCAAAUAUACCAUUCUACUAUAACCGACUUUUCUCAUUUGUCCUUAAAUUAGGGGUAUAAAAAAUAUUUUAAUUUUGGUCUUAUUUGUCUUUAAGUUAAGGGCAAAAGAGAUAUUUUAUUUUUUUUAACUCUGAUAAAUAUUUAACUCACGUUUAAUUUAAGUUAAUUUAAGAGGUGAUAACUGUACAUGUAUUUUGAAAUAAUGAAAGAACAUAUGAGAGGUAUAUUGAAAGAAAAAAAAAUAUGAGUAAAUGAGAUAUUUUCGAAGCUUUGAGAAAUAUAUAGGCAGUUAUUUCUAAUAAUAAUAAUAAAAGCUACUUGUUGAUUAGAUCAAACUCAUACAUUAUUCACACAUUAUGAAGUGUGAGAUCCCUGUUACUUCUAUAUAUUAAAUAUAAUAAGACUUAAAAGAAAUUUAAUCCGGUUAUAGUAUUUUGAAUGAUGACUAAACUCAAAAGGUUAAUAAAAUUAAAUGUAUUAGAACUAGAGUAAUUCUAGGAUAAUUGAUUUUCUGAAAAGUGGAGCAUCACAUUAAUUUGAUAUUUUUUUCCUUUUUGAAUAUCAUAAUUUGUGAUACUUAUAAUGGCGUGGAAGGUGAAAACAAGAUUAUGAAAUAUGAUCGACUAUAUCUAACAUAAUUGAUUAAGAACUCAAUAAUUAAUAUACGAGGUCUCAAGUUUAAAAUUAAGACAUUUCUAACUUGAGCUCAUUUAUGAAAAAUAUGCUAGAGAGGUUAAAAAAAAAAAGAAUAUGAGAUAUGAAGAUUGAAGCUCUAAUUUAGUCCUUCUAUUUUGGCAUCAGUAAAAUUUUUUUAAACAAAUUUCAAUAUAGUAAUCCUUAUAAAAAAUUCACCACAGUAACACUAUAUAGCACAGCAGAGCCAAGUUCUUAAAAGCCAAUUUAAUUUGCAAACUCGUAAACUUUUGGUUUCAAACUCUCCAAAUAAAAACUGUUACGUGCAUGUUCAUUUCUUCAAUCCAUGAUUAUUGACACCUUCUCAUAUUAAAUACAACUCUACUUGGCGAGUUGAUGUCAUGAAUUGAAAGUUAGAGGUGGAUGAAAAACCUAGAUGCUUAUAUAUAUAUAUAUAUAUAUAUAUAUAUAUAUAUAUAUAUAUAUAUACACAGAGAGAGAGAGAGAGAGAGAGAGACUAGCUGCUAUACUAUCGGUAGCACAAAGGCUUCCGUGCUGCCAAGUUGUUUUCGAUUAUACGGCUUCCAAAUCGACGAUCGGCUCCGGUAGACUUGAUUUACACUAGUGAAAGUAUUUGAAAACUAAAUUUCAGAUUUUUUCAACAUCAUUUGACUAGUGAUCAAAAGAUCUCAAAAUUGACAAUUUUAAUGGUCGAUGUGGUGUGUUUGUAAGUUUAACGGUGUAAAACAAUUCAAAUCCGAUAAAAAUUUUAUAGAAAUUUUUUUUUACUAUUUAGAGUAAGAUCAGUAUAUCUCAUCUUAAAUUUAAAUCUUUUAUCAUCAUUUUUUAUGAGAUUUUUAUUUUUAGCCGUUCAAUUUUAGAUUACUUGUUUGAUAGGUAAAUAAUAUCGAAAAAUUAUGAAAUUUAGUUUCUAAAUACUUUUAAUAGUGUAGAUCAAGUCUAAUAGAGUCGAUCGUCGAUUUGUAAGCCGCAUCAUCGAAAACAAAGCCGGACUAUAUAUAUAUAUAGAGAGAGAGAGAGAGAGAGAGAGAGACUAUUAUAUUGUUAAUAGUAUCAAGCAUUUUGUGCUAUUAGAUUUUCAGCCUUUGAAUGAAGGGGCGUGCGUUUAAGAUAAUAAUGAUUCUUUAGAACUGAAUAGGUGGUUGGUUGAAUAGUAUAAUCUAACAGGUAAAAGUAGUCAAAGAGAUAGAUCUAACAGUAGAAAACUCGAUAGCACCAAAUAUUUAGUACUAUCAAUUAAUAGUAUAACAGUCGGACUAUAUAUAAAUAUAUAAUUUUUUUUUAAGCUUAAUACGUGGCAAAAGUAAUAAUUAAAGCGAAGCCAAUUAUAAUUCAGGCCACCAAUUUUUACGUAAUUUAUUUUUUAUCGAACAAAUACUAGAACUAAAAAAAAGUUCAACUCUACAACUAUAGAAAUAAAUACUAAAAAAAUAUAAUAUUGUUGAAAUUUUAAUAUAACUAAUAAAUCUAUUUUAAUCUAAAUUUUAGUUUACAUGCCCAUAAUAUUUUUUUUUUUUUGAAAGAGNUUACUUAGAAAUAUGUAUAAUUAAUUAAUUAUAUAUAAUAAUACUAUUUAAUAUAUACUAAUAUGGAAUUAAAUAUUUUGUUAAUAUAUAAUAUAUUCUCAUAUAUAUAUAUAUAUAUAUAUAUAUAUAUAUAUAUAUUAUUUAAUUUGCAGUUAGGUACUGCGUAGCCAAUAUAUUGUACGUCGCACGAAUAUAAAAGCAUGUAAUGUCGCACAUAAAGGGGCUCUAUAUAUAUAUAUAUAUAUAUAUAUAUUAUAUUAUAUAAUAUACUAAAUAUAAAUAGUGAUAUAAAACAAAGCGGAAGCGGGCAGGAACAUCGUACGUACCCGCAUGUACACGCGGUUGGGCGAGGGAGAUCACACGGCCCACAAUGGCGGCGUGUUGAUGGACGGCUCUGAUGAAAAGGGAGUUAUUGCACAACCGGAUAGCUACGCCGAGUACGGUCACCGUGCCGCGUGUGUUACCGCACGUCAACGGAGGUUGGGAUGUCUAAACGGCGGAAUUGCAUGGAGACCCUUCAACCGCUUUGCGUUUUCGCAAAGGCCCUUAAACUUUAUUUUAGAUUUUAAUUGAGGCCCUCUAGAUUUUUUAAUUUAAAAUUUAAUAAUUAUAGCUAAUUAAAUAAAAAAUUAACAGACCUGUUGAUAAUCUGAUUUUAUAUUUUUUUAGCAAAAAAACUAGAUAAACUUAGCGGCUAAAAGUAUUUAAACUAUUAAAUUUAAUAAAAUUUCUAAAUUUACAAAGGAUAAUGAAAGCCAAGACAAUUUUAAUAAAAGAAAGGUCAAAAAGUAUGGAGACCAUUUUGAUAUAGCCCAUCAGCUUUUUUUUUUUUNUUAAUUAAAAAAUUUAUUAAAAUAAUGAUUUUACUAGGACUUGAGUAAAAAAAAAUCAGAAUUAUUAAUUUUGAUUAAAAUUUAAUAAAUUUGAUAAAAUUUGUUUUUUGAGAAUUAUUGAUACCAAAAUUGAGCCGACCUAACCCACGUAUGAACCAAUAAGGACACGUGGUACACCAGGAGUCGGCAAUAAGGCGCCUAAAGGACAAGAAGGCGGGAACGGUUGAAGAUUGGGGCGUAACUUUCAUGAGGAGUUAGCGUAACUUUCAUGAGGAGUUAGUAUAACUUCCACGAUCAUGGUUACAACCACUCCCCCCCAACUACUUUCAACCAACUAAUAAUGUAGGCUAUAAAUAGUAACUUUGAAGCCUGCAAUAAGGGUCUUCGCCCCUGCGCACAAAAGACCACCCUUAUUUCCUCUGCAUUUUAUUGCUUUUCUAGAAGUAGUCUAAAUGUAAUUUUUUUCUUUUCCGCAUUUACUGCUUUUCUGGAAGUAGUUCGCUAAGUAGAUCUUUGGAGUUUGUCUGCCCCAUGGGCAUCACUCCCUUAUAGAAUAUACUUGGAGUCUGUCUGCCCUAUGGGCAUCACUCUCUUGUAGAAUGUACUUGGAGUCUGUCUGCCCUACGGGCAUCAUUCCCCUGUUUGUGUACUUUUUCCUUUUGCUAUUCAAUAGAAAGUCAUUUUCGGCUCUUCCUGCCGAUCAGAUCACAAGUUGUUUGGCCAUUCGGCUCGUUUCUUAGUCGAAUUCUGGGCUUCCCUUCUCCAUUCGGCUCAUUCUGCCGAAGUGACUCUACUGCAAAGGUUUUCGAACCCGGUUGAUUCGAUUCCUCAUUGGCCUAAUCGCUUGAUCCUCUGUGGGAGCAUACUUCGAGGGUCGUAAUCCGCAGCCGUCUCGCAUCUCGACGAUCUUCCCGAUGAGUGUAUUUUGACCUAGUCAAGGGUCGGGACUUUCGGCCACCAACAAAUUUUGGCACGCCCGGUGGGACAUAUUUUUAGGUAAAUUUAUAAUUUAUGCCUGAUGAUCUACGUAAUAGGGUUGUUUCUAGAAAUUCUGGGAGUGAUCAACCUAUUGAUUCAGACAAUGCUGGCGAAUGUCAAGUAGUUUUGCCAGUUGAAGGAGAAACUAGUGGACAGUCGGCUCAUCAAGAGCCGAGUCUAACUCAGGCACUCGGCCAGAUGAGCCGAGUCCUGCAAACUUUAGAUCAAAAUAUCCAUCAAAGUACCGCUCGACUAGACGCAGUGCUGGUCGCUAUCACGGCCUAUAAUGAAAAUAUUGCACGAAUAGGACAAUUAUUGACUCGAAAUGAGCAACCAAUGACAGACUUACAAAGGCCUAUGAUGACACCAGUGUUGCAAAAUCCUGCGACAUCGGUAAAUGGACAGCCCCAAUACUGGGGGGCACCAUUCCAAGCGGUUUACAGAUCGGUCGUCGUCAAUACCGAUCAACAGCCGAAAAUUACAUAGGGAUUGCCACCACCUCCGCCGAUGGCAGCAUACCAAUCCCAAAAUUUAGGGGCUAGAGCUGGGGGGCAAGCCCCUAAUGAUAUGCAAGGAGCGAACUCUGUAAUACAGAAUUCUGGAGUUCCUCAAGGGCCAAAUUCGGCUCAAGCACAAGCUCCGCUGUAUGCUCAGAUUGAGGAAGUCAUUCAGAAUACCUUCGGAGUAGGGGCCAGGCCAGCUAUGCGGCCUGUUUUUCGAUCCCCGUAUCCAGCAAACAUAGAUACAGAGCAUCCGUAUCUGGCAAACUGGAAAAUGCCGAAGUUCGACAAGUUCUCGGGCGAUAAGACCGAGAAUACGGUUGAGCAUAUAGCCCGGUUCACGGCCCAAUGUAGAGAAGCGGCCGCUAACUCAUUUUUGAAACUUCGAUUAUUUAAUACGUCGUUAACUAAAACGGCGUUUACUUGGUAUACAAGUUUAUCAGCCUAUUCCGUCCAAGAUUGGGAUGAAUUGGAAAGAAAAUUUCAUAAGCGAUUCUAUAGAUCGGAGCCACAAUUAUCGGUCGCCGACUUGGCUUUAUACCGACAAAUGUCAGGUGAAACGGUCGAAGAGUAUUUGGACCGUUUCAAAAUAGCCAAAACCCGGUGCUUUAUGAGAAUGCCGGAAUCAGAGUUUGCCAAAAUGGCGUUAAAUGGUCUACAUUUUAAGAUAAAAGACUAUUUUGAAGAUAAGUAUUUUUCUAACCUAUUUGAUCUAGGUGUUCGAGUUACCUAAUACGAGCAAUUUCAGAAGAAAAGUGAGGACGAUCGGCUACAAUUGAGCCGAUAUAAAAAUCAAAGCAAAGGCAAGGAGAAAUCCUUGCUAGAAGAACAGUCGGUUCAAGAAGAGCCGAGCCAAUCGAGUGAAAGUGAAGAAUCGGCUGAUGAAGCCGAGAUAUAGCCACUUCCUUUAAGAAGAAUUUCCUGAUAGAAAAGCAUUCGGUUCAAGAAGGGCCGAACUAAAGUAAAGAAUCGGCUGAUGAAGCCGAGACAUAUGUGGCUGGGAUGAUAAAGCGUCGUUUUCCUAAAGCCGACCAAGACCAGCGAAACUAAAGCUUGGGUCUCGGCUGUGCUUUUGAACAGUCGAUUUGGCACCAAUAGUCAUCCGAAUGUUCAUUCGAAAGACUAUUGGGGGGGUAUUGUUGAUACCAAAAUUGAGCUGACCUAACCCACGUAUGAGCCAAUAAGGACACGUGGUACACCAGGAGUCGGCAAUAAGGGCCUAAAGGACAAGAAGGCAGGAACGGUUGAAGAUUGGGGUGUAACUUUCAUGAGGAGUUAGCAUAACUUCCAUGAGGAGUUAGUAUAACUUUCAUGAUCAUGGUUACAACCACUCGCCCCCAACUACUUUCAACCAACUAAUAAUGUAGGCUAUAAAUAGUAACUUUGAAGCCUGCAAUAAGGGUCUUCGCCCCUGCGCACAGAAGACCACCCUUAUUUCCUCUGCAUUUUAUCGCUUUUCUAUGAGUAGUCUAAAUGUAAUUUUUUUCUUUUCCGCAUUUACUGUUUUUCUGGAAGUAGUUCGCUAAGUAGAUCUUUGGAGUCUGUCUGCCCCAUGGGCAUCACUCCCUUAUAGAAUAUACUUGGAGUCUGUCUGUCCCAUGGGCAUUACUCUCUUGUAGAAUGUACUUGGAGUCUGUCUGCCCUACGGGCAUCAUUCCUCUGUUUGUGUACUUUUUUCUUUUGCUAUUCAAUAGAAAGUCAUCUUCGGCUCUUCCUGCCGAUCAGUUCACAAGUUGUUUGGCCAUUCGGCUCGUUUCUUAGUCGAAUUCUAGGCUUUCUUUCUCUAUUCGGCUCAUUCUGCCGAAGUGAUUCUACUGCAAAAGUUUUCGAACCCGGUUGAUUCGAUUCCUCAUCGGCCUAAUCGCUUGAUCCUCUGUGGGCGCAUACUUCGAGGGUCGUAAUCCGCAGCCGUCUCGCAUCCCGACGAUCUUCCCGAGGAGUGUAUUCUGACCUAGUCAAGGGUCGGGACUUUCGGCCACCAACAAGAAUAAUAAAAUUUCUAAUUUAAUAAAAAUGUUAUAUAAAAGGAAUUAAAAUUUAAGGAGUCAUGUUCAAUUGUAAUAUAGGUGAAGGGUGUUGUCAUAAAUUGUUACCUAACUUACUCGAUUUGAGGUAUCAAUCGAAUUAAAAACCGGUUUCGGGUCAAAUUCUGGAAAGGGAAAUAACAGCUCACUCCCGAAUUCGGUUUCAAAUUUCCGUGUCCUCCGUGCGUAGAAAUUUUCGACCCCACUUCGUAACUCCCAACGGCUGCGUCAGGAGGGAAACGGAAAAGCGGAAACGGGAAACGGUUCCGCAAGCGAAGAUGCGUUUCCGAAGUGGAGGGCGAGAGUCGCUCCGCUACUCGAGAAGCGGGGGAGGUCGCAGAUAUUAUUCGAGUGUGCGGGUGUGGAUACACCCGGUGCACCGCGCGCCACACGUUUAUAAUUAGUUUGUGCAUUUUUAUUCUCUGUAUAUACGAGUUUUUUAAUUCUCCACUGAUUGUAGCAGUUUUUCAAUUUUUGUUAUUUAUCUGGAUAUAUAUAUUUUGUUUUAGGAAUGUAAUUAUACUGUUUGCAUUUACUUCUAAUAUAUAUACUAUUAGUUGCGUAUAAAAUUAAAUUUCAUAUCUGUUUUAUAAAAUUAAAUAACAUGUUUAUUCUAUAAUUUUUAAAAUUAUUUGGCAUAUAUUGAUAUUGCCUCUAUAUUGUCAAACAUCAAAAAAAAAAUCUGUAAUUUUAAGUAUAAAAUAAAUCCGAACUUAAAAAAUCAAAUUUUAAAUUAAACUACACACAUACGAAGGAACCGACCGUCCCUAAUGCAAAUGGCAAAGAACUUGAUGGUGGGUAACUAAGGUCCCAAGUUCAAAUCUUAACUGAUUCACAUUUCCAGCUCAAUUUAUUUUUUUUAAAAAAUAAACGAAACUGAAAAGUUCAAAUCCUAACUGAUUCACAUUUAAAUAAACGAAACGGAAGCCGUAGCAUACUACCUCUUAUGUUUUAGUGGUGGAUUUUAUAUGUGGAUUUUUUUUCGGAUAGUAUGCUAUUUUUAUCUUAAAAAAAAACAUUCUUAUGAUAUUUUAGUGGUGGGUUUUUAUAUGUAGAUUUUUUUUUUAAAAAAAAGACAUUUUAGAUUAGAAAUUUUUUAGCGAAAUAUCAAGAGUGGUGUACGAGAUGCAAGUAGAUACACCGGGUUCAGGUAGUAUUUUCGAAGUUAGUAGAACAGAGGAAGAGAAGAGUGUUUACCGGCUGUAUGUGGAGUCGGGACUCGGGAGUGAUUGGACGACGCGUGUGCAGUUGCCAGCUGUAUGCAAGCAACCGCCCCCCUGGCACCGGUCGCCCCUUUUACCGGCUGCUCCCGGUCACCCAUCCCCGCUCCCUCUCUUAUUUAACCUCCCCCCGCACCCGCUCCUCAACGCCCCCCAUUCCCCUCUCGUCUCCCUCCUCCCUCGGCUCGUUCGGAACCAAAAAAAAAAAAAAAAAAAAAAAAAAAAAAAAAAAAAAAAAAAAAGAAGCAAAAGGAAAAAAUUAGGGUUAGGGUUUGGGGUUUUUUUUGUUUUUUUUUUUGUAUACGAACCGGUUGGAUUCGAUCGCGGUGGAAGUGGGUUUAGG